rnacentral:lncRNA from 1 species
CUUCAUAUAAAUCUGUCUGAAAUGUUACCCCCCUCCCCCCCAUCUCACUCAUUUGUCUCUCACCCUCGUCUCAGAGACAACCUUUAGAACCCUAAUGCUGCCCCUUUCUUCCAUUGCUUUAGGGUGGCGGCGCCACCUCCGUUCACCACCAAAAUUAUACCAUAUAAGCUCCAUGACCCCCUCAUCCAAAAUCUCCAUUUAGUUUCCUUCAAAUACCUCUGAAGCCUCUCGAAUUUGAUUUGAAAAGACGAACCCUAAAAUCCCAAAACCAAAGUCGUCGGGUUUUUUGAAGAUUCAAGGUUGAAAUCAGCUUUAUUCGUGUGUUCUAACUUGAGAACAUAUGAUUAAGGCCUAUUUCGGCCAAUAUCAAAGGUUCUAGGUUUAAAUUCAAGACGUCUCCAGGCUCUUCUUUAGGUAUUUUUACCUUUUUCUUCCCUUCUUUCAUUUUUCUUUUUCUUUGUUUCAUUUUAGAUAUUAACAUUUAUCUUCUCACUUUAUCCCCUCUGUCUUAUCUGUUUUCAUUUUUGGGAAUCUUUUCUGCUCAUAUGCUUUCAACUAAGGCUAGUAGUGCAAAUUGGUUUUAAUUUCCUUUUGUCUUUGGUUUAUUUUGUUUGUUUUUUUUUGGUUUUUCAAUAAAAAGAAUGUCUGAGUUUCUUUAAGGAGUCCGGUUGGGCUUAUCAAAUUCAGGUCCUUGAUUUGAGUUUGAUGUCUGUAAACAGAGUCCAGGGAAAAAGGAUUCGAACAGUUUGGCAAGCCUAAUUGCUGAAACUAGAACCUUGGGUCAAAUUGACCCAUGUCCGUUUGGGGUAAGGGUAAAAAUAGAGGGUCUGGGGGGGUAGUUUAGGUAGGGUGGGGAAUAUUUUGUAACAGAUUGGGGAAGCUUCUAAGAAGCUGGGUUUGGAGACAUUUUGAUAAUAUGAUAUUUACAUUAGGGGCAGUUGAGCAAAAAUGAAUAUUAAAAAAGGACUAAGGUGCAAAUAUGUUUCUCAUUAGGUUGCCCUAAGUGUCUAGCCUAUAAUGGAACCUUACCUUGUAUUUCAAGGCAGACUUUGAAAGAUAAAAAUCCAGAGAAAAAUUGAGACGGCUGAAAAUUUAGUAAAAAUAUUGUCCCAUUGAUCUCUUCUGUGGUUUUAUGAAGUUUUUUUUUUUCCAUUUCUCUGAAACACUUUUUGGUUUAUCCGGGGUUAAAUAUAGAUUGAGAUUGGGUUUGUAGAAGUUUAGUUUGAAGAUGUGGGGGAUCACUAUUCGGUUGAAAUUUCUUUUUCUGGGCUGUUGUACAUCAUCUUCUGGGUUUGAAAUUGGUUGCUAAUUACUUCCUGUUGCUGGAUUCUGUUGUUACUGUUGAUUCCUCAUCUUUUUCGUUGUUCUUUCCCAUACCCAGGUACAUACUUUGAGCUUCAAUAAUUGUGAAGUGAAUGUGAAGAAUGAAAUGCAAAAUGAAGAAUUUGAAGCAUACUUUUAAGUUUACUUCCUUUUAUGUUUGCUAUUUUUUGAUUUGCCUCAAAUGCAUAUGGUGUUAGCCAUUGGCAACCUCUUCUAAGGAAUUGUAUUAUGCUUGUGUUUAACAGAGACUGUAGUGUUCUGUUGAAUGUUGUAGUUGAAUGACAUGUCAAUUGUUGAGUUUUUUUUAAUUUGGCCUUUGAAUGGUUAAGGGAAUUUGAAGGAUAAAGUUUAUGGUCGGAUCGGUAAUAGGUUGUAGAUCUUGUUUCUUAUGUUAUUAUAUGAUGUUUGUUGUUAUGUUCAUACAAUUAAAUAGUUGAAUGUUUCUUGAUUCUGGAUUGUGUAAAUCAUGCUAAGAGAAGGGGAUUGACCUAGGUUGCUUUGAAGGAUAAAUACAUGUAUUAAUUUUCCUUAGGAAACGUGUGAAUCUGUUUCAAAGUAAUAAAAAUGAUAUUCAAGUCUAGGAAUACCCAGUAAUUAAUUUGGGGUUUAAUGAAAAAGGAUAAAGAUUUUUUUUUUAAUAAUAAAAUGUCAUAGUUUGAUGAAGUUUGCAAUUUGUAUUAGUUUUGUGUUUUCAGUUGAGUCUGAAAACUUGGGUUGUAGGUCGGACCAGAUGAAGAGUCUUCCUUCUCACUACUCAUUACCAUUCUUCACUGGGACUUGGGCUCAUUCAGGCCCAAGCUUGAAGGUUCUUUGCUGUUUUGCCUUUGGAAGUUAAUUGGAACCGAUACUGACCCUUUUUUAAUCGUUAUUGGUAUUAAAUACAUGUCGUUUUCUUCUUCAGGCUUUAGUGUUAAAUUGAGGCCCUUCCUCGGGCCUCGAGUCAAGAAACAGAUUUGCAGGCCUCUAUUGCACUGGGCCUGCCUGCUUCAAACUUCUCCUGCGUGGUUAAAAUAGCACGAGCCAGUUAAUAGCGGAUCUGUUGCUUUCUGUUUAGUUUCUUUUACGCAAAUUUUUCUUGAUUAGCUAAAUAAAUACUAGAAUUAAAAGGGGGCUAGAAUCCCUAGAAUUAAAUUAGUUUCGGGAUGUGCCAUAUUAGUGAAGAUAGUCUAUGGCCCUUAUGGUUUCAAAAAUAAAGAAUUUUAGACAAUUUCGAGGUGUGACAUACUUAGCAAAUAUAGUUAUGGCCCUUAAGAGUUUGAUUUUGAAAUUUUCUUUAAAAUUGGAAUUAAGGCGUGCCGUGCCAAACAAAAUCUAAAAAUACAUGGCCCUCAUUUAAUUAUUUCUUUAAAAAUUCCUAGAAUUCGAUUCGUGCCAUUUAGCAAAUUUUUUGUGGCUCUCGCUAAGUUAAAAACGUGUAGUUGCUUUAGCCGCGUUAUUUUAAUAAUUAACUUCCCUAAAUUCGGGUGUGCAUUUCAUGUGAACCAAAUCCAAAUCUUAAUAACGUUAAAUUAAAUAUAUUUUAGAUUGCCGGUGCAUUGCAUGUGGCGCAGUCCAAAGACAUAUUUUAGGCGACGUUAAAAUCUUCUUUAAAAUGAAUAAAAGCGGUUAUAAAGUUAAAAUGCACAUAGGUUCAAAAGUUUUUUAAAAUUUGAUAAUCAGGACAAUUUUAAUAGUUGAGCGACCAUGCUAGAAGCACGGAACUCGGAGAUGCCUAACACCUUCUCCCGGGUUAACAGAAUUUUUUACCUGAAUUUCUAGUUCGCGACUGUAAAACAGAGUCAAUCUUUUCCUCGAUUCAGGAUUCGAACCGAUGACUUGGGAUACCAUGAAUUAUCCCAAGUAGCGACUCCGAAUUUAAUAAAAAUAAUCACGUUUCAAUUGUCACUUAAAUUGAAAAAAAUUCCAUUAUACCCUUCCAAAGGGUGUAGGAAAAAGGAGGUGUAACGGGUAUCAAAUGUAAUUUGAAUACAAAGUUAAACAUGAACUCGAUUUCACCUCUUUCGAGGAUAGGGGAUAUAAUAACUAGCUACUGGAAUAGCAGGUGAUGUCUGGGGUAUAGCGAGUAUUAAGAUCCUCAUGAUAGUAGUGAAUCAUUUCCGAAUGUGAUCGGAUUUAUACAUAGAACUUUAGAAUAACCUUAAUAGGGUUGAAACAUAUUAUAGCUAUUGAUGCUCGCAAGUCGCACAAACUACUUGUCUGUAUGAAUUAAGUGUGUUAUUUUAAUCGUGAUACUGGUUUGAGUCCCCCCCCCCCCCNNNNNNNNNNNNNNNNNNNNNNNNNNNNNNNNNNNNNNNNNNNNNNNNNNNNNNNNNNNNNNNNNNNNNNNNNNNNNNNNNNNNNNNNNNNNNNNNNNNNNNNNNNNNNNNNNNNNNNNNNNNNNNNNNNNNNNNNNNNNNNNNNNNNNNNNNNNNNNNNNNNNNNNNNNNNNNNNNNNNNNNNNNNNNNNNNNNNNNNNNNNNNNNNNNNNNNNNNNNNNNNNNNNNNNCCCCCCCCAUUAUGAGCGAAGUGGGAGAUGUUAGAUAUUGGAUCCCGGUAUCGGGUCGCUCCAUGAGGGCUAGCCCAACUCAUUUGGGAAAAAUAGAAUUUUAGAAGAGAUAGGGUUUAAAACCCCUCUUUAAAGAGAGGUUACUAUACGUUUAAGUGUAGUGGGACUCUUAAAAGAGGUUGCUACACGUUUAGUAUAGUGGGAGCAGUUUUCCCAUAACUGCUAUCUUCUCUCUCCAUAUAAACAUACACUUUCUUCUUUUUCUAAAAGACGGUAGACAUAAAAAGUAAGAGUGAGAUUAAAAAUCUCUUCCCAGUCAAUACAAGAAGAUAUUUAGUUUGUAAAAUUUUAACUUUGUUUCCAAGAGAUACAAAGUACGACUUGGAGUAAUUCUUUUGGUGAUAAGUUCAAUAAUUCUUCCAUUGCUUUGACAUGUACACUAAUAUUAUUCUCGCCCUGCAAUUAUUUUCAUUACAGUAAUUCUAAUACCAACUUAUUUUAUUUGUUAACACCAAUAUUAUUAUUGUCAUAAAAAGAAUAAAGCAAAUGUUAUCUAUCUUGCUAUUUUAACUCAGAAAAUCACGUAACUUAUUUGCUUGUUUGGCUUCAUAUCUCUAUGCAUGCUUGCUUGGAUAGCUUAUUAUUGUCAUUGUUUCUCUUGGCCAAAGUUAAGGAGAAAUUCAGAAAUAAUCAUAUUUAUAAGUUUUCAUUCAAAAAUAAUCGCAAUUUCAAAAGUCGUCGAAAUUUAGCUUCUUUUUAUAUAAAGAUAAAUCUGAACGAAAAUAUUAUUCAAAAAGUCCAUACACAGGUGCACUAAAACUCCAAUAUAUUAUGCUUGACCGGUCUCUAUUGCAACAAAAUAAUAAUUAUUUUUCAAUGACUUAACAAACACUAAUUACUUUUAAAUGACCGGUCGGAAAACUUGCUAGCACUAUGAAUAAACCAAGGCACCGCAUUAAAAGUACUGUUUUUCAAGGUAGAAGUCAGAGUACCCAACUUAGAAGUUAGAAAUCUAGUCUUUGCAGAUUGUAUAUACUUUGUUUCAGCCUAUGUUGAUAAAAUGUAUCAGAAGUUUCAUUGUGACAUGACACUUAUCACAUGAAGAAUGUUCCGUUGUAGCCAAGACAUUGUAUUGAUAUUAACAUUAAAAGUUUACCAAACAAGUAUAUGACCAAACUCAUUAACACAUUUCGAAUUAUAAAUUCGUGGUGCUUAAUCUAUCCCUUGAAACAUUCAUAUAACAAAUUACACUCUUACAAACUGCUUAUUCAUUAUAAUACCAAUGGCACUUGCUAAUUUGAAUGAAGCUUUUGGUAUUACAAUGAAUACACGAUACAGACUCCAGCACACGAUUAGGAUAACCCAAGUCAUAAUAGCCCCAGCCAGCCAAAAGUAGAAAUAGACAAUUACUGUAAAACGCCUUUCUUCCUCGCUGGUUUUUUUUUCAUUUUUCAUAAUAACAGCAUUAUAAAGCAUUAACAGGGACUGUGAUUUUUACUCUACCUAUCAGUUUGCAACAGGUGUAUUGGCUACAUAACCUGACUAAUAAUACUUAUUAAGGAAAAUAUAGCCAGCUGAUCUUAAUCCUUUAGUAACCGUGACAGGAGGGAAACAAUUGUGGAAAUUUACAUGCCUCAUUCUUUUAGCCUAACAUCCUAAGAGACCAGGCCAUUAUACUUUGAGGCCAAUCAAUUGUAUACACGAAAGAAUCGGGAUCAAAUCCCCAUAAAAAAUGGGGUGCACCAUGAGCUAUAUAUGAGCAACACAGAUUAAGGCAACCAUCAUCAAAUUUGCAUCUGCCGUCAAUUAUUUGCUUCAGCUACCCAAGCAAGAACUUGAAAAUAUCACUAAGUGAUAUGAUACCUUCUACACGUUUGCUUCCCGCUUCCACAACAAGAAGUCGCCUGACCCCUGCAAGCAAUAUGCAACAAGUUACUACUAUAACACAUGAAAAUAUCAGACCAAAGAAGAUUUAAUACUAUGAUUAAACAGAUAAGAGAUUUAAAAGUGUUGUACUGAGUAGUAUCAUAGUAAAAAAGAGGACAAAGGCUUAACCAGGUCUGGACAAUCUUUCCAUCACUUCAUGCAAUGGAUCAGAACGUAAACACAUGUGACAUUUUUGACUGCUCGACCCAUACGAUGAAUAUGGUUCCUCUGCAAGCUGCAACGCCUGCAAAAACAUAUACAGAUGAAAGGGAAAUUAACAGAAAAAACAUCUAGAGUAUAUAUACCAACAUAUGGUUCCUCUGCAAGCUGCAACGCCUACAAAAACAUAUACAGAUGAAAGGGAAAUUAACAGAAAAAACAUCUAGAGUAUAUAUACCAAUGUAGCUCUGCACCUAAAAGUAUGUUUACAUACAAAAGCUGCAAAUUAUAAACUCAGCAUUGUUCCUGUAUCUAACCAAUACAACUAAUUAGAGAUGCUUUUCUUGAGCCAAAACUUGAACGACGACUAUAGAGUUGACAAUGAAUUGAUUUCUGUCCCAGAAAAGAACCAUAUAUAUAUUUUUGAAUGAAUGGGUAAAAAAUUAUAAAUUAACCAUAGAUUUAAAAAAGAAAACACAGGAAUUUCCACCAAGAAAAAUAUUCCAGCUGUUAGGUGUUGUUAACAGCUUAUAGCAAGCAUAGACCACCUAAACUCUGACCAACACCUCCACAUUAACCCCCNNNUUCUUCCUGUCAGCUAAAUUGGCCACAAGUUUAAAGACUCUCGAGCAACUAUUCUGUUACCCAAAUGCAUAACAUAUAUUCUGGCAAGAAAGUUCAUUACUGCUGGCAUCCAACUUCGAUCGAAUUUCAUAAAACUAUCCACAAAAUAUAGUUGUUGAAGGGGAGUCCUGGAGCAAUGGGAAAGUUGUCUCCGUGUGGUCACGGGUUCGAACCACGGAAGCAGCCACUAAUGCUUGCAUUAGGGUAGGUUGUUUACAUCACACCCUUUGGGGGUAUGGUCCUUCCCGGGACACUGCGUAAACGCGGGAUGCCUUAUGCACUAGGCUGUCUUUUUAUCCACAAGAUAUAGUUGUUGUACCCAUCCAAGCAAAUAUGAAAGAUACAUGUGCUGAUUUUCUAGUUUUUUUGCGAAUCAUUUAGUGAGAGAAGAGUAACUCUGCCUAUGUGAAAAGCAAAGCCGAUCUCAGGAGAGCCGUGGAAGGUUAACAGCCAGCAUAAAUACUCAAAUCACGGUGAAUCUUUUAGGAUACAAAGAACCUCAUACAGCCAACCCAACUAGUUGGAGACUGAGGCAUAGUCGCAUUGAGAAUUGUUCGAGGAAACUAAGAUUCCACCUUUCUGAAAAGGGAAUGCUCAGCCGCAGGUGAGAGGAAGGGAAUAAAACCCCAGGCACAGCAGUCAUACCACUUAACUACACCCAUUGAAGCUAGAAAUAUACUUAAAUGUGAACACACAUCAAUACUGCAUGAGCUCAAGGCACUACCUGAUGAAUACUCAUUUCCUCAAGACUUAUGUGCGUAUAAAUCUUGUCCUUGGCCAAAGCUGUAAUAUCACUGCCAACCAUAGAUUCAGCAAAUUAACCCAUUGAAAGUCUACAUACAACUACAAAAUCUACCAGUGUGAAGUAUGGCAAAACAACUAUUCAUUUAUAAACCUAUGAAAGUCUACAUACACUACAAAAUCUACCAGUGUGACGUAUGGCAAAACAACUAUUCAUUUAUAAACCUUCGGGAAUAUAUAUCCAAUAGGGAGUCAUUAUCAUCAACAAUGGGAAUUGCACUAACUUGAGCUGCAAAGGGAACAAAAACAUACAUAAGAGAUGCAGUAAGGUGAAAACUGAGAUCAGUCAGUGUAUUGAAUCACUAGCCAAAACUUAUCACCAUGAGACAAAUAACAUUAAGAUUCCAAAAAUUGAGAAUUCACAUUCUUCCGCAAUAACAGUGUGAAGUAAACUUUUUAGCGGGCAAUUAUAUUAAUUAGCAACUAUACAUGAUCUUAGCCAAAAGACUGAGAAAAGAUUAACCUUGCACUAAUAAAUCCAAUGCUGCAUUUAGAGAGGCAGUAGGCCUCAACAUUGCCAGUGGUUGUCGAUUUGGCUCUCCAAUUCUUGGAACCCAUGUGCCCAAAGGAAUUGCACCAAUUGGCAACUGAAGAAUUGGUAAAGAUUCUGGAGAAUACUUGAAAUACCUGCAAAUAUCUGAAAAUUAACGAAGUUGUGAGUCACGAAACCAAGAGUCAGUGAACACCCAAGAAAAAUUUAAAAACUCACUUUUUAGUAUCUCAGAAAGAGAAGCAAGAUAUAAUAGCUGAGGAUAUGAUCCAUCCUGAGCUGGUGAAUGAAUUAUAGGUAUUGUAGCAACCCCAUUUUGCAAAAUUUCCAACGCUACAUUCUUCAAGUUGUCAUCUGGCCCGGCCUGCAUUGCAUAGUGAAAAUCAAGCCAUGUAAAAGAAGUACAUGACAAGCAAUAGGUCCUAAACACACAACAAAAGUCUGUGAUUCAUGAAUCAGGACAUAAGACUAACAAUGUUUUAUACUUUUGGUAUAAGGAAAGUGUAGCUGAAAACUUAUUUCAGUAUUUGGAGGUCUUGGAUAAGCUGAGCUGAUUAUUGUAACAGCUAUCCCAGAUUCUCUUUGUUGUACUUUUCUGUACCUCCUUGGUACUUCUUUCAAUAAAUUUAACCUACCUUAUAAAAGAACAGAUGACUAACAGAAGUAGAAGAAAAAAAGUACGGGCAUCUUUAACAAGAAAAGUGCCAUGAUAGCCAGAUGCAACUAAGCAAAUUUAAUCAACUGAUCUCACAUUAAUACAGCACAUCAGCAUUGACUAAAUAGGCACAGGGAAUGCUAUUCUCUCCUACAAAAUAGAAAAGUGUGUAAUUCAUAGCAGCAAAAUUGUGAUGAUCUUAGUAGGCUUUCAUCAUUUUCAUUUCCAAUCAUCAAACUCAUGAUUGAUUCCAAGGUAUAGAAUAUAAUAACAAGUCGGUAUAAACUAAAUUAGUCUUAUCAUCUACUCUUAGAGAACCAUAAAAGAGCAGGAUCUUAUUCUCCAGGCUAUCCACUCUCCACCCUAUCUAUUACAUAUAAGCAUGAGUCAAAUGCUUGAAGAUUUCCUUCAACCAAAAUCUGUAAGUUACAGCUAUGGAUGGCAAUACAACAGCAAAGUACUCGAGAACAUAAAUGGGGAUUUUAAGUGUUUAACAAUAACCAAAAAUAUCCAUCACAAUUGCAAGGCGAAAGGAUAAGGUCAAAUCUGGGCUAUGCACAUUGACAUUUUCAAGCAGGCCAUCAACUCACCCAGACAAGUCGUCGGGGAACUGAUUUACCAUGCUCAUUGGCUUGUCUGCUUAAGUAAGAUUUUGCCUCUUUCCAUGCAGAUAUAGUAUGUGUCUCAAGCUCUUCCUCCGUCAGAUUGGAACCAUGAUUCCCAAGCUGCAAUAGGCCACGUUUUUUUACAAUCCAUCAAUUACCAGAGCAAAGAGUAAAACAUCUGAAUGUCUUUUUCAGAAACAUACUAAUUAGGGCAAAUGCACCGUAGAUUCUCACAAUAUGUGUUGCAUGAAGGAUUCACUAUUAACAACAUUAUAAAACUAUAACUAAAGUGGCAAAAUUGCAAGAAAUUCUACAACUUCAAGUAGCAAGUUAGCACUAAAUUUAUCAUGGCAUGUUGUCAUAAAAGAUUUAACCAUAAAAAAGGCAAUCAGCCAGAAGACGAAAUAAAUGACCCCAUAAACCUACCAGCUGAUUUUAACUAACUGAUCAUUGAUUUUGAAAUGAAGCAUGACCAUAAGACCACAGUCGUUAGGGAAACAGAAAAUACAUAAAUUUAGUUAGAUCCCACCUCAUAAACCCACAUUUUGAUGGAAUGCAAAGACAUAUUAUGUCAACAAGGGAAACUUUCAACAUAGAACUCACAAGAAAUAACAGCAUAGGUACAAAGAUACUAAGUCAAGUAUUAAGUAAUUUGGCUAGAUUACCAAAAUGGCAUGACUACAACACUUGCCUGGUUAUCAUAUAAAACUUUUGGUAUCAUCUAUUUCUUUUUUAAAAAUUUCCACCUUUCUUAGCUUGGAGGUGGUCAAGUUCCUACAUGGUGCAGGUGUUUCAGCUUAAAGAGAGGGAAAAAUUAUUUCUGUACAAUUUUGAAACAAUAUAGAUGGGAGACAAAGCCAAAACUUCUCAAACAUACAUAAAUCAAAUAAAAGCAUAGGUAUACCCAAAAUGCAUAAUGGAUCAUGUUAUGAUAGGAAGCAAGCACAAAAUCAAACCAGAGGGCUACCUUCAAAUGUCGCUUUACACAUACUUCACCUUCAGCAUGUCUAUAGAUAAGACAGAUACAAGGGCACUUCCAAAGCAGUAACAGAAGUAUAGAACCACAAAGGGAACAAGCCAGACCACAUUGUAAGCCCAAAAAAGGGGACCAGCAUUAAUGAAUUCAUAACAAUUAGAUGCCAUACAAGAUGUUGGAAGAAAUACAAAUACUGGUAGCAGCAUAUUAGUGCUAAAGGAAUUUGUCAGUUAAAAGACAUAACAAAAACUUUAGUCGAGGUGCGUGUAAGGUGCCUGGACACCAUGCUUGUCCCCAAAAAAAAGACAUGACUAAAACUUGCAAAGAGCUCUGGGUACCUCUCUCAUGAUUAAAAUAAAAUCCAAAGCGCUAAGGACUCCAACAAAUUGUGCCCUGCUGAAAUCCCAUAAAGGAGCCAUAGGAAUACCCUGAAAAUAAUACGCCCCAGAAACAGAUCUUACAAGAUCUUCAGGAAGAAAAUAUCUAGAAGUAUAAACAGCAUAAUGGAGAAGGCAAAGCCUAAUCUUUUUAUUUUUAUUUUUAGUGAAUACGGCAAUGCGCAAUCUUAUUUUCAAAGUAUGCUAAUAAACUCAGUAUAGCUGCAGAGGAAGCAGAAGUAUUAACUAACAAGUCAUUCUAUUCCCAAUUCUAGUAAAUGAACGAGGCUCAUACAAUAAUGCAUGAGAAAUCACAAAUUAUAAAAUAUAAUUCUAUAAGACAAUCAGAAGGUGCUUAGCACUAGAUUAAGCAUAUAUUUGGAAUGUUCUGACAUCCACAAACUUCUGUUCAAUGACCAUCCUGCCUUUUCUCUUUUAAAUGGAAAUGAGGCGUCAAGGCUGGACCCAAUGGAAGAACGGUUCUCAAAUGUGACAAAGUCUGAAAGUACCAUAUGUAUCAUGACACACACAGUACAUCUAGCACGAUAAAAUAUAUACCUGCUCAUGAAGAAUAUGAAAUGCUUGCUUUACGGGUAAGUCAACAUCCAAAGCAAUGACCUGAAAAGUAGCCGAAAUCAGGGAAGGCAACAAAACAUUCAUACCCAUCACAUCACCUAGAGAAAAUAUAGGAUAAACUAACUCAAACCUUGCUUGACCCUGGAAGCAGCUCAUAAGCUGUAUGUGUUGAUAGGACUGCAGAUAUACGGUGACGGGAAAUAUCUAAAUCUGUCUGUGAUAUCCUGGAAGCAUCAUCUGGCAAAGCACCAUCUGACACUCUUACCUAAAACAGAUAAGCAAAAAGAUUUUUAACAAGUCAAAAGGCAGAGUCACCAGCUCCCCCUCUAGAGGAUAUAAGAGAAUAUGUCAACAUAUAUAAGAAAAAAGAUUUUUAACAAGACAAAAGGCAGAGUCACUAGCUCCCCCUCCAGAGGAUAUAAGAGAAUAUGUUAAGAAGGGGGUAAAGAAGUCACAUAGGCUAUAAUGGUUGAACACCAGGUGCUUCAAGAUCACUUGUUUUAGCAUUUAGUGGACCAAAGUGACCGAUGCCUCACAAAUAGAUGCAGAGGUUCUUAUAAAUGUCAUCAAGUCAUCCCGUCUCAGAAAAGAACGGGCUAGAAAAGAAGUGACACCCCCAUACCACAAAUGAGCUGGUUCAGCAAAGAAUAAACAUAAACUAUACAGUUAAUAUGGAGGCUUCAUGUCUGACCUCUUCAAAAAAAACUGGACAUGUAGAAGUUAACUGUUGAUGACGAAUGAUGGCUUAUGCACCAAAAGAAUAUAUACAUACAAAAGCAUAAAUCCUCAGCUCCAGGUACAGAAUAGUGCAUACAGUGUGAUGGAGAAAUCCAUAAAAAUGAUAAUAGAUACGCUAAGAAAGUCUCAAUAUCCUAAUGAUUCAUGAACAACUUGCAACGUUCGGCAAUUUGCACGAGUACAGCUUUCUCUUACCAAGCGCUGAAAAGCCUGACUAUCCACAUCCAUGCUACAACUAGGAGGUAUUCGUGGAGUUAGUACUGCUGGAAGGUAGUCUGAUUCUCUAGCCAAGAGGACAGUAUUAACUGUUCCAUAGCUUCCACUCACAAAAGGUUGGUUCUCAUCAUGUCGCCAAUCACCAUCAACAAUGAACUUGUACUGCAAGUAAAGUAUGUAACCAGAAAUCCUUUAUCAGUUCAUGUAAGGAAGCUGAAAUGCCAAAUCUAAUGAGGAAAAGAAGCAAAAAAAAUUGAAUGCUGCAUCAAGAAAAGGCAAAUGAUAUUAAAUCUCAAAAUCAUGACACAGAUAAAAAUGACUCCCAGAUCUGAGACAUAGGUAAGAUGCAAGAUUACCGAAGGCCGCCCCGUAUUUCUCUCGUCAUGAAAGAAAAAGUGCAUGGGAAAUGCUGGCAAGACCUCACACUUAUAAAAGAUUCUUUCUUGUUUUUUCUUAAUUCUGAAACCAAAGUUUUGGCAAGCCUUUAAACUGAACAGUCACAGCUGAGUAUGAACUCUCUGUCUACUACAGUUGUCUAGAAGAACUAAUUAACCAUCUGCCAGGCAGCUCAGGUGUCUGUUUUUGAAUAUACAGACUAAAAUAAGGAUGAUGCCCGCACCAGCAAAGAUAAUGCUUUUAUGCUGGUCUAGAAAGAAAAUGAGUAAGGACCAUAGGAGUGCUUGGUUAGCAAUAGCAGCUUGCCUUUGGCAAUGUGGAAGGAAAUGAAUCAUCUUUAAAGUAAGGCCGCAGCAGUAAAUGGACUUACAACAAAAGCUAGUAUCUUUUAGCAAUUUGGUGCAACCUAAUGAAUAUGUAUGAAUCUAUAUACCCUGCUCCUUGGCAUUGGUUUAGAUGAAUAUAAUGGCAUACUUACCCCCAAAAAACGGCCUACUAGCAUCCCCCUCCAGCAACCCACUAAGAUGCUUCCUUCCAUUACAUCUCUAUUCUCACUUGAUGGCAGGAGUUUCCACACCAGAAAUGAAUUUCAAUCCUUAAAUAAAGCAAGCAAUGAAAACCAGUAUCCUACGACAGCCCACAUACUUGCUGUAGUAAGUCAAAUAAAACAUCUUUUAUGACUAUCUAAGUAGUUCAUCAGCAAGUUUACAAACUGGACUAGGCGGUUAAUGGUCUCGGCAAGUAGCAGCAAGGCUUAAGAAUCCCAAAAUUGGGAAAGUGUUUUCUAAUUUGCUUUAGACUGAAGUUAGGUCACCUGUCGAUAUCUACAAGAACUAAAUGAUUUGUCACAAUAGAGAGCAUGACAGCCUUCGACAAUCGACAAAUAUGUGAAAACUAGUCCUACUGCUAUCCAACUACUUACUAAUUAAAAGAAUAACAUUCACAAUUGUUUGCUAUCCACAAGAAAAGCAUAUAACUACUGAAACUAAUGGUACUAUCAUUUGCGCAAAUCACUUUAACUUUACAAUAUUAAUCCAUAACACAAAACAAACCUGAUGGUAACCAGGUGGUAUGCUGCAAAUAGCCUGAAAUACAGUUGGACAUCCUUCAACAGGAGUCAUCGGCCAUUGCGACCACCUUCAAAAAUUAUCCGUAAGAAAAACAAGAUAUUAGAGGGGCGCGUGCACACAGAGAGCGACAAAAAAAAAAGACAAGAAACAGUAAUGACAUGUUUGUGCCAGCUUAAAGUUAGUACCCAGUAAAUGUGCCACUCAAGCAAACACUUCUUCCCCCAUAAGGCCACACAAAACGUGUCGGAAUCAGAGCUGUGCCACUGUCCCGUGCAUAAUCCAUACCAGCAGGAUACACUCACUCUCCAAAUUAUAUUAAAACACAACCCCAGAUACUGUACUAUUCCAAAUUCAAAAAUGCUGAAAUUUAAAUAUAGUCUGAUGAAGCAUUCACUCUUCAAAUUAUAUAAAAACGCAACCCCAGAUACAGGACUACUCUAAUUUCUAAAAUGCUGAAAUUUAAAUAUAAAAUCUGAUGAAUGCAGCACAAAUAAAUUAAAAACCACAAUAAUUAUGGUUGACCCGUGACACGAAAAAAGUCUCAAACUAUAAUAAUACUAACCAGCAAAACCCAAAUUAAAUAGAAAUAAAAUAACAGACACCCAGUAGAAGUAAAGAAAAGGAAAAGGCUAAGAACUUUACACACCAAAAGGAAUUUUAAGCAAAUACCCAAAUUAAUAGAUGAAAUGACAAAUAAAAUUUGAAAUUUAAAAUUUCCAAUAUGAUUGAACGAUAAAAUGGUGAAAAAGCUUCGAUCUUUGGGACGAAAGGGAAGUCGAUCAGGGGAAAUGAAAACCCUAGAUAUGUGAAAAUGGAGAAUUGAGUUAAAAUUUUAUUUUUAAAAAAAAAGGAAAUGCAGAGAAAUGAAGAAUUAUAGAGAGAGAGACAGAGAGAGAGACAGGAGAAAACCCUAAUCCUAGAAUUUCUUUUUUGUUUUUGCUUCAAGAGGAUUUUUCCCAAUUCUUUUUUCUUGAAUUAAAAAUGAAGAUGUUCUUUUUCCACUAUUGAGAAAAAGAAAAUAUAAAAUCGACGCGCACGAAGUAGUGUGAGAUGCAACAAAACGGAGCGGAAACGGGGCAAAUACAGACCCGAAAGUGGCAAACUGAAAACUGAACACUACUAAUAUUACUUCUAGUGCUGCUCUUGUGUUUGUUUUUCUUGGGUAAAUUUGGAGGGUAGCCAAAAGUGGUGAAAGAGAAAGAGUCGAAUGAAUAAGAAUUAAUAUCAUGAUGAUGUAAAAUAUAAAGUGAAAGAAUUGAAUUAGUAAAAAUUACGGUCAUAACAGUGUAAAGCGAAAUAAUUGAAUGAAUAAGAUUUACAAUUAAUAGGUUAAAGCGAAAGAAUUGAAUAAGUAAAAUUUAUCGUUAUGAUGAUGCAAAGCGAACAUGAAAUUUUUCGCUUUGAUUGAAAAAUAAAUCAAUAAAAAUUACAAUAUUUUGAAAGAUUAUUUUUUCUCGAUGGAAAUAAGUUAUUCAUAUAAUUAAGAAUGAAAUAAAUAAAUAUAUAAAGAAUAUUGCUUUAAUAGAGAUUACAAGACCAAGCUCACUAUUUAAUAGCUUUCUUGUUUUGUUCAUAGUUACAAGAUUUUUGAGGUUACAAUUAUUCUAUCAUCACUUGUUUUUUCUCUCUUUUUAAAAGUCACUUUAAGGCAACUUUUCACUAUGUACGUACAAAAUCAACAUGAUCCUAUCAUUCAAAAUUUUAAUAUGUGAAAAGCUAAACCUUCAAAUAUCUCCUUAUUAAUAUAGAGAAGAACUCACUUUAUAUCCAUUAAUUUUAAAUUUUUUAUCCUUUUAAUGCCUAGGUUCAAACUAUUUACUACUUUUAUCCAUGUGCCCCAAACUAUUUACUGAGGAAGUGCACAUUUGGCCACUAAUAACACAUGUAUUUAUUUUUAAGUCACCGUUUAAAAUGUCUUUAGUCUUUAGCCACUGCUUUAAUAAACUUUAACUGCCCGGACAAAAUUACCAUUUUGCUCAUGUCCUUAACUUGAGGACUUUAUGACUACAUGUCCUUAACUUUUGAACUUGGAACUCUAAGUUCAGGACUUCAGGACUUCAGGACUACAUGUCAUUAACUUGUGAAUUUGGAACUCUAAGUUCGGAACCUCAAUGCUACAUGCUCUUAACUUUUUUAACUUGGAACUCAAACUUCAAGACCAAGCGUCCUUAAAUUUUGAACUUGUAAGUCAAAGUUAAGGAUAUAUUGUUCUUAACUUUUGAACAUGUAGCUGUAAGGAAUGUCUGUCCUUGACUUUUGAACUUGGAAAUCAAAGUUAAAGACCUAUUGUCCUUAAUUUUUGAACGUGUAACUGUUAGUUAAGGACUGUUUGUCCUUAACUUUUGAACUUGUAACUGUAAGUUAAGAACUGUUUAUCCUUAACUUUUGAACUUGUGCCCUUAACUAUUAAAGUUAACUUUAGGAUUUCAAGACUACAUUUCCUCGCUACCAAGUACUUGUAUUUCAUCUGAAGUGACUGGAGGAGUUUUCUGUUCAAUAUUUUGCGAGGCUAUUUCUAUCUCCGGAUCAAUAUCAGAAGGAACUUCUUCGUCACUAUCACCUUUGACUCAGAAUUCGCAAUCUUCGUAUUAGCAGCUGUUUUCAAAACUAAAAGCAUUGUUGUCAAUCAUAACAGUAGUGAACAAGCAUAAAUUAAAACCAAAAGAAAAUAUUAUAUUGAUACACACAAAACAAUGGUCUUAAAUUACCUGGGCUCUUUGUUUUUCUUUCUUGAGUUGAGCAUUGCUUAGAUAGUAUCACCUCACUAGCUGGAUUGCCAGUCUCCUCUUCUCUAACACUUCUGGGAACUCGGAAAUACACAACAUAUUUCAAGUUAAAGAUACCAGAGAAUACGAAGUCUUUAUGUUUUAAUGCAUCGGUGUAUUUCCGUUUGGGGAGGAAAGGGUAACACAAUCUUUUUAUAUUAAUUUUAAUAGAAUAGUAGCUACUACUGCUAAACAUUAAAAAUUGUGGAUAAAAGUAAAUACCAGCUUAAACAGUGGCUACCCCACGCCAUUUCUAUACUAUUUACCUGUCUUUAUUAUGUUCCUCUUCUUCUUCUUCCUCAUUUUACCUUCCUCCAUUCUUUGCUCAACUUCCCAACCAUGUCAAAACCACAUUUCGAAAAUAGUAGUUCAACUUCUCGCCCACUCUCAACCCAUUCUGUUUCCAUCUCUUUUUUCUAUAGUAUUUACUUUCAAUUUAUAUCUUAUAGUAAAGUUUUAAGAAAGAAAAUAGUUUUUUUUGAAGAUUUAUUGUUUGACUCGAUGUGGUGUUAUAAAAUAUUGCUUGUAUUAUCGUCGAGUAAGCUUCCCAGAUCUAAAUCUUUUUGUGUAUUUGAAUAUCCACUAUUGUUGAUCUUGAAGCUCAAUUUUAUUUUUGAAGAUUUCUUGUUUGAUUCAUGAUUCAAGGUGGGUGAUGUUGAAGUUUAUACUGAAAUUUGAUAGCAUUUGGAGCUGAUUUGAGGUGAUUGAGAUUGAAAUUUUCAGUUGAAAAUCGAAGAACACAGCUACAGUAUUCCGCUACGGUAUACAAUAUAUUGUCGGAGUAUAUAGCUAUACUACAAACACAGUUACCCAACAGUGUAGCGCUACAGUAUACAAUAUACUAUAGGAGUAUAUAGUUAUACUACAAUAGUAUACUAUUAUAGUAUAUAAUAUAUUGUAAUAACACACAAUAUACGGUAACAAUAUGUUGUAAUAGUAUACAAUCUACUAUAAUAAUGUACUUAUUACCGUAAAUUCACUUGCCUUUUUCCUUUUAAUUUGCUUUAAGCUUUUACAUAGCGUGAGAGGCAAAUUAAAAAUGCAAAAAAAAUAUAUAGUAUCCUAUAUAAUGUAACGACACACUCUUACAAUUAGAUUCUUUUAGAAUUUUUUGAAAUUUUUAUUAACAACUGAUAUUAUUUCAGUUUAAUAAUUGAAUUAAACUUUUUUUAGCUCUUUGUGUACAAUUGUAUACCCUAUUGGUAUAACAAUAUACUAUACUUGUAUCAUAUGUUAGUUAAUAUUUUUUGGCUGAUUAGCUACAUUUAAUUGGUACACAAUUUGAUUUUUCUUUAGUAAUAAUAAUAAAAAGAAUAAUAAAAAAUGGUGAAAUAGUAACUAAAAUUAGAUUAUGAAGAGAAAAAGAAUAUAAAAAAGGGAAUUUAAAUAAAAUUAGAAUAGGAAAAAGGAAAAAAUGAGAAGAAAAUGAGAAAAAAAGGAGAAAAGAAAAAAAGAAAAAAGAAAAGAUAGGAAUUAAAAAGAAUUAAAAAAUAAAGAAAAAAUUCCCCACAAAAUUUACCAUGAAAAGAAAGUGUAAUUAGUUUAUGUGUCAAAACCUUAUUAAUAUAUGUCAUUUUACGUGGAUGGCGAGAUAUUUAAAGGUCUAUAAUUUUACAUAUCAAAAUUUUGAAUGAUAGGAUAGAGAAUAAAUUAGAUAAAAUAAAGGUCGUCAUUCCAAAGUAAUAGCAAUUAAAAGCACUAUAUAAAAAAUAAUAAUAUUCAAAACAGGUUACAUGUUUUAUUUCAAAGUGGAAUCAUAUUUUGGCACAUCAAGAACUAAUAUGUGACAUUGAUGAAGCCCGGUUCUUUGGUACCAAUUGAAUUGAUCUAUGGAUUCGCAUUCAAACUACAUGUGAUAUUAUAUUAUCAGAAUACUAAAGAGGUAUAACCCAUGACUUUUAACAUUACUCUAUCUGAUUGUACAAAAUGAUUUACAUCAUUUUGCGAGUUAUUCUUGAGUAUGACUUGCACACAAUUUGAAGCUAACAAAUAUUUCUUUUGAGAGUGAUUGGUGACUUUUCAAUGCGAUAGCAACAAGAAAGAUUAGUUGAAACAUUGACCCAAAUACGAACAUAUUUAAAAAGAGGCUGAAAAUUUUAAAAUUAGUUCGACUGCUACAAACUAAAAAGAAGAAGUAUUGAUGGCUCUGUGCAUAAUCACAUUUAGUUCGUCCUUUAUAAAACUUUAAUGAAAAUUUUUCAGUAUAUUGUAGUUUUAGGGAUUUAAAAUUCGAAUAACCAUUUUAAAACUUAAUCUAUCUGUAAGCAUAUAAGUUUUAUUAAAAUUAAAUCCGUAAAAUAAUUUGGACUAUAUUUUAAAUUCAAGAUAUAUUAGUUCAAAUAAAUUUAUUGGGCUAUUAUAAUUGAACUAAUUAUAUAAGUCCAACAUAUAUGGAUUAAAUAAGUAAGUCUCAAUCCAUUGGGUUAACCCAUUUAAUUGGCUAAAGUGAUGAGUCCACUUCAUUAGACCCAAUAUGUCAUAUUCCUAGAAGCCCAAUUUGGUGCCACGUUUCAAAUGACAUGGCGCGCCAAGUCAAAUGGAAGAGUAAAUAGGAUCAUGCCACGUGUCCAAAUGACAAGGCAUGCCAAAUCAUACUAAAAGACCAAUGAAAUCGCACCACGUGUGCAAGUGACAUAUUUUGACCAAUCAAAUGUGGUCAUGUCACACUCCAAUUUGAUUGGUCGGAAAGAGUUUGUUCUUAUCAUAACUCUUCCGUUCCACAACUAUAAAUAGGGGUCUUCAUAACUCAGAAAAGGGACCAGAAGUUAUAACAAGAAGUCCCUCCUACAACUAUAAAUAGGAGUCUUCUUAACUCAGAAAAGACACCACAAGUUAUAACAAGAAGCAAGAAAGAGAUCGUGGAUCAAACGCUACAAAUUCCUCCACAAGUUUCAAGCUUCAAGUUCAAUUUCAAGAAAUCAAGUUCAAGCUAAAAAACGAAGACCAAAUCAAGUUCAAGUCUAAGCAAUUAAGCUCAAGCUCAAGAACAAUAUCAUUGUUCGUGGCGACAAAUAUAGAUUCAAGAUCAAGCUCAAAGGCCCUUGAAUUUAUUUACUAUUGGAAAGAAGAAUUAGAGGAUUCAUAGAGAUUGUAACACUCAAAUAUUCGAAAUAAAAUACAAUAUUAUUGUGAUAUUUUCGGUCUUGAUUUUAUUCUCUCGAAGCAAAUUUAUUAUCUACAAAUUCUUGCACGCCCAGUGGGACAAUCUCUACCUCUCAUCUCAACUUUUCAAUCAUUAAAGUCCAAGAACGUUGAAAUGACUUCAAAGAAAAUCAACUCCGGUUCAACUUCCACCAAGGCCACUAACUCUAGGUCCUACGCUGAUGUGGAAAGCAUCAUCGAUAUCACCUUUGGAAGCUUCAGACCAGUUACGAGGAGCAAAGCAAGCUUUUUUAGGACAACAAGCAUCCCAAGCACCGUCUGCAUCAACCCUUGUUUUCGGAUCUUCAUCCUUAAAAGGAGCAAGAUCUGCCACAAACGCAUCUGAAUGAGGAAGCGAUGUUGCUGAAAAGAUCAAGAAAACACUGGCUCUGCUUGACCUCUCCGGCUCCGAGCACUCUUGCUGUGAAGGAAGAUGAUGAUGCUUCAAGUGAUGUAUCCUCCCCACUUACACCACAUAGCGUGAGCCAAUCAAGGAUCAAUCUGUGUGAAAAUUCAUGCUACUCUCCGUCAUCCACGACAAUCAUGCAAGUCUUGGUGAGAAGCACUUCAUCCAUGGAGGAUCAGUUGGCAAAUUUGACGGAAGCAGUCGCUGGCUUGACCAAAUGCGCUCAAAAUCAAGAGGUUAGAAUUGACAAGCUAACAAAUAGGGUGUGAAUCUUGAUACUAUAGUAACAAACACUUCAUCCAUGGAGGAGCAGUUGGCAAAGCUGGCGUGACUAAAUACAUGCAAAAUCAAGAGGCAAGAAUUGACAAGCUAACAGACAGGGUGGGAAUCUUUAUGGAGGAAGAAUCUACCCAUGCAGCCGGCAAGCUCCCAGAAGUUCUAGAGAGUGACUCUCUCCCAAGACAAGCAUCAUCCACUAAGGCUAUCCCUGUCUCAUCUGAAUGGAUGAUUCCAAUCAAUCAACUGAAGGAGUUCAUCGAAGGAACUAUUAUGAACAAAUAUAAAGUUGCUGCCAAGUCCUCCCUUACAUAUGCAAAGCCGUACACUACAAGGGUCGAUAUGUUGAAGAUGCAUGCUGGCUAUCAACCUCCGAAGUUUCAACAGUUUAAUGGUAAAGAUAACCCGAAGUAACAUGUUACGCACUUCCUGGAGACAUGCAACAAUGCUGGGACUUAUGGAGAUUACCUCAUCAAGCAUUUUGUCCGCUUAUUGAAAGGAAAUGCUUUUGACUGGUACACAAACCUCGAGGCUGGAUCCAUCGAUAGUUGGGAUCAACUAGAGCAAGAAUUCCUCAAUCGCUUUUAUAGCACAAGACGCACGGUGAGUAUGAUAGAGCUUACAAAUACUCGUCAACAAAAGGGGGAACCAGUUAUCGACUUUAUCAAUCGUUGGAAGAAUGCAAGCCUCAACUGCAAAGACAAGCUUAAUGAAACUUCAGGCAUAGAGAUGUGCAUCCAAGGAAUGUAUUGGGGAUUGCCCUACAUCUUGCAAGGUAUCAAGCCUAGCACAUUUGAAGAACUUGCAACUCAUGCCCAUGACAUGGAANNNNNNNNNNNNNNNNNNNNNNNNNNNNNNNNNNNNNNNNNNNNNNNNNNNNNNNNNNNNNNNNNNNNNNNNAACUUGCAACUCAUGCCCAUGACAUGGAAUUGAGCAUGGCCUCCGCUGGAAAUGAAAGGCUGCCCAUCUAUGAACCUCGCAAAGUGAAUGACAAGAAAGAAGUCAGGAAGUGGGGCAAGUUCGUACCUAAAUCUGAAAGCAAAGAAGCUAUGAAUGUAAAUACGUUACCUAUGAAGUUCACGACGAAUGUGAGUAAGAAGCAGAGUAUGAAAUCCACUUCUUUUCAUGAUAAUCCAAGUGGAAAGUUGACUCUAAAAGAGAUGCAGGAGAAAGAGUACCCAUUCCUGGAUUCUAAUGUGCCAGCCAUUUUCGAAGAACUCCUCGAUUUAAAUCUCAUUGAGCUUCCGGAGAUGAAGCGAACAAAUGAAGCUGGGAAAACAAAUUACCCAAAUUACUGUAAAUAUCACCGUCUUGUAAACCACCCUCUGGAGAAGUGCUUUGUUUUCAAGGAUAAAGUCAUGGACUUGGCUCGCGAAAAAGAAGAUCGUGCUUGAAGAGGAGAAAGCAAGCGCAAACAAGGUCUCUAUCACCUUUGGCUCAUUCAGUCCGGAUGAAUUAUGUGGUUUUAAAGAAAAUAAGGAUGAAGAAUUAAUAGAGAGCGAAAAAGAUGAAGUCAACCAACCUGAUGAUGAUGAAGGCUGGACAUUGGUGACUCGUCGUAGACACCACAAAAGAAGCCCACGAAAAGAACCAGUGGAACAACCAACAAGGAAGAUGAUUAUUAAAAGACCAAUAAAAAAGAAUCCAGUUAGGCAUUUGAAGAAAGCAAAAGUGGAGAUGCACCACCCUCAAAAGCCACGAAAUCAAGUGACCUUUGAGGAGUUUUUACCAAGUUGGUUCCGCACGAAGAUUUCCCAUAAGGUCAUUGAUGUCUCUUGUUGCCAUGCUGACAAAGGAGAAGAAAAGAGUGAUGACCUACCGUUGGCUCCAUCUUCGGAAAAUAGAGUCCACUCCUCAAAAAGUUAAUGCUUGUAAGGAGAAGGUUACUUUCACGAAUGACGAUCUCUUACUAGGUAACACUCCUCAUAACUGCCCAGUGUACCUGGUUGGCUAUAUACUAGAUUAAAGGGUAAAUCGAAUUUUGGUUGAUGGAGGAUCCUCAAUGAACAAUUUGCCAAUCCAUACUGUGAAAGAACUUGGUAUUCCCAUGAACGAACUCUCAGAAAGUCGUGCGAUGAUCCAAGGAUUCAACCAAGGGGGGAAAAGAUCCAUAGGCACAAUCAGGCUGUGAAUCACUAUUUAAGAUAUGCAAUCAAGUGCAUGGCUGCAUGUGAUCUGCGCGAAGAUUUCAUACAAUGUUUUGCUUGGGAGGCCUUGGAUACAUGAGAAUAAAUUAGUUCCAUCUACCUACCAUCAAUGUUUAAAAUACUAUGAAGGUGAAGUAGAGAAGACGAUAAUUGCUGACGAUAAGCCAUUCAGCGAGGCUGAGUCACACUUCGCCGAUGCAAAGGUGUUUAAAAUACUAUGAAGAUAAAGUCGAGAAGAUGAUAGUUGCCGAUGAUGAGCCGUUUAUCGAGGUUGAGUCACCCUUCACCGAUGCAAAGUUCUACUUGAAAAACCGCAUUGUGAAGGAGAUGAAAGCUGAUGGUGGUAUGAAAAGCAAGAAUAAAGAGCCCUCAGCUAAAAGAGAAGAGGCGACUACUGGUGAAGCCAAAGCUGUUAGUAAGGAGGUACAACCCAAUGUAAAUAAAUCUUAUGGAGGGAAUAUUAUGUCUUAUGGCAAAAAAGUAAGUUUGGCACUCUAAUAUGUCCCUAAAAGGAAGAAAAAUGAAGGUGAAUCAUCUAAUCGCCUAGCUAACACGCUAAAAGAGUUAACUCUUUCGGUCAAACAAUUUGAGGCAGUAAAGUCGUCUUCAAUGCCGCUUGCAGAGUUUGUAGCCCAAAAUCGUUUGCAGAAUAUGGCACUCCCUACAAAGUGAUCAGAUGGAGGUUUUGAUCCUAAUGCUUACAAGCUAUUUGCAAAAGCUGGAUAGAAUCCCAAUGAGCCGUCAAAGUUAGGAAAGCUCCCAUCUGAAGCUGCAACGAGGCAACCACGUGAAGGUCUAGGAUACAAGCAACCGUCACUUAUGCGCAUCUUAAUAAGGAGGGCGAGCAGCAACUAUAUCACUAAAGAAGAUGAAUCAGCCGCCUCUAAUAAGCCUUUUUUCUUUGAUCGACUUGGAAAAUCACCCGUGAGGGCCUCCGUGUUUGAAAGAUUGGGUCCACUAAAGAAGGGUAACAAGAUCCGGAGAAAUUUUCAAAGCAUAAGAACACUCGCUUCACCUAAAAUUGAGGAGAUCUCCAAGUAUUUCCAAAGUUUGGUUCCUUCUAGAAUGAGGCGACAAACAAAACUUAUGGUUUCAUGUAAAUAGGCACUGAAGGUAAAGCCAUACACCGUGGUCUACACUAAGGAACGUGAUGAAGACAAAGAAAUUGUAGGUUCUUCGUAUCACAUUACUGUACAAGUUGAGAAUGGCAUUCCAUCUUCAAUGGAACAUAAUGCGAAAUUGGAGCAUGUUUCAGUGUUAUCACACAUCCCUCAAUGAUGGUGACCCUCAAGAUGAUGAAGAUGCGAAAGAUGCUCCGCCUGAACUUGAAGAAGGAGUGAAUAUGACAAUUGAUGCCUUAAAAGAAGUCAACCUUGGCACUGAUGAAGAACCAAGACCAUCCUAUAUAAGUGCUUUACUUGAAGUUGAUGAGAAGGGUGCUUAUAUUGAGUUACUCAAAGAGUUCAGGGAUGUCUUCGCUUGGAGUUACAAAGAGAUGCAUGGCUUGGACCGGAAAGUAGUAGUCCAUCACCUUGCAGUCAAAAAUGGCGCUCGCCCUGUUAAGCAAGCUCAAAGGCCGGACUUGGUUCCCCUAAUUGAAGCUGAAGUUAACAAACUCAUUAAAGCUGGAUUUAUUCGGGAAGUUAAAUACCCAAUAUGGGUUUCAAGUAUUGUCCCUGUAAGGAAGAAGAAUGGCCAGAUUCGAGUAUCCGUUGACUUUAGGGACCUCAAUAAUACGUGUCCCAAGGAUGAAUUCCCGGUUCCUAUUCCAGAGCUGAUGAUCGAUGCUACUACUGGUUACGAGACAAUGACUUUCAUGGACGGUUCGUCGGGCUAUAACCAAAUUCGCAUGGCACCAAAAGAUGAAGAGCUUAUGUCCCAAUGAUGAAUUCCCGCUUCCUAUUCCAGAGCAGAUAAUCGAUGAUACUACUAGGUAUGAGGCAAUGUCUUUCAUGGACGGUUCGUCGGGCUAUAACCAAAUUCGCAUGGUACCAAAAGAUGAAGAGCUUACCGCGUUUCGCACUCCCAGGGGUAUUUAUUGCUACAAGGUAAUGCCUUUUGGCUUGAAGAAUUCUGGUGCUACUUACCAAAGGGCUAUGCAGAAUAUUUUUGACGAUCUUCUCGAGAAGAAUAUCGAAUGCUAUGUUGACGACUUGGUGGUGAAAUCAAAAGAGAAGGGCGACCAUAGAAAAGACCUGAGGAUGGUAUUUGAAUUGCUCCCGAGGUACCAACUUAGGAUGAAUCUAUUGAAAUGUGCCUUUGGAGUUACUCAUGGAAAGUUCCUUGGUUUCAUUAUCCGACAUCGAGGGAUCGAAAUUGAUCAAGCCAAAGUUGAUGCCAUUUUGAAAAUGCCUGAGCCUCGAGAUAUCCAUAAAUUGAAAAGUCUGCAAGGAAAGCUAGCAUACCUUAAAAGAUUCAUAUUAAACCUGGCUGGGAGGUGCCAACCAUUUAGUCAUCUCAUGAAGAAAGCCGUUCCUUUCAAGUGGGACCAAGCUUGUAGCAAUGACUUCGAAAGUCUCAAAACCUACUUUAUAAAGCUCCAAUUCUAGCAGCUCUUACACCUGGGAAGCCAUUGAUACUAUAUAUUGCGACGCAGGAAAGGUCUGUUGGAGCAUUAUUGGCCCAAGAAAUAGUAAGGAGAAAGAAAACUCUCUUUACUACUUGAGCAGGAUGAUGACACCUAACGAGUUGAACUAUUCACCAAUUGAAAAGUUGUGUUUGGCGCUAGUCUUCUCAAUUCAAAAGUUGAAGCACUACUUUGAAGCUUAUGUAGUCCAUCUUGUUUCUAAAGCAAAUCCCAUCAAGUUCGUGAUGUCAAAACCUGUUCUAAGUGAUCGACUAGCGAUAUGGUACCUCCAAUUUCAAUAAUUCAAGAUUUUGUACAUCCCUCAAAAGGCUAUAAAGGGACAAGCAUUGGUAGACUUCUUGGCAGAUUAUCUGAUACCUGAUGACUAGGAGCUAACUGAUGAACUACCUGAUGAGGAUGCAAUGGUCGUUGAAGUUCAACUUCCAUGGAAGAUGCACUUUGAUGGUGAUGCGUAUUGUGGGGGAGUCGGGACUGGCAUUAUAUUUGUCACUCCCCAAAGAGAAGUCUUGCCUUACUCCUUCACCUUGACACAACUAUGUUCCAACAAUGUUGCUAAGUAUCAAGCCUUAAUACUUGUGCUUGAAAUGGCCGUUGAUAUGAAGCAAUUGCAAUUGAAAGUCUUCAGUGACUCCCAGUUAGUGGUCAAUCAGCUUUUGGGUAGUUACGAGGUUAAGAAGCCUACACUACGCCCAUAUUAUGAUUACGCUAAAUAGUUGAUGGGAUGGCUCAAUGAUGUGACUAUUCAGCUUGUGCCAAGGAAAGAAAAUAAGAUGGCUGAUGCUUUAGCUGCUCUAGCUUCAUCAUUAGCACUGCCUGACAAAGCACAAGUUGCCGUCUGCCAAAAAUGAGUAGUACCUCCGCCAAAUGAGGUUGAAGGUGAAUAAAACAAACUCAAGCAUCUUGUUGCGGUUUUUGAAGUUGAGAAAGAAGAAUGGCGACAACCCAUCAUCGACUACUUAUGCUAUGGGAUACUUCCAGAAAAUUCGAGGAGAAGGACUGAAAUCCGUCGUCGUGCACCUCACUUCCUUUGCUACAAAGAUACCCUAUACAGAAGAUCAUUCGAGGGAGUACUCUUGCGACGCUUAGGGGAAGAUGAAGCACUCUAAUGAGAAGAAAGACUGAAAUCCAUCGUCAUGCACCUCACUUCCUUUACUACAAAGAUAAUCUAUACAGAAGAUCAUUCGAGGGAGUACUCUUGCGAUGCUUAGGGGAAGAUGAAGCACUCCAAGCUUUGCAAGAAGUGCAUUCUGGGGUAUGUGGGUCACACCAGUCUGGACCAAAGCUGUAUUUUCAUAUAAAAAGGAUGGGAUAUUAUUGGCCAACGAUGGUAAAAGAUUGCUAGGACUAUGCUCGAAGAUGCAAGGCUUGUUAAUUCCAUGCGAAUUUUAUUCAUCAACCUCCUGAACUGUUGCACCCCACUGUUGCAUCCUAGCCAUUUGACGCUUGGGGAUUGGAUGUUGUUGGACCACUGCCAAAGUCCUCUAGUAGGCACCUAUACAUCUUGGAUGCAACUGAUUAUUUCUCACAAAUGGGCUGAAGUUGUUGCUCUUAAGGAAGUAAAGAAGGAAAAUGUUGCAAGUUUCAUCCGAGUAAACAUUAUUUAUCGCUUUGGCAUUCCUCGUUGCAAAAUAACGGAUAAUGAAAAGCCAUUCAAUAAUAGGUUGAUGAACAAGAUUUGUGAUCUCUUUAGCUUCAAGCAACGUAACUCUUCGAUGUACAAUGUUGCUGCCAAUGGUCUAGCUGAGGCAUUCAACAAGACUCUAUGCAACUUUUUAAAGAAAGUCAUCUCCAAAUCCAAACGAGAUUGGAAUGACCGUAUGUAAGAAGAUCUAUAGGCAUAUAGGACGACUCACUGCAUGCCAACACAUGCAACUCCUUAUUCACUCGUUUAUGGAGUCGAAGUCGUCUUGCUACUUGAGCGUCAAAUACCUUUGUUACGGCUGGCUAUUCAAGAAGGGAUCACUGAUGAAGAAAAUGAUCGACUUCGGUUAGCAGAGUUAGAAUCUCUUGAUGAAAUGAGAUUAGAAGCUCAAUAGAGUCUUGAAUGUUAUCAAGCUAGAUUAUCUCGUGCCUUCAAUAAAAGAGUUCGCCCGAGAUCCUUUCAAGUAGGAGAUCAAGUCCUUGCCGUACGAAGACCCAUAAUUACUUCUAGAUUAUCUCGUGCCUUCAAUAAAAGAGUUCGCCCGAGAUCCUUUCAAGUAGGAGAUCAAUUCCUUGUCGUAUGAAGACCCAUAAUUACUUCCCAUUAACAUGUAGGGAAGUUCACUUGAAACUGGGAUGGACCAUAUGUUGUACAAGAAGCUUACUCAAGUGGGGCUUACAAGGUGGUUGAUGCAGAUGGCAUGAGGAUCGACCCUAUCAAUGGCAAGUUUUUGAAGAAGUAUUAUCCUUGAAGUGCCACGCUCCUUGAUACACGAGCCUAAAUUGCAUGUUGCUAUACUCCUGCCCUCAUGAGUCUAAACUGUGUAUGGCCCCUAUAAAAAAUUAAAAAAAGAGUCCGCUAGGUUGAAAAUCUCAAAAGAGGCAGCCUAGGCAAAAAUGCAUGUUGCUAUACUCUUGGCCCGCAUGAGUCUAAAUUGUGUAUGGCCCCUACAAAAAAAAAAGAGGCCGCUAGGUUGAAAAUCUUGAAAGAGGCGGCCUAGGCAAAAGUUAGGACACAAAGAAAAGAGUCUGCUAGGUUGAAAAUCUCGAAAGAGGCGGCCUAGGGAAAACUUAGGACGUAAAAAAAAAACUACCCAUUCUGAACUACGGUAUGACUUGAUCCUCUUCAUCGAGGUACGUAGACAUAUUAGAGUUUCAUUCUAAGUUCAAAAGAUACAUGUUGCCCCCGUUGUUGUUCGAAUGAAGUAUGAAGGAAUGUAAGAUCAAGCUGAAAUGUCAUCCUCAUGUUGAUCUUUGAUCUCACUUGACUUAAAGGGGGCAAUCCUCCAUCGUAAAUUGAUAUAUUCAAUGGGCCGAUUUUAGAAGGAUGUCAAGUAUUUGCAUUGGAGUCGAGGGAUUCUCUACGUCUUCGGGUUCGACAAACCUUCAAAUUAGUUGGUCUCCAAGUCCGCCCUCUACCUUAAAAAAAAGGGGGUGGGGGAGGGAGAAACGAGGCGUCAAAAGGAAACACAAUUAUAAGGAAAUGAUUGCUUGGUGCAACGUUUCAAAAAUUCAGUGAGAUUUGAACCCCAAGAUAUUUGUAGAAUAUGGCUCUUAAAUUUCGAUUUAUGGCAAGUAAGAUGUCUUUCAAUCUCGAGCUUCCAUAUCAUGAUACAAAACCUUUGGCAAAGUCGCGCAAAUCUAAAGUUUCAACGUGGUGGAACCUAAAGUUGAUUUCAAAAUAUCAUUUGGGAUGAUUCAGAGGUUGUUUGACCGAGGAUUUUGGAUAUGUUCUAGAUCUUGAAGUCUAGUUUUCAAUAAAUCAAACGGUUUGUAAUUUCGAUAUUUCUACACCGAGAUAUGAGUUUUUGGUGAGAGUACACAAAUCCAAAAUUUCCUACAUGGUGGAAUCUACAGUUGGUUUUAAAAUAUUACCUAGGUCGAUUCUGAAAGUGUUUGAUUCUUUGUUUUGGUUACGUUUUAGAUAUUGAAGUCUAAUUUUCAAAAAAUUAAACGGUUCUUUAGUUGGACUCUUCCACAACAAGAUAUGAAUCUUUCAUUACGAGCGCCGAGCGCGUAAAGCAGAAAAUUGUGCAACUAAGAUAAAUGUCGGGCAAAAUAAAAAAAGAGAAGUAAUCUUAUUUAAGAUGAAAUAAAUAUCCACUAGGUCAACCUAAUAUAAAGAUAAAAGGGGAGAUAAUGCUAAUAGCCUAAUCUAAACAAAACUUGUUGUUGAUAAAUUCUUGACAGCUAGCCUCUAGGUUCUUCUUCUUCUCCUCCAAAUUGGCCGAAUCAUCAACAAUCAAUAAAUUUACGUAGUCAUAUGAAGAGACCUCAAUCUCGAUAGUUGAAAUUUUUGCCUGAAUAUCUUGUAGUUGAUCAAUUCUUGACAGCUAGCCUCCAGGUUCUUCUUCUUCUCCUCCAAAUUGGCCGAAUAAUCAAACAUCAAUAAAUUUACAUUGUCAUAUGACGAGACCUCAGUCUCGGCAGUUGAAAUUUUUGCUUGAAUCUCUUCAACCUCCUUUUGAGUAUCUUCUAUAACACCUUCGAGGUUCUCCCUCUCUUGUUGUAAUGUUUGUAACUUCUUCACAACUCUCUUCAGCCUUUUUUCGCUAGAGGAAACUUUCUUGACUUUCUCACUUGCGUCAAGUUUGAAUGAUUUGAGACACUCAUUAGCUUUGGAAAUAGGCUCUAGCUUCUCAUCUUCACUCGUCUUAUCAGCCAUAUUGGAUCGCUCUUGGUCAUAUGACGCGGCAAGUUCAAAAAGAGAAAAGCCUCUAAUGGAUAAAGAUCCAAAAUAUUCGUCUUCUUCAUAUCCUCGAAAAUCUCAAUGAUUUGCUCCCAAUAAGAUGAGAGCAAUUCCUGACGAGUUUUGGAGAGCCUAUUGCAAAUAUCCUCCCAAAGUACCAAGAUCAAUUCCAUUUUGCGAUUAACAACAAUGCUUUUUCCUUCAAAUAUAGAUAACACCGUAUUUGUCAUUGGUGGAAUGUGAUUUAUCUCAUUUGGAGUUUGUCUUUUUAGGGAUUCGUCAUGAGGGAAAAAUGAUGCCUUUGAAGAUAACUUCAUUUUACACGUAGGCCCUUCAAUAGAUUCAUCACUCACUUGCGGCUUGUCGUAAGGGGAUACCAUCGGAUGCCCAAUGGUGUUUAACUGCAUAAAGAGAAGCCAAAGAAUGUAAGUAAUUUAUAGUGAAGCUACUUAUAAAAAAAUAAAAAAGAAAAAGGGAAAAGGCGAAGUGAUUGUAUUUUACCUCUUCAUUACAAGCUGUAUGCUUAUCGAGGGACUAUCAACACUUUGAACCUGUACGACCUCUACUGGGAUAGGCCGUUUCCUUUUCCAAUUUUGAUCUUCAUUGGUACUCUGGCUUGUAUCUUGAGGAACUCGCAUGUUAACUGGAAGAACUGGAGGUUGUUUCUCUAUAUCUGUUGAAGUGUGCACCAUUUCUUUCAAAGCUGCCUUUGAGGAUGUAAGCUUCCUUUUUUAUGUUGUAUAAUUAUCUUUGGGAUUGGAGUUAGUGGUUCUCUUACUUUUGACAGCGUCUUUCCAACACCUUGAUCUUCACCUUCUAAAGGCGUAGUAGAUUUUAGCCAAACAUUGUCUAACAGAGCCCGUAAAUUAUUCUCGAGAAACUUUUCAUGCGCUUUCUCCCACCAAGACAUAUAAUUGGCAGAGAAAGGCUUCUCUACAGGGUCCCCCGUUGGAGGGGAAAACUGCACGUGACAUAGACCGAUACAGUGUAUAGAUCCUCCAAAAUCUGGUAAAACCCAAAUUGACGACCAAACCAAUGCAGGCUAUAUGGCUCGAUGAUGAAUGAGUUAUCAUGCCUCAAAGGGAGGUGAUUAAAAUGUAAGCUCAUGAAGUAAUUUGACUCCACUCUUGAGGGGCAUCAUUAUCCAUGUAAAUAAGGACGAGAAUUGGAUACCAUUGUUGGUGUCCAAACUAUAUCCUCCCCAUUGUGGAUGCAUUUUCUUGCAUCAUUCUCGUCAAAGUACCUCGGAGCUCCUUCUCUGGAGUAUGCCACCAUCAAAGGGACAGACGGGCCCUUAGCAAGUGGAUAAUGAGUUUUAAGGUAAUGUGCAAGCCAGCCUAAACAUAAUGGUUGGAAAAACAAACUUCGACCUGAUCAAGUUUUUAAGAACAUGAAAUCUUAUUCAAACCAUGAUAAAUACUUGCCAAAACUGGGAUCGCAAGGCUAAUAUUUUAUCCGCUUGCCAUUUUAAAUGUCUUGGGACGAAUGAAGCUCUCCGCCUUAUUGGGAAAUACAAAAGCACAUAACCAAAUUGAUAAGAAUGUUGCUAUAUGUGUUUCCUCUUUCUUGUCAAGUCUCACCAUAAGCUUGGAGAAUAUAGCUUCUUGAUCACUCGACCACCUAGUUGCCUCGGAGAUAACUCCGUUAGGAUAAUAUGUUGAUUUUAGGCGUGCGUAUUUCUUUUCCUUUCGCAGUGGGGCAAGUUUAUAUAUUAAAGUUUUUUUAUACCAAAAUAUUGUCCACUUGCUCAAGGAGACCUUUUGGUUAACACUUGUACCUUCCUUAAGGUGAUGGAAAGCAGCAAAUAAAUACUCGCAAGAUCGAGGGAUGAAUCUCAUCUAUUUUUCGUCUAAAUCGAUAAGUUCUCUUGUCUCAGGUACCACUUCUUCGUACGGAGAACCCACGAUAGCAGACCUCCAAGGAUAUGUAGGUCCCAAAGAGAGAUAAAUUAUUCCCCAGCUGAUGUAAGAAGCGUGUUCGCCUUGGGACACCAAGGCUCACAAAAUGCUUGCAAAACGUUUGAGUUUCGAUCAUAAGUGAAAAGUGAGGCAUUGACAGCAUCAUAAAUCUUUGCUGUAUUUAGGGUCUGUUGGCUUCCGCCAAGUACAUCUUCAGCCUAUUCCCAAUAUCUUGGAAUAUGACGAUACUCGCCCUUGAUUGUUGUUGUGUUUCCCCAACAUACUUCGCCUUGAAUUAUGCAACGCCCUAAGUUUGGAAGGGUGCUGGCGAUGUUUACGUGGUGAUGGUUUGGCGCUUGGAGAGACCACAUCUUGGCAAUGGAUUAGAAGUAGACUUAUGCUCCAAGGUCCAAUUUUCUACAUAGAGAGAGUUCCUCAAAGAAGGUCAUGGGGAUGGAUACCGGCUAGCUUGUGGGGUGUGAACUAAGAGCUUGGUUUGUUUUAUACCAUCUUCAAUCUCGAUUACUAGAUAUCUAAGUUUGGAGGAGGGUGAGGUAUAGUCUCUGAAAUUUUCCAUCUUUUUGGGCUGCAAAAAAGUAAAAAAAAAAGAAUAUUAGAAUGGACACAAAGAUUUGAAUGGAUGAAAUGGCCGCUAAUAUUAGAUCCAUAUUGAGAGUAAUGUCUCUGAUAGUCGGGCCAUUUUGAGAGUAAUCUCUCCGAUAGUCAAGCCACAUUCUGUGGCCGUUUUGAGAGUAAUCUCUCUGAUAGUCAAGCCACAUUCUGUAUCCGUUUUGAGAGUAAUCUCUCCGAUACUCAAGCCACAUUCUGUAGUCGUUUUGAGAGUAAUCUCUCCGAUAGUCAAGCCACAUUCUAUGGUUGUUUUAAGAGUAAUCUUUCCGAUAGUCAAGCCACAUUCUGUGGGCGUUUUGAAAGUAAUCUCUCCGAUAGUCAAUCCACAUUCUGUGGACAUAUAUCUCCGAUAGUCAAGCCACAUUUUGGGGCCUUUUUGAGAGUAACCUCACCGAUAGUUUAGUCCAUAUUGAGAGUAAUCUCCCCAAUAAUCGGGCCACUAAAGUAAUCUCUCCGACAGUCGGGCAAGGAUGAGUACUCAUCCCUUCACACCCCAAGAUUUCUUCUUCAUACAUGGAUUAUCUCGUUAACAAAAACACAUCCUUUCGUGUUUGAACUACAACAAAAAAGAAGGAAAAGGGCCAAUAAAGGAAGAAUAGCACAAGAAAAGAAGAAAAAAUUACCUUCGCGUCUAUACUUUCGAAUCCACAAAACUAGACUUAAAUAGAUUGUAAAUAUGCGAAUUGAUACUGAAAAAAGAUGAACGCAUGGGUUUAUAUAGAUCUCAAUGGGACUGCUGAAACGUGAAUUGCCGAUGUGGGAUCAGCUGCAGUUGCGUGACCAAUUUCUUUUGUUCCCAAGUUGAAGUUGGGGAAGGAAGUUGAUAUAUGGAUGAAUUCUAAGUACUACUAGUUGAGAUAGCGUAAUCCGUGUUGAAAUUGGUAUGGACGUGUGGUUUUGAAAAGAAAUUAUCAAAGUUCCAUGUUUAUCAAUCGCAUGAAAUUGACACAAUUUACGACAAAGUUCAAUUACAAAGUAAGAAAGAAUAUGACGUGAACUUCAAAGUUAACUAUAAAUGGGGUCAUUUGUUCUUUUUGAAAUAAGUAUUGUUCAUGAAUUAGAAGUACAUUUCAGAAGCAAUGUUCAACGAAUUACGUGACCAUAAGUUCGUAAGCUCCGAAGUGAUUCAGUUUUGCAUGGAUUAAUGUCUCUUAAGCUAUCAUUCAGUGGAAGUAUGUCAAAAUAAAUUUAUACUUCAAGCCUAAGCCUAGUCUUCAAACAAAAAUUAAAGUUUAACUAGUCUUGAAGUAUGGGACAUUUAUAAGCAUAUAAGUUUUAUUAAAAUUAAAUCCAUAAAAUAAUUUGAAGUAUAUUUUAAAUUCAAGAUAUAUUAGUUCAAAUAAAUUUAUUGGGCUAUUAUAAUUGAAUUAGGUAUAUAAGUCCAACACAUAUAGAUUAAAUAAGUAAGUCUUAAUCCAUUGGGUCAGCCCAUUUACUUGGGCUAAAGUGAUGAGUCCACUUCAUUAGGCCCAAAAUGUCAUAUUCCUAAAAGCCCAGUUUGGUGCCACGUUUCAAAUGACGUGACGCGCCAAGUAAAAUGGAAGAGCCAAUAGGAUCAUGCCACGUGUCAAAAUGACAAUGCAUGCCAAAUCAUACUAAAAGACCAAUGAAAUCGCACCGCGUGUGCAAGUGACAUGUCUUGACCAAUCAAAUGCGGUCAUGUCACACUUCAAUUUGAUUGGUCGGAAAGAGUUUGUUCUUAUCAUAACUCUUCCCUUCCACAACUAUAAAUAGGGGUCUUUAUAACUCAGAAAAGGGACCAGAAGUUAUAACAAGAAGCAAGAAAGAGCUCAUGGAUCAAACGCUGCAAAUUCCUCCACAAGUUUCAAGCUUCAAGUUCAAUUUCAUGAAAUCAAGUUCAAGCUCAAGAACAAAGAUCAAAUCAAGUUCAAGUCCAAGCAAUUAAGCUCAAGCUCAAGAACAAGAUCAUCGUUCGUGACGAUAAACAUAGAUUCAAGAUCAAGCUCAAAGGCCCUUGAAUUUAUUUACUAUUGAAAAGAAGAAUAAAAAGAUUCAUAGAGAUUGUAACACUCAAAUAUUUGAUAUAAAAUACUAUAUUGUUGUGAUAUUUUUGGUCUUGAUUUUAUUCUCUCGAACCAAAUUUAUUGCCGACGCUAUCUAUUAUUAAAAAGAAAUAAGUCAGCCAUGAGAAUUCUCCAUGUAUUACGUGAAGAAAAUGCCAUGUGGCAAUUUUAGGACAUCAUUUGUUAAUUUACUUAAAAUUAAUUUAUUUUCUAAAUUUAAAUUUCAAAAUAAUUAAAUAUCUACUUUUUUCUGUUUUACUUUUUCAAAAACUUAAUUUACCAGUAAGGAAUAAUAUAUGAAGAAGUUACCAAGUAUUCCUUGGGAAUAGGAAGUUUUACGAUUGUGGAGGUUUAAAAAUUAAUAUAUCAAUUUCUUUUAUAUUCUUUAAAAAUUAAUUUGUUAAAAAAGAAUAUGUCACGAUCCAAAAACUAACCUAGUCCUGAUGACGCUUAUUGUGGUACUAGGCAAGCUGACACAUUACCAAAAUAAAGUGAUAUUUUUGUUUUCAAGAUAAUCCCAAAGCUAUUUAAUAUAAAACCUACAUAAGGAGUUCAAAUCAAAACAAAAGUGCGAAAAAGAAAGCCCGACAUCAGGAUGUCAUUAAGUCAUGAGCAACUACUACAAACUGCUCUGAAAAUAGCAAGACUAAUAUAGUAUGAGAAUAACCAAAUUACACUAAAGAGAAGAUAAAGAAGGAGAAAAGCAGAGCUGUGAUCUCCAGGCAGCUACCUUCCUAUCUCCGACGAUCCGCUACUGAGUAAAUUAACAACUGCUACCGUGGUCAGAGAUGCCUGGAUCUGCACACAAGGUGCAAGGGGUAACAUGAAUACACCAACUCAAUAAGUGACAACUUCAAAUUAUGGAUUGGUAGGUGGUGACGAACUUAAUCUCGACAGAUAAACAGAGUUAAAUUAUGCAGAAAGUAGGCAUACUUUCAAUUCAAGUAUUCAACUCAAAUAGUAAAGUAAAUACAAAUAUGGACAACGUAAAGUAUGAAGCUUAGCUAAUCUCUAAGUGUCAAUGCACAAAAUGUAUGAAAAUGUACCAUGUACCUCCACUCUUUACAGCUCAACCACUCAGUACUGUAUAUGGCCAUCUGGCCCAGGGAAGAUCCAUCCCGGAAUAUAUACACAUCAAUGACAGUAAACACUCAAUACCGAGGAAGGCCUAUCCACCCCUGUGGAGAAGAUUCAUCUCCAAGUAUAAAUGUUUCUGACAAGAUCCAUGUCCAUGGAAGAUCAAUCCCUUAAUAAUAUCAACUACGCUCGCUGGGGGUGUAUCAUAGACUACGGAGGGGCUCCUACAGCCGAAACGCUAUAACAAUCAUCAAUAUAACCGCUGCGAUGUGUAGCCCAAUCCCAUAACUGUCACUCAUAGUUAGGCUCUUGGCCUCACUCAGUCAUCACUCUCCAGUCUCACACACAGAGGCUCACAAUACCAUGAAAACUAGCCCGGAACAAUGAUAUGAUAUGCCAAUAAAUAACAACUGAGAGACAUGAUAUGAAAUGCAUGGAUAAGACUGAGAAUGGAAUAUCAAUGAAACUAAUCAGAUGACAACAAGAAACGACCACUCGGGUCCCAACAAUAUUAGCAUAAAGCCCUAACAUGAUAUCCAGCAUGAUUUACAGCUUAUUUACUUAAUCACAUGAUAAAAACAUGGAUAUCAGCAAAAAAGAGUCACUAAACGGUACUAUGGAAUGAACCAAGUCCUGAUUCUCAUAGUACAUGCCCACACGUCCGCCACCUGACAUGUGCUCCACCUCAAUACUUAUCACAUAACACAUAGUUUGGGAUUUUGACCCUCAAAAUCAAGUUUGGAAGCGUUACUUACCUCAAAAUAAGCUAAAAUCCUACACCGCGAUGCUCUUGCCUCUCAAAUCGGCUUCCAAUUGUCUCGAAUCUAACCAAAAGUAAUACAAUACAAUCAAUAUAGGCCAAGGAACCAAUCCCACAAGAAAAAUUACUUAAUUGGACACAAAUCCCAAGAUCCACUCAAACUCGACACAUGGGCCCACGUCUCGAAAUUUAACAAAAAUCAAAAAAUUAUAAAUCUCAUUCACUCACGAGUCUCCCAUACCAAAUUUAUCAAAAUCUGACAUCAAAUGGCCAUUCAAAUUCCCAAAAUUAUCUCUCUAAUUCUCUUCCAUUUCCCCCCAAUUUUAUACCGUAAUUCCUAAUUUAGAUGCUAAAAAUCAAGAUACAAUCAUAAAAUUUAACCAAAAUCAAUUGAAUAACACUUAUCCUAAUCAACUCCCUGAAAAAGCCUUCAAAAAUCGCCCAAAUCCAUGGCUCAAAAUAUGAAAAGAAUGAGUUUAAUCCCUCAAUUUUGAGAAUAACAAUGUCUUCCUUUACUCUUGCGUUCGCGUAGAACAACUCUAUAGCCUCCCAACUUUAAUCUUUGGGAAUGCGAUACGCUCCUCGCAAACGCGAUGCCGUACUAGAUCAACCUUUGCAAACACGACCACAACCUUGCGAACGCCUAGAACAAUGGACUUGAGGUCCCCUACUGCCUCUUCUCUUCUUCGCGAACGUGAUACUCCUCCUGUGUUCGGAUGCACUCCACCCAUGAACCUUCGUGAAUGUGUCCCUUCUUCCCGAACAUGGAGAGAAAAACUUCCUCAAAUCACCUUAACCCCUUGCGAACACGAUAUCCUCCUCAAGAAUGCGAUGAAGAGAAUCUUUGCAACAAAAUAGCAGAAAAUCUGCUAAUUUCUAAAGCCAAUAAAUGAUCUGUUAACCACCUGAUACUUACCCGAGGCCAUAUGGACCUCAAUCAAACAUAUCAACACAUACCAUAAUAUUAUUCAAACUUAGUCGAACCUUCUAAUCAGUCAAAGCUAAAUCAAAAUACUAAAUUACCCUCGGAUUCAAGCCUAAGAACUUCUAAACUUUCAAAUUUCGCAAACGACGUUGAAACCUAUCAAAUCACGUCCGAAUGACCUCAAAUUUUGUACACAAGUCACAAAUGACACCACGAACCUAAUAUAACUUCCAAGAUUUCAUUCUGACCCCGAUAUAAAAAAUUUUAAUUCCGGCUAAAAUUAUUCCAACUUUCACCAUUUCAUGCCUAAUUCUACGACGGACCUCCAAAUCAUAUUCUGGACGCGCUCCUAAGCCCAAAAACGUAGAUAACAAAACCAUCAAAAUUCAAAUUCGAGGCCUUUCACAUAAAAGUCAAUAUUCGGUCUACUUUUUCAACUUAAGCCUUCAUAAAAGAGACUAAGUGUAUCAAUUUACUCCAAACCACUAUGUACCUGAACCAACUAAUCCGUUAAGUCAAAAUACAGCUGAAGAACACAAAAAAGCCCGAAAUGCGGUAAUGAGGCUAAAACUCUCGAAACGAUCGGUUGGGUCGUUACAGAAUAAAACUUUGGAAGUUACCAACAAGGAAUCAACUCCAUUCAUGUAUGCCUUUCCGUAUAAAAUUCUAAACCUUACGGAGUCUACGGUUGUUUUCUUCAAACAACCCACGAUGUCGCCUAUGAUCUCAACCCCUAACCCACUAAUCCUUCUUCCUCGGAGUCCCAAUAACAUGAUUUUUUAGAUUUUUCAUAUUAGUUUCACAUUUCUAUAUUAUAUAUCUCCGAUUCUUUCUCCUUUCUUCGCAUACCGCUCAACAAUUAUGGAUUGGAGGAGGUAAGUUCUAUAAUUUGUAAUUCAAGAACACUCAUAAAAAGUUUAGAAAGAGCAAUGAAUUAUUUAGUUUUUUCUUCCUUUCACUCCUUUGCUUCUCUAGAUUAUGAACAAAUACUUAACUAGAAUAUAGAAAAGCAAUAAAUCUCUAGUUCUUUCUUCCAUUCACUCCUUGAUUUCUUUCCUUUCGACAUUAUAUAAGUUGUUCAAGCCCACCCAACCUAUUUUAAUUUUAAAAUUUCAAGUGGAUGAAUGAGAAUUCUGAGAAAGUCUUUCAUUUGUCUAUCAUUAUAGACAAUCCCAUCCAUAUUAUCUAUUCUAUGGNNNNNNNNNNNNNNNNNNNNNNNNNNNNNNNNNNNNNNNNNNNNNNNNNNNNNNNNNNNNNNNNNNNNNNNNNNNNNNNNNNNNNNNNNNNNNNNNNNNNNNNNNNNNNNNNNNNNNNNNNNNNNNNNNNNNNNNNNNNNNNNNNNNNNNNNNNNNNNNAGAUUCAUUAUUUGUAUCUAAUUGGCUCCUCUUCUUAUUUAUUUUUGAUUUCAAUUUCAGCAUAUCGAUUUAUGCCUAACAAACUACAAAUAAUUGCAUUACAAAAUUAAAGGUUGAUUUUGUAAUGCAAGUCUUAGUAAUCUGAAGUCAGUCAUGAGAAUUCGCCAUGUAUCGCAUGAAGAAAAUGUCAUGUGGCAAUUUAGGACAUAAUUUGAUAAUUUAGUUAAAAUUAGUUUAUUUUCUAAAUUUGAAUUUUAAAUAAUAAAAUAUCUACUUUGUUUUUUACUUUUUCAAAAACUUAAUUUACCAGCAAGGAAUAAUAUUUGAGGAAGUUACCAAGUAUUUCUUGGGAAUAGAAAGUCACAAUUGUGAAGACUUAAAAAUUAAUAUGUCAAUUUCUUUUAUAUUCUUUAAAAAUUAAUUUUCUAGCAAGGAAUAAAACUUCGGAAGGAAUCAACUCCAUUCAUGCGUGCCUUUCCGUCAAGAAUUCUAAACCCUAAGGAGUCUGCGGUCGUUUUCUUCAAACUAUGUUUCCCCAUGAUCUCAACUCCUAACCCUCUAAUCUUCUUCUUCGGAGUCCCAGUAAUAUGAUUUUUCAUAUCAGUUUCACUUUUUUAUACUAUAUAUCUCCGAUUCUUUCUCCUUUCUUCACAUAUCACUCAACAAUUAUGAAUUACGUAAGAUAAGUUCUAUGAUUUAUACUUCUAGAACACUCAUAAAUUUUUUAGAAAGAGCAAUAAAUUUUUAGUUAUUUCUUCCGUUCACUCCUUGAUUCUUUAGAUUAUGAACAAAUUAUUAACUAGAACAUAGAAAAUCAAUAAAUUUUCCAUUUCUGUUUUCUUUUCACUCCUUGAUUUUCUUUUCUUUUAUCAUUAUAUAAGUUGUUCAAUAGAAAAAACAACAGGCUACUAAUAAUUGCAUUACAAAAUCGAAGGUUUGAUUUUGUAAUGCAUUUCUUAGUGAUCUGAAUUUUUUUAAUUUUUCAUCAAACGGGGUACUGAUUAUUUUUUGAAAUCUAGUUCCAAGCUUAAUCGCUUCUACAUCCAUGUUAGUCCUAAUAGUUUUCAAGAAUAUUGAUAAUUAAUAUAAUUCUAAUUUUCUCCAUAAAUAUAUAUCUACCAAAUAUUAAAAAUUUAAUUGUACAUUUUUUAAGGUCGAAAAUCUAGUGAAAGAUCGUAAACCUCAGACAAGGCCAGAGAACAUAAAAACAAAGACAAAUUGUACUACUGAUAGAUUAUGACAAGCGGGGUUGCUUACCACUUUCAAUCGAAAGGUUAUGAGUUCGAGUCUCCCUAAAAGCAAGGUGGGAAGUUCUUGGAGGGAAGGAUGCCGGGAGUCUAUUUGGAAAUAGCCUCUCUACCUCUAGGGUAGGGGUAAGGUCUGCGUACACACUAUCCUCCCCAGACCCAGUAAGUAGGAUUAUGCAAGUAGGAUUAUGCUGGAUUGUUGUUGUACUACUACUGAUAAUAGAUCAAAAUAUUUAUAAAACAGAGAUUGUUGUUGAGACUUUUGUACGAUUGCUACUUCUGUUCUAAAUAUAUGCUCAUACUAUUUUCUUGGGUUGUGGCCCGGUCUUUUCAGUUUGCCAAAGGCCAUAAAGGAACUUAUUAUAGGUAUGAAUAAAAUUUAUGCACUUCACUAUUGUUGUAAAUUUUUAAGGCCCAGUUGUCGGAGCAAUAACAGCAACAACAAUCCAAUAUAAUUCCAUUUAGUGUGGUUUGGGGAGGAUAGUGUGUACGCAGACCUUAUACGCAGACCUUACCCCUAACCUUGGGUAGAGAGGCUGUUUCCAAAUAGACCCCCGGCAUCCUNNNNNNNNNNNNNNNNNNNNNNNNNNNNNNNNNNNNNNNNNNNNNNNNNNNNNNNNNNNNNNNNNNNNNNNNNNNNNNNNNNNNNNNNNNNNNNNNNNNNNNNNNNNNNNNNNNNNNNNNNNNNNNNNNNNNNNNNNNNNNNNNNNNNNNNNNNNNNNNNNNNNNNNNNNNNNNNNNNNNNNNNNNNNNNNNNNNNNNNNNNNNNNNNNNNNNNNNNNNNNNNNNNNNNNNNNNNNNNNNNNNNNNNNNNNNNNNNNNNNNNNNNNNNNNNNNNNNNNNNNNNNNNNNNNNNNNNNNNNNNNNNNNNNNNNNNNNNNNNNNNNNNNNNNNNNNNNNNNNNNNNNNNNNNNNNNNGCAUCCUUCCCUUCAAGAACUUCCCACCUUGCUCUUAGGGAGAUUCGAACUCACAACCUCUCGAUUGGAAAUGGGGGUUGAUUACCAUCAGAGCAACCCCUCUUGUCUAGCCGUCGGAGCAAAUGAGUUUCAAUUUCAGAUACAAAUAAUAUUAUGACACCAAUUUCCACUUGUGACUAUCAAAUUCUCCAAAUGUAAAUAUAUCAACAAGCUCACAGUGACAACUUUAACAUUUAUCAAUAUUUUUUAGGAUAUGGGGUGGUAGUCAAAUAAAAUUAGCGAGGCCAUGGUAGUGCCACAAUUAGAUGCCGUUGUGAAGUUGAUCUAUUCCUGUAUUUUUGGAUUGAGACCUUUUAUAGGAUAUUAAAAAAACUCUUUUGUUGAUUAUGUACAUUGAUUUUCUUUUGAAUUUGAGACAAAAAUAGUGCUCUCUUUUAGUUCCAAUUAGAUUAAUCUUUAUAUAUUGCAUCUUUUAGGAAUACACUACAUGUAGAUAGCUAAUUGUUAAAAUACCUAAGUUUCAAAUCGUUUUUUCUGAAUCAAAAUACUAAUUAUUGCUCACUUUUAUUGUCUUGCACUUGGUAAGUAAAUGUAUAAUUCAUAAAGGGAGAGUUUCCGCAUUGCUUGACAAAGAGAUGGAAUAUUGUCACGAUCCAAAAUCUAUUAAGGGUCGUGGAACCACUGUCAGGCAAGCCAUCACCAAGAUGUUAGUUAAAUUCUCAUUUUAGUAUUUUUGAAAUAAUUUUUUUCCCUUACAUUAAACAACAAAUAAUGAACUUCACCGAGUAAGUAAUAACGUCUUUAACAAAUCUUCAAUACUGAAUAAUCACAUACAUCCCACAACCUAGUGUCACAAGUGCAUGAGCAAUUUCUAAAAAAUAAAAUGUAGUACAAUAACUGUCCGGAAUACAUGUUGGACAUAAAUUGAAGGAGAUUUUGUUGGUUGCGGAUCAUCUCGAGACAUGCCGCUCACCUAAUACUCCGUAUCAACCAUGCCGCUGGGCCCAACGAGACCAAUGGACAUACGUGUGCCUUGCAAUAAAAAUGCACAACAAGUGUAGUAUGAGUACGAAAGCAAAGCGUACCCAGUAAGUAUCCCGUCUAACCUCAAAAAAGUAGUAACGAUAGGUCGACUUUCAUACUUACUAGUGAUCCAAUAAUAAUAUAACAAUAAUAUGAAAAAUCGUGAAUUUUAUAAGGUGGCUGCACACUCAAUAAGCAUGAAGUUGGUAAAUAAUUCUUUGGUUAAUAGAAAUUUUCAAGUUCAUAUUUCAUUAUUUAUUAAUUUAUCCCAGGCCAAGGAGACAAUAUCCAAUUUUUGUAAAUCUCGAGGCAAGCAAUACAAACAUGCGUAAUUUAUGCCGAGGUCGUACGGUCCGAUCCAAUAAUACUUAAAUUGUGCACUGGCAGAAGUCGAAUGGUGUGAACCUUCAAUACAUCUAUUUAAUCUUCUGAGGCGUUCGUCCCGUUCCACAAAAGAUAAACACAUUUAAAUAGUUAAUCAACAGUUCAUCAAGGACAAUUAUCUAAGGAAAUGGCAAUUCCUCUCUUAACAGUCAAGAAAUUGUUAUGUAGCUUUUUAGAAAUUUAUUAAUCAAGUUUAAUAUUAUUUAAGCAUUUUAAAUUGACAAUAAGGUUGCAAAUGUUAUAAGUAACUUAUGCUUUUGGGCCCUAGGUUACCUGGACUUAAUCAUAAUAGUAGCUACGCAAGGACUCUCGUCACCUUGUGAGUACGUAGCCUCCACAAAUAGGAGCACAUAUUUAAUUAUUUCAUCUAUCGGGUUAAUUCCCUCGUACAAUGUUAGAAGGGAGACUUACCUUACUCCUAAGUUCCAUAAUUUCUAUAAAUUUCCAUGACUAACUCCAUAUAUAAACCUUGUAUUUAACUCAAAACUAGUGGAAACCACUUACCUGAUGCUUGGUAAUAAAAAUAGCACUCCAAAGUUGCUCCAAAAUCGACUCUCAUGGAGGAAAUGUGAUUGAAAUGAGCCCAAACCCCAUCUUUUAAAAGACACUACCUAGCGAUUCUUCGCACCUGCGGUCACUUGACAGCUUCUGCAAUUUCGUAGGUGUAGACCAAACACCAUUUCUGCGGUCCAGGACUUCCAGCUCAUUUUCACUUAUGUGCUUUUUCUUCCGUAGGCGCGGUCUUGCUUAAGCGGUAAGAUGACCACAUAUUUGGUCCCAUCACUCCCAGCUAAAAUUGCAUCUACGAUCCUCAUAGACACUUCUGCGGUUUCGCACUUGUGGCCAAAACCUCGAUGGUGCUGUUACACCAGAUGAUAACAGCCCUCAGCCUUUCUUCCAAUUCCAAACUCGAUCCGUCUACCAUCCGGAUUCUAGCCGAGGCCCUCAGGACCUUAACCAAUUAUACUAGCACAUCACAAAACUUAGUCGAGCCUUCAAAUCACAUCAAAUAACAUUGAUAUCAUGAAUCACAAUCCAAUUCAAGCUUAAUAAACUUUAUAACUUCAAAUUACAACAUUUGAUGCCGAAACCUAUCAAAUCACGUCGGAUUGACCUCAAAAUUUGCAUACAAGUCAUAUGUCACAUCACAGACCUACUCCAACUUUCGGAAUUGGAAUUCGACCCCGAUAUCAAAAAGUCCUCUUCCAGUAAAACUUUUCAAAAACCUUAAAAUUUCUAACUUAGCCAAGUGACUUCAAAAUGACCUACGGCCCUUCGAAUCAACUUUCGGAAGUGCCCCCAUUACCAAAAUCACCAUACAGAGCUAUUCCCCGGACUUAGAAUCUCAAACGGACAUCGAUAACACUGAAAUGCACUUCAACCCAAACUUAUGAGAUUCUUCCAAAAUGCUAACUUCCACAAUAGGCGCUGAAACGCUCUCGGGUCAUCCAAAACAUGAUCCGGACGUCCUUCCAAGUCCAAAAUCAUCAUAAAAAACCUAUUUGAACCUUCAAAUCCCGAUCCUGAGGUUGUUUACUCAUAAAUCAAAUCUCCGUCAAUUCUUUUAACUUAGGGCUUCCAAAAUGAGAAUUUUCUUUCCAAAUCAACUUCAAACUUCUUGGAAUUCAAUUCCGACCACGCCUACAAGUCAUAAUACCUGAAGGAAAUUUGCUCAAGGCCUCAAAUUUUCGAACGACGUGAUAGAUUUCAAAAUGGCCGGUCAGGUCAUUAUAUUCUCUCCCACUUAAAUAUAAGUCCGUCCUCGAACGUGCAUAGAACUGAGCUGGAGUUGUUUGAAAUCACUGUUAAACACCUCGUGCACCUACUCGUGCUAUCACAACUCAGUUGAGCACAUUAGCUUGAGCAAUUCUGAAUAUAUUCUCUUUUAUUCAAGAAAUAAGCUUAGAACCCAAUUCCAACACCUGAAAUUCUCUUCUAGGCCUGCUUCCAACAUAUGAACACCGUGUCAAUCGCUACACGAUGCACCGAUACAUGAUUUCAUAUCUUUGCUUAAUUCGUAGUUUGCACUGCAUAACCCACAUGACUAUAAUAACAUCCUCUGAUAACAAUAAUCAAAACUCCGCGAAUCUGAUUCUCCCAAUGCACCUCAUGACAUAUACAAAUCUUGUCCCAACUUUUACAAUACCGCCACGAUGGAAGAGAUAUGUAGAAAUUCAUAACCAACUACCGAGUCAAUAAAUCAUUGAGGUUAUACUCCUGAUAAGAACCAUUACCUCAUUCUGAACCAAAUAAUGGUAUUUGUUCAUUAAUAUACUUCAUAUAAUCCAAUUUCACUGAUCCUAGAUCCAAUAAUCUCGUCCUACCCAAUACGAGCUGCUCAGGCAAUAAGCCACCCCAGACAUGAACAAAAGUCUCAUAUGAUGUCAAAAUGCACCAAUAAGUUACAAGCUCUAAUGUGAUACAUUAGGAGAACGAAAUUUGGAAGGAACUACUCAACUCAUGCAACUAAUUAGACAACCGAAAAGGUGCUAUAAACCUUCCUUAGAAAAUGGGAAACAAAAAAACACAAAAACAAAUGUAGGACACUAUACCCGGCAUCAUACUGUUGCGACAUGCAACCCAAUCCAAACAAGAUACUAUAGCGGCGUGCCACCUAAUCCACACAUAAAAUUCACAUAAGGAGAUACUUACAGAGCUAAAUCGCUCAUUACAACAAAAUACCGAAUAUGGGUCACAAGCACGCUAAGGGCAUAAUACCUUCCUGAGGGACAGGUAGAGCCAUACGCUACAAAACUCAAACACUACUGAGAUGUGAUAUAUGAUCUGAAUCCAAAGAGCCAUCCUGCUCAUAUAACACCAUCGUUAUGCGGAACCUCAACACAUAAGAAAUUUUUCAAGUCGUUUCACGACUUACACGGCACAACAUAAUAUUACAUGAAAUAUCCGACGACGAAACAACAUCCCACGUUCAAAUACUCCUCCAUGACGAGUGCUAUGUUGAAAUGAACACGUCUGGCAUGAUAUAGAGCUCAUAUUCAUAUUUAAAUCCACUCAUAGCCCUCAAGCCAAUUUGAUCGCACUGUACUUGGCUAAUAAACUUUUAAGGGUUCAUCUUUUCCAAUAACACACAAGAACAGCCAUCAGAAACAGAACAAACUGCCACAACCCAUAACCAAAUGAACUGCGCCCUCCAAGCAUAAAUUCUCAAAUUAGCACUAUUUCCACGAUCUUCACACUUGGUUUAAAUCUUCAAUCAAUUAGGUGACUACAUGUCACACUUAUACAAUAUUCCCAUGAGAUACGCUCCCACGAUCUUCCGAACUAGAUACCAAGUGUGCACAUCCAUAACACUUGCACACUAAUGUUGUAUAACGUAUCAAGAAUCCCUAAUCAAGACGCAAGCCUCUGAAGCAAAAUGCUGAUCUCAAGUGACGUUGAAGACAAGACCAACUUACUCCAAACAUUCAAGCACCCUUCCUGCUCGUUGAAGAUUGGGACAUCUUUGUUGACACCAAACCGCAACCUUGAUCCUCACUUUCAAACUUAAUUCCGCUCACCGUGCCUAACUUGUCAGUAUGCGGUAUUACCAGAAUUUCAUCAUACCCCCUGAACCACUAAUAGGGUAAACACUUCACCAUAUAGAAGCCUUUUACUUAUCUCGUUACAAGAGAACCAUAGCAACACGCAAGUGAAUUCUCAGAACCAUCAUGCAUAACUAUCACAAAACAAUUGCGGCGGCCGUUAAGCUUAACAUGUACCAUCAAAAAUCACAUGAAUUACUAAUUAUGCUGGAGGUACCGAUUACUGCCAUCAUUAUGCUAAUUCAACCAUGGCUAACCAAUCUAACUUCUUCUAAUUUAUCCUUAACUUGCCUUAGAAAUAAUAAUAGCUCUAUUACUUACAUUAUGAACCUAACUCCGCUCUCAUCCCGAGUGUCCCCAUUUCACGAGACCACAUUGUCUCCAAACCCAUGAACAGUUUCAUGCCCUCAUUGCAUGCACAUUUGCAUUUUUAACUGAUACACCAAUUAUGAUAAUUCCUUUACGAAUCUAAAGUCAUUUUCUCUCACUCCUCCAUAUAUUACAUUACAAGCAAAAAAUAUCAUAAAACAUUCCGGGCCUCUUCUCAUAAUUCGCUACAUAAGCUCGAUUUGUGGGCUUGAAAUUCUUAGGCACUGCAUUUAACCUUUGAGUUCACUAGGACCAUUGUUGAGACUCACCCACUCUGGCUUGGUCCCGAAUAUCUUCAACCCUAAGGAUCCAAUGUCACAUGAACAUCCAUCUCAAUGAAGCACCCGACUGAAUCACUUCCCUUUUAAAUCACUUUUGUACUAAGUAUAAAUCCUGAAUCUUCCCAAGGCCUGAACAUGAGUCAAUAAGUCCACAUAUAUCACACCUUUAUCAAAUCAUUUGCUCAAAUUACCACUUAUGUUCUUUUCUCUUAGCCUUAAUAACUCACCAAUACGUCAAUAACUUGAAACCUCACAAGUAGAUAACCAUGAAACCCAAUAUUAGGCGGAGGGNNNNNNNNNNNNNNNNNNNNNNNNNNNNNNNNNNNNNNNNNNNNNNNNNNNNNNNNNNNNNNNNNNNNNNNNNNNNNNNNNNNNNNNNNNNNNNNNNNNNNNNNNNNNNNNNNNNNNNNNNNNNNNNNNNNNNNNNNNNNNNNNNNNNNNNNNNNNNNNNNNNNNNNNNNNNNNNNNNNNNNNNNNNNNNNNNNNNNNNNNNNNNNNNNNNNNNNNNNNNNNNNNNNNNNNNNNNNNNNNNNNNNNNNNNNNNNNNNNNNNNNNNNNNNNNNNNNNNNNNNNNNNNNNNNNNNNNNNNNNNNNNNNNNNNNNNNNNNNNNNNNNNNNNNNNNNNNNNNNNNNNNNNNNNNNNNNNNNNNNNNNNNNNNNNNNNNNNNNNNNNNNNGGGCUCUCCCACUUAGCUUGGAGCUACUAUUACAUAACUUUAAACCCACCAAGAUUCUUUCUUCAUUGCUGAAGUGAUCUUGCACAACCAAAUCGCCAAAUUUCUUGAAAUCCUUCUAUUAGCAUUUCAUGAUGAAUCUCUAGCAACAUUCACAUAUUCGACCUCUUACCGGAUAGUUAGUAAAAUCCUCUAUAGUAACUUUGUCAACCACACGUCCACUGAGCAGCUCACAGGAGAUAUCCCAUAUGUGGAAAUUACUUGCCGACAUUUGACGAUGCACUACACAAUUACUACAAAAUUUGUAACUCAUUCACGAGCUGCACCAGUGUCAUGACCCCAGGUUCUCUUCGUGAACUAUCGUGACGGCACCUAGUCUCCACGACUAGGUAAGCCUAACAAUUUGUGGAAAUAGGGAAAACAACAGAUUAACCAAUAAAAACUUGUGUAAUAAACAUAGUGAAGGUUUAAAGAUGCCGCUCGGCAUAUAUCUCAGACUGACAACUUCCCAAACCCCAAAAUAUCAUAAAAUCACAAGUUAUUGGGUAACUACAAGUGUCUAAAUCCAGAAUGUCUAAACAAAAGCAAAUAUAGAAGGGCUAAUACUAUGAGAGAGAACAGAAAAGGAUUCCUCGGUCUAUGAACGCAUCAGAUAUACCUCGAAGUAUCUGGAAAAUCACCUCACCUCAAGGUUUGUAGGAUUGAAUCAAAGUACCUAGAUCUGUACAUGAAAAAAAUGCACAGAAAGGGCUUGAGUAUACCACAACGAUACUCAGUAAGUGCCAAGCCUAACCUCGGUCGAGUAGCGACGAGGAAGGUCAAGGCCCUGCUGAUUUUUAGCUGAAAAAAGAGGUAAAAUAGUAUUAAAUACGACAAUAUAAUUCAAUGCUAACAAUAUGAAGUAACACAUGAUAAUAAGAAUAGCAACAUCUAUAAUAGAGAUAAAAUAAUCAUAAACUGAAUACAACUCAACGCAGAGAUAACAAUCGGGAAUCUCCCAGGAUACCGUCCUGUAGUACCAAAUAUAAACAUCCUGUGGAUCUCCCGAGAUACCAUCCCGUAGUCCAACUCAUAGUUCGUAGGGAUCUACCUGAAUCCCGAUCCAUAGUCCCAAAUGUAAAUACCCAAUACUGGGUGAAUCUACCGGAUGAACUCUCAUAGUUCCAAUAUAAAUAUGCAAUGGGAUCUACCGAAAUACAAAUCUGUAGUCCUAAAGUAAAGAGGCAGGGGAUCUCCCGGGAUAGCGUCUCGUAGACCCAAAGUAACACACAACAACAACACGAAGAAUACUCAAUUCAAUCAAAUUUCAUACCAAGGUAAAGUAGGUAUUUCUAACCUAGCAUGUUGUGCAUAAUCCAAAUAAGCCAGUUUGAGCAAGUAAAGCAACUAAGUCAACUAGAAAUGCUUCCCUAAGCUAAUAUGCUUAGAUUGAAAGUAGUAUAAACAGGAAAGGAAACACAAUAUAGUUACUUAAUUAAAAAAGGAUCUUCAACAAUUAGGACAAGUACACACUGGUCACUUCACGUACAAGGCAUUUCAAAUAUUAACAAUACCAAAUCCUAAGGGGAGUUCUCCCACACAAGGUUAGGCAAGCCACUUACCUCGAACCGACUCAAAAUCAACCCGAAACCAUGCUAUUGCCACCAGUACUGAACUGUAAAUGGCCCAAAUCUAUUCAAAUCAAUUGCAUAAUGUAAAUAUAACUUCAAAUAAGUGAUUCCACUAAUUAAUUCUAAGCUAAUACACGAAAUUAGGAAAAAUGACAAAAUUUCCUCCAGGCCCAUGUCUCAGAAUCAGGUAAAAUUUACAAAUUCAGAAUCCUCACACUCUCACGAGUUCAGUCAUAGAAACAGUGCCAAAAGGACCUCAAAUGGUCCCUCAAAUCACCACUCAAAACUCUCCAAUUAACCAAAUUGUAACCCUCAAUUUACCACUAUUUUCCUUCAAAUUUCAUGCUUACAAUGAUAAAAAUUACCAAAACAACAAGCUUAAAGACCAAAGACCUUACCUCAAUGAAUCCCUCUGAAAAUCUCCCUUGAAAAUGCUCCCCAAAUCUUUUUCCCAUUUGAAAAGAGAUGAAAAAUAACUCAAAUUCGCGAAGGCAUCUAUUUAUAUGUUCUGCCCAGCGAUACUGCAUCUGCGGUCCAAAUUACCGCACUUGCGAUCCUAGGUGCACAUCUACGGUUCUUCACUUAUCCGCCAGUCACCGCACCUGUGAUGACCUUCUCGCACCUGUGCCUUCACCGAUGCACCCAUAUUUUCGCAUCUGCAGCUCCAACCUUUCUUCCUCUUUGUCGCAUCUGUGACUUCCCUUUCGCUUCUGCAGGCUCGUACCUGCAAUCCCCAAGCCGCAGGUGCAAUUAUAACAGCAAACUCAGCAGCUUCAACCGCAAAUUCCCUACUCCAAACUUUUCGUUAACCAUCCGAAAUCACCUCGAGGUCUCCGGAACCUUAACCACAAGCACGAACAAGUCAUAUACCUCUAUCCAAACUUACACCAAUCCUCAAAACACCUAAAACAAUAUUGAUACAUUAUAUUAACCAUGGAUUCAAGCCUAAAACUCUAAUGACUUCCAAAUUCUGCUUUCAAUCAAAAUGUUUACCAAACUUCGUCUGAAUGAUCUGAAAAUUUUGCACACAUGUCACAUUCAACACUACGGAGCUACUCCAACUACCAGAAUUCCAUUCCGACCCCUAUAUCAAAAUUUCACUAUCGAACGGGAGUCUUCGAAAAUUCAACUUUCGGCAUUUCAAGCCUAAUUAAGCUAUGGACCUCCAAAACACAAUCCAGACAUGCCCUUAAGCCCGAAAUUACCAAACGGAGCUAGCGUAACCAACUGAAUUCCAUUUUGAGGCCGUCUUUAUAUUGUUUCGACUACGGUCUAAAUUUUAAAACUUAAACUCUCAUUUAGGGACUAAGUGUCCCAAAACUCUCCGAAACUCUAAAUAAAUCCUCCCAGCAACUAACCACAGCAUAAACAAACACGAGAAAUACAAUUAAUAAGGGAUCAUGACAUUAAUUCUCAAAAUGGCUGUCCGGAUCGUUACAUCCUCCUACACUUAAACAUUUGUUCGUCCUCGAACAAGCAUAGAGUUAUACCUGAAGUAGUGAAAAGAUCAGGGUAUUGCAUAUAUCCUACUUGGUCUCCCAAGUCACCUCCUUAACCAGUUGACCCCACCACAGAACCUUUGAUGCAAUGUUCUUUGACCUCAACUUUCGAAAUGGUCUAUCAAAUAUCGCUACUGGCUGCUCAACAUAAGAUAGAUCCUUGUCCAACUUGACUGAAUUGAAAUCCAACACGUGUGAUGGAUCAUCGUGAUACCUCCGUAGCAUCGAAAUAUGAAAUACCGAAUGAACUCCUGCCAAGCUGGGAGGUAAUGCAAGCUCAUAAGAAACCUCCCCAACACACAUCAAUAUCUCAAAAGUGCCAAUAAAUCGUUGACUCAACUUCCCUUUAUUUCCAAAUCUCAUAACGCCUUCAUAGGCGAAACUCGAAGCAAAAGUAGCUCUCCAACCAUAUUGGAAACAUUGUGAACCUUCCGGUCUGCAUAACUCUUCUGUCUGAACUAGUUGUACGGAGUCUAUCCUGAAUCACCUUAACUUUCUCCAAAGCAUCCUGAACCAAGUUUGUGCCCAAUAAUCUAGCCUCACGCAACUUAAACCAACCUACUGGGGAUCUACACCGCCUACCAUAUAAAGACUCAUACGGUGCCAUCUAAAUGCUGGAUAGAUAACUGGUAUUGUAGGCAAAAUCUGCUAAUGGCAAGAACUGAUCCCAAGACCCUCCAAGCUCAAUCACACACGCACGGAGCAUAUCCUCAAGAAUCUAAAUAGUGCGAUUGGACUGUCUAAGGGCGAAAUGUUGUACUCAACUCCAGCUGAGUACCCAAAUCAUGAUGUAAGGCCCUCCAGAACCGUGAUGUGGACUGAGUACAUCUAUCUGAAAUGAUGGAAACUAGAACACCAUGCAGACGAACAAUAUCCCAUAUAUAAAUCUUCGCUAGUCCCUUCGAAUAAUAGGUAGUACACACAAGAAUGAAGUGUGCAAACUUGGUCAGACGAUCCAUAAUCACCUAAAUGGCAUCAAACUUUCUCCAAGUCCGUGGGAGUCUAGCUACGGAGUCCAUGGUGAUCUUCUCCAACUUUCACUCCAGAAUCUCUAUCUGCUGAAGCAACCCACCCGGUCUGUGGUGCUCAAACUUCACCUGCUGAUGAUUGAGACACUGAGCUACAAACGCAACAAUAUGUUUCUUCAUCAACCUCCACCAAUAAUGCUACCUCAAAUCUUGGUACAUCUUCGCGGCACACAGAUGAAUGGAAUACCGUGGACUAUGGGCCUCCUCUAGAAUCAACUCCCGACGCUCAUCAACAUUAGGUACACAUACUCGACCCUGCAUCCUCAAUAUACCGUCAUCACCAAUAGUCACAUCUCUAGCAUCGCCAUGCAAAACCUUAUCCUUGAGUAUAAGCAAAUGAGGAUUAUCAAACUGACGCGCUCAAAUACGAUUCAGAUAAGGAAGACCGGGAAACCAUGCAAGCUAAGUGGGCUUCGAAAGAUCCAAUCUCACAAACUGGCUGGCUAAGGCCUGAACAUCCAUCGCCAUGAGCCUCUACGUUGCUGGUAAAUAAGUCAAACUCCCCAAACUCUCUACCUAGCGACUCAAAGCAUCGACCACCACAUUAGCCUUGCUCGAAUGAUACAAAAUAGUGAUAUCAUAGUCCUUUUGUAGCUCUAACCACUUCAUCUAGCACAAAUAUAGAUCUUUUUGCUUGAAAAAAUGCUGCAAACUCUAGUGAUCGAUAUAAAUCUCACAAGGCACACCAUACAAAUAGUGAUGCCAUAUCUUCACUAGCAACUAACUCAAGAUCAUAGACAGGAUAAUUCUUCUCAUGUACCUUUAACUGCCUAGACGCAUAGGCAAUCACCCCAUCGUCUUGCAUCAAUACCGCUCCUAGGCCGAUCCUCGAGGGAUCACAAUAUAAAAUUUAAGACUCUGAACCUGCAAGCAAUAUCAAAACUAGGGUUUUAGUCAAAGUUGUCUUGAGCUUCUAAAAGCUUGCCUCACACUCUUCUAUCCACUAGAACAGAGCAACCUUCCAGGUAAGCCUGGUCAUAGGUGCAGCAAUAGAUGAAAAACCCUCAAUAAAUCAAUGGUAGUAACCCGCCAAGAUAAGAAAACUACGGAUCUCUAUAGUUGAGGAUGGUCUGGGCCAACUCUGCACUGCUUUUAGUUUCUUUGAAUCCACCUUUAUCCCCUCACUAGAUACCACAUGACCCUAGAAUGCCACGGAAUCCAACCAAAACUCACAUUUUGAGAACUUUGCAUAUAACUUCUUUUCUCCUGAAGUCUGAAGCACUACCCGCGGGUGGUGCUCAUGAUCUUCCCGACUCCGGGAGUAUACCAAAAUAUCAUCAAUAAAGAUAAUAAGGAACAAGUGAAGAUAUGGCCGGAACACACUAUGCAUCAAAUGCAUAAAGGCUGCUAGGGCCUUGAUUAGCCCAAAUGACAUAAGAAGAAACUUGUAAUGACCAUAUCGAGUCCCCAAAGCAGUCUUUAGUAUAUCUAGCUCCAAGUCUUUAAGUAAUGGUAACCUGAACACAUGCCAAUCUUAGAAAACAUCGUGCGCCCUGUAACAGGUCAAACAAAUCAUCAAUACGAGGCAAAGGAUACAGGUUCUUCACUGUAACUUUGUUCAACUAGAAAUAAUCAAUGCACAUACGCAUAGACCAUCCGUCUUCUUCACAAACAAAACAGCAACACCCCAGGGUGAUACACUGGGCCUAAUAAAUCUCUUAUCAAGCAAUUCCUGUAACAGAUCCCUCAACUCCUUCAAUUCGGGAGGAUCCAUAUGAUAUGGAGGAAUAGAAAUGGGAUGAGUUCCUGGCAAUAGAUCAAUGUCAAAAUCAAUAUCUCUAUCGGGCGGCAUGCUCGGAAGGUCAGCUGGAAACACAUUAGAAAAAUACCGUACUAUUGGGACGAAAUCAACUGAAGGGGUAUCAAUACUGACAUCUCUCACAUAAGCUAGAUACGCUUCACAUUUCUCUCAGGCAUUCGCUCAGCCUUAAGGAAAGAUAUAACUGUACUGGCAGUGUGAUCUAAAAAAACCUUCACUUAAAACGCAGUACACUUGGGAUAGCCAGCGCCACAGUUUUGGCGGGACAAUCAAGAAUAACAUAAUGGGGUGAAAACCAGUCCAUGGCUAAGAUAAUAUCAAAAUCAAUCAUGCUAAGAAACAAUAAAUCAGCUCUGGUCUCAAAACCACUAAGAGCAACCAAUGACGACCGAUAAACACAGUCCACAAUAAGAAAAUCUCCUACAAGAGUAGAAACAUAAAUGGGGGAACUCAAAGAAUUCUGAGAUACACCCAAAUACAGAGAAAAAUAAGAAGACACAUAAGAAUAAAUUGAGCAUGGAUCGAAUUAACCGAUAUAUCUUUAUGAAAAACCAGGACAAUACCUAUGAUUACAGAAUAGGAGGCAACAACAUCGGUACGGGCAGGAAGGGCAUAAUAUUUGGCCUGGACUCCUCCUAUAGGGCGACCUCUACCUCCCUGACCUCCACCUCUAGCUGGAUGAGCAGGUGGGGUAGCAACUGGAGCCGUAACCAUAUCUUGAGAACUCUGCAGGGCACGCUGUGGCUGACAAGUCUAUGGAGGUGCAACUCUCCUAAGUCUGGGGCAAUCCUUCACCAGUGUGUCAACACACUCAAAAUAAGAUCUUGGAAGAUGUGGAAAUUGAGAAUUCUUGGGCCAGGUAGGCUGGACUGACCACUUAGAGCACCCUACGCAGGAGGCGCGCUAGAUACUAGAGGUGCAUAAUAAAGCUCUCGAGGUCUAGGAGGAGCUGGAAUACAACUGGUUAUUGGAAGAGCUGAAUGAACAGGGUUACUCACAUAACCUAUACCAUGAUGAAUUGUAGCUGGGGCAUGGGCACUAGAAUAAUGACCUGACUCUCGAGACCUCUUGGCCUCUCUCUCCUCCCUAUCCCAAGCAAGCAUGCCCUCUACUCUCCUAACAAUGUUCACCACCUGCCAAUAAGCAAUAUCCAUCUCCAACUAUCACGCCAUACUAGAACUGAUGCUGGCAAUAAAUCCCUCAAUAAACCUGCGAACCCUCUCGUAAACAGUAGAAACCAAGGCUGGUGCAUGUCUAGCCAAACUAGUGUAACAAACAGCAUACUCCGAGACAGUCAUAGUACCCUAGCACAAAUGCUCAAACUCUGCGUGCCAUUAAUCCCUAAGGCUUUGAGGAACAUACUCUCUCAAGAAUAUAUCUGAAAAUUGAGUCCAAGUCACGGAAGCUACCUUAUCCAGACUGUCUAACUUAUAAGUACGCCAGCACUCAUAGGCAGCCCCUCGAAGCUAGAAAGUAGUGAAGGAAACCCCGCUCGAUCCUGAUAUACCUAUGAUACGGAGAAUACAAUAGCACUCAUCUAGAAAUCCCAUAGCAUCAUCUGAUGUUAGACCACUAAAUACAUGAGGCUUGUACUUCUUGAAUCUCUCAAGCCUCAGUUGCUCAUCCUCGGAAGUCGUUGCCGUAUCCUCGGGAUGAUCUUGCCUUACAAGUUGUACAGGAAUAAUCUCUGGGACCUAAUCAGAUGCACUCGCUGUUUAGGAGUGCGAACGAUGGGAGUCUGUGCUCUUCCUCUAGCCUGAGAUGUAGAUGCAGCAAGGGGAAGCAACCUUGCCUGAGCCAGAGUGGUGUACAUGCUCAUGAACUGUGCUAGAGUCUCAUGAAGUGCUGGAGUAGUAGUAGCACUAGGCGUAUCAAGUGCUUAGGCUCCGACUGGAGUUGCUGGUGGCUCCUCGGUGGUAGCUCACUUGGGUGCUCUGGUUGCAACGUGUGCGCGUCCUUGGCCUCUACCCCAACCUCGACCUCUGAUGGCUCGAGUGACUAAUUACCUCUAGUAACAUGUAUCCUCACCAUUCGUGAGAGAAUAGAAUACCGAAGUUUAAAAUUGUGAUAUCAAAAAUCUCGUACCAUAAGGAAAUUAAAUGAAGUAGGAUUUUCCUAACAGUUACAUAGGCUUUUGCAAAUAAGUACAAAUGUCUCCGUACCGAUUCGCGAGACUCUAAUAUACUGGCUUGUGAUUUAUGACUCCAAUGAACCUAGAACUUUGAUACCAACUUGUUAUGACUCCAGUUUGCCCUUCAUGAACUAUCGUGAUGUCACCUAGUCUCUACGACUAGGUAAGCCUAACAAUUUGUGGAAAUAGAGAAAACAACAGAUAAAACAAUAAAAACUUGCGGAAUAAACAUAGUGAAGGUUUAAAUAUGUCGCUCGGCAUACAUAAUAUAACUCACAAACUAACAACUUCCUAAAAUCCGGAUCCUCAUGAAAUUACAAGCUGUUGAAUAACUACAAGUGUCUAACUCCAGAAUGUCUAAACAAAAGUAAAUACAUAAGGGGUAAUACUAUAAGAGAGAAUGGAAAGAGACUCCUUAUUUUGUGGACGCAGUAGAUAUACCUCAAAGUGUUUGGAAAAUCACCUCGCCACAAGAGUAGUAGGACUGAGUCGAAGUACCUAGAUCUGCACAAUAAAAACAUGUGUAGAAAGGGUAUGAGUACACCACAGCGGUACUUAGUAAGUGCCAAGACUAACCUCGAUCGAGUAGUGACGAGGAAGGUCAGGGCCCUACUGAUUUUAACUGAAAAAUGACGUAAAAUAGAAUAGAAUACAACAAUAUAAUUAAAUGCUAAUAGUAUGAAGUAAUAGAGGAUAAUAAGAAUAACAACUAUAACAGAGAAAAAAUAAUCACGAACGGAGUACAAUUCAAUGCAGAGAUAACUACCGGGUAUCUCCCAGGAUACCGUCCUAUAGUCCCAAACAUAAACAUCUAAUGGAUCUCACAGGAUUUUAUCCCGUAGUCCAACUCAUAGUGCGGGGGGAUCUACCAGAAUCCCGAUGUGUAGUCCCAAAUAUAAAUAUUCAAUACUGGGAGAAUCUAGCGGGUGCAGUCCCGUAGUUCCAAUAGAAACAGGCAAGGGGAUCUCCCAGGAUACUGUCCCGUAGUCUCAAAGUCAUAUAGCAGCAACACGAAGAAUACUCAAUUCAAUUUAAAUUUCAUACCAAGGUAAAAUAGGUAUUUCUAAACUAUCAUGCUGCACAUAAUCCAAAUAAGGUAGUUUGAGCAAGUAAAGCAACUAAGUCAAUUAGACAUGCUUCCCUAAGCUAACAACAUACUUAAAUUGUAUGUACUAUAAACAGGAAAGGAAACACAAUUAUAGUUAUUUGAUGAAAAUAUGAUUUUCAACAAUUAGCACAAGUACGCACUCGUCACGUUACGUACAAGGCAUUUCAAAUAUCAACAAUACCAAAUCCUAAGGGGAGUUUCCCCACACUAGGUUAGGCAAGCCACUUACCUCAAACCGACUCAAAAUCAACUCGAAACGGUACUAUUUGUCACGCCCCAACCUUGGGAAGUGUGGCUGGCACCCGGUGCCAUAGUGGCCCGAGCGAACCACUCUGCAAAUUUUUUCUUUUCUUUGUAACUAUCAUGGGCCAACAUGGCCACAACUCGUUAUGUAUAACUAUAUAUGGGCAACACUGUUUCACUGAACCAUUUUUCUUAAUACAUGAAUACAUAUGGGUCGUGAAGGCCUUUGACAUACUGUACAAAAUGAACCUCUAUCUACAAAGUCUCUAAGAUUAAUUGACAUCAAAUGAGACAUGGUACUGGCCUACCCAUAAAUAUGUAGCAAAACUCUGGCAUGAUGACUCAUUGACUCCGCUGCACUCCGAAUGAGAUGGAGUCUCACUGAUCCUUCACUAAAUGUUAAUCUCUUCUAAGAUGAAGGUUUGUCAAACUGAUUAUCUAUACCUGCAGGCAUGAAAUGCAACGUCCCCAACAAAAGGACGUCAGUACGAAUAAUGUAGUGAGUAUUUAAAGCAUGAAAACAUAAAUAAGAAUAGGAAUGUAAAGAGAGAAAGAGGAGAUAAAACCUGUAACUCUGCGUGCCUCUGGGGCUACUGACAUGAAAUGCAUAAUACAUAUAUAUAAAUAAGCUUUUAAAAACAUUCGCCUCUGUGGGCAUCAUCACUAGCAUAUCGUACACGUCCUCAAAGAGGACUUAGUAAAAACGUAUCUGGCCAUCAUAAGGCUCGGUAGAAUCGUACCCGGCCACGUGGAGCUCGGUAAACCCAACUGAUCAGUGGUUNNNNNNNNNNNNNNNNNNNNNNNNNNNNNNNNNNNNNNNNNNNNNNNNNNNNNNNNNNNNNNNNNNNNNNNNNNNNNNNNNNNNNNNNNNNNNNNNNNNNNNNNNNNNNNNNNNNNNNNNNNNNNNNNNNNNNNNNNNNNNNNNNNNNNNNNNNNNNNNNNNNNNNNNNNNNNNNNNNNNNNNNNNNNNNNNNNNNNNNNNNNNNNNNNNNNNNNNNNNNNNNNNNNNNNNNNNNNNNNNNNNUCGGUUAACCCAACUGAUCAGUGGUUGCACAAUAGGUGUCGUACCUGGCCGACUAUAGCGCGGAUCGAUAGAGUAAAAUAGAUACUAUAUAUAAUGCCCGCUAGACUCAUAGAAUCACGUUCUUAAUCUUCUGGAGUGACUUAAGAACAUUAGGGACAUCCAUACCCUCAAUAUGAACCUCAGUAGGAUUCAAGGAUCUUACACAGUUGCUUAGAAUAAUUUUAUAACGAAAGAAUAACAUGACAACCUUAGUUGCUAGGAGUAGAUCAGCUAUGAAAUAGGGUAUUCAUUUCACUUUAGAUCAUGCCAAAAGAAAGAAGGAAGUGCCUUGACAUACCUGGAGGAAGAUACUAAGUUUUGUAGAGCCAAAUCAUUGAAUAAAUCUCCUCCAAAUUUUAAUCUUCCAAAUGAGUUAUAGGAGUAUCAUUUAUCACAAGCGGUGCAGUUGACAAAGGUCCAUGCUACUACCUUCAUAUAACAAUUUGACAUGGACACAAGUUCAUCUUGUUGGACAAGGAUAUAGAACUGAGGAACAUAUUCAAAUAGAUUCACUAGCUCCAGCAAUUUCAUGGACUCACAUGACAACAAGCUAUAACUUCUUUAUAAUUCUUCAAGACUGAACUCCCAGAUACAUCUAAAUUCAGAAUCCUCACACUCCCACGACUUCAGUCAUACCAAAAGUACAAUUGUCAGACCUCAAAUGGUUCCUCAAAUCACCACUCGAAGCUCUCCAAUUAACCAAACUGUAACCCCCAAUUUACCACUGAUUUUCCUUAAAUUUCAUGCUUAAAAUGAUAAAAAUCACCAUAAUAACGAGCUAAAGGACCAAAGACCUUACCUUAAUGAAUCCCUCUGAAAAUCUCCCUUGAAAAUGCUCCCCAAAGCUUCUUCCCUUUUAAAAUGAGAUGAAAAAUAACUCAAAUUCGUGAAAGCAUCUAUUUAUAUGUUUUGCCAAGUAAUAUCACAUCUGUGAUCAAAAUUACUGCACCUGCUAUCACAAGUACGCAUAUGCAGCUCUUUACUUAUCCACCAGCCACCACACCUGCGAUGGCCUUCUCGCAACUGCGCCUUCGAAGAUGCACCCAUAUUUUUGCUUCUGCGGCUCUAGCCUUUCUUCCUCUUGGCCGCAUCUGCAGCUUCCCUUUCGCUUCUACGGGCUCGCACUUGCGGUCCCCAAGCCGCAUGUGCGAUUAUGACAACAAACUCAGUAGCUUUAGCUGCAAAUUCCCAACUCCAAACUUCUCGUUAACCAUCCGAAAUCAUCCUAAGGCCCCCAGAAGUUCAACCACAAGCACGAACAAGUCAUAUACCACUAUCCAAACUUAUACCAAUCCUCAAAACACUUAAAACAACAUCGAAACGUCGAAUUAACUAUGGAUUCAAGCCUAAAAACUCGAAAGAAGUUCGAAUUCUGCUUUUGAUCAAAAAGUCUAUCAAACCUCGUCCGAAUGACCUGAAAUUUUGCACACAAGUCACAUUCAACACUACGGAGCUACUCCAACUCUUGGAAUCCCAUUCCAACUCCUUGAUCAGAAUCUCACUAUCGAACCGGAAACUUCAAAAAUGUAACUUUUGGUAUUUCAAGCCUAAUUAAUCUACGGACCUGGAAAAUACAAUCUGAACACGCCCCUAAGCCUGAAAUCACCUAACGGAGCUAACAGAACCAACAAAAUUCCAUUCCAAGGCUGUAUUCAUAUAGUUCCGACGACGGUCGAAAUUCUAAAACUUAAACUCUCAUUUAGGGACUAAGUGUCCCAAAACUCUCCAAAACUCUAAAUAAAUCCUCCCGGCAACUCACCAUAGUAGAAACAAACACGGGGAAUGUAGUUAAUAUGGGAUAUGGGCAUUAAUUAUUAAAACGAUUGGCUGAGUCGUUACAAGAAGUGUUCUCGCUCCUUUUGGACAUCAACUAAAAGUGCGACAAUACCUCUAAAUCCAAAGUCAUGCUGUGUCCUCCUUCAUAUCAAACAACUCCUUUCCGUUGCAUCCAAUAUCCUACCGUAAAUGCCAAUAUUUAAGACCAUAGACCCAAUCGACGUCCACUAAAAUCCCAAAUCGCUCCAACUUUCCUCAAGGUGUGUAGUUACCCUGCCACUAAACCCAUAUGCUACUCUGCUACUCUCCCACUUUGGCCAAACCCUCUUGGUUAAGAAGCUACUUGACUUCCGCUGCUUAAACCUGACCUUCUAGAAAUUUAACCACGACAUGACACUCCCCACAUGUCCUUCCUCAUCCUUUUUUACCCAGUUGUUGCCUUAAAUCAAUAUCUAUCUCUAUAGCACUUUAACCAACAGAUUGCUACUACUUUAAACCUUUUCGAAGAUCAUCUUUCUCGAGCCAUCAAUACUAAAAACACCGAUCCGGUCCUGAACCACCGCACACCGCAAUAUCUGACAGUCGCUUCCUCGAUACCAUUUCAUAAUAAACCCACCCAAAGGUGGGUUGACGAAGAUCAUAACACCGCCGAAAUCAACACACUCAAUCGACGGAUGAUGACACCACAUCGCAGAUGGAAAUUCCACCACAAUUGAAAACACCAAUUCUCGUUACUCUAUCAACCCAAACCUGGACAUUUAUAGUCUUAUUGACUUUCCUCCGCCAGAUUAAAAAUACCGAAUCUAUAAAUUAUGCUCUGAGUAGACCUCCUUUCCAGUUAUUCACUGCCCCAACAUAUAGGUAAGUGUCCUACCAUCACAUCAAUACUAGGUGAUAGAAACACACAAAUCAUCAUUUAAAUCAAUACCAAAUCUCAAAACCUUAGUUAAUACCGAUACUGAGCGGAAAUGAUAGAACGACCUUCUACAAGGUGACAUUAUAAGCCCAAUCAAUACGAAUGGAGAAACAUCCGUACUACAUCUGUAGUACCUUUACAAUUCCUCAAUUCCUAAUUAAUAACAAGCGCUUCAUGUCCCAUAAAUUGAGUAGGAAAGAAACAAAUGCAUGAGCCUCAAAGGAAUCAAACCACACGAUGAGGAAUAAAGAAGGGAAGUCUCCUAAUAGUCUUAUAGCCUCUUGAAAAUAAGUAUAGAUGUCUCUGUACCGAUCCACAAUACUCUACUAGACUUGAUCAUGACUUGUGAUACCUAAGGUAUCCUAAUGCUCGGAUUCCAUGUUGUCACGAUCCAAAAUUCAUUAAAGGUUAUGAUGGCUCCCUACACCACUAUCAGGCAAACUAUCACUAAGAUGUUAGUUAAAUUCUCAUAUUAGUGUUUUUGAAAUCAUUUUUUCCCUUACAUUAAACAAUAAAAAAUAAACUUCACCGAGUAAGUAAUAAUGUGUUUAACAAAUUUUCAAAUACUGAAUAAUCCCAUAUAAAUCGCAGAACCCGUUAUCAUAAGUGCCUGAGAAAUUUCUAGGAAAUAAAAUGCAAUACAAUAACUAUUCGGAAUAUAGGUUGGACCUAAAAUAAAAUAUAAUACUCUGAAGGAGAUUCUGCUGGCUAUGGGUCAUCUCAAGAGAUGCAACUCACUUAAGACUCUGUAUCAACCAUGCCGCUGCGCCCAAUGAGGCUAAUGGACAUAAGUGUGCUUGUGCAACAAAAAACGCACACCAAGUGUAGAAUGAGUACGAAAGCAACGAGUACCCAGUAAGUAUCCCGUCUAACCUCGAAGAAAUAGUGACGAGUCAACUUCGACACUUACUAGUGGUCCAAUAAUAAUAUAACAAUAAUGUGAAAACUCGUGGAUUUUAUUAGGUGACUGCACACUCAAUAAGCAUGAAGCAGGUAAACAAUUAUUUGCUUAAUAGAAAUUUCCAAGUUCAUAUUUCAUCAUUUAUUAAUUUAUCUCAGGCCAAGGAGGCAAUAUCCAAUUUUUGUAUAUCUCGAGGCAAGCAAUACAAACAUGCGGAAUUUAUGCCGAGGUAGUAUGCCUGAUCCAAUAAAUAUUUAAAUUAUGCACUGCCAGAGGGUCGAAUGACGCGAACCAUAGAUGCAUCUGUGGCCCGUUCUACAAAAGUGAAAAUAUUCAAAUAGUUAAUUAACAUUUCAUCAAAGGCAACUAUCUAAGGAAAUGGCAAUUCAUCUCUUAACUGUCAAGAAAAUGUUGUUUAGAUGUUAUAAGUUUAUUAACCAACUUCAAUAUUAUUUAUGUAUUUUAAUUUGAAAAUAAGGUUGCAAAUGUUACAAGUAAAACAUGCUUUUGGGUCUUAGACUACCCAGAUUUAAGCAUAAUAGUAGCUACGCACAGACUCUCAACACCUCGUGCGUACGUAGCCCCCACAAAUAGGAGCACAUAUUUAAUUAUUUUACCUAUGGGGUUAAUUCCCUCUUACAAGGUUAGAAAGGAGACAUACCUUUCUCGAAAGUUCCAUAAUUUCUACUAAUUUCCAUGACUAAAUCCAUAUAUAAACCUUAUAUUUAACUCAAAACUAGUGGAAAUCACUUACCUCAUGCUUGGUAAUGAAAAUAGCAGUUCAAAGUUGCUCCAAAAUCGGCUCCUAUGGAGGAAAUGGGGUUGAAAUGAGCCCAACCCCUAUCUUUUAAAAGACACUGCCCAACGACUCUUCGCACCAGCGGUCACUUGACCGCUUCUGCAGUUCCGCAUGUGCUGAUCAACCAUCGCUUCUACGGUUUAGGGCUUCCACUCCAUUUUUGUUUCUGCGCCUUCUCUUCCGCAUGUGUGGUCUCGCUUCUGAGACGAGAUGACCGGAUCUGCAGCACUCCUAUCCAAAAUCACAUCUGUGACUCUUAUGCCACUUCUGCGGAUCCGCACCCGCGGCCAAAACCUCGCAUGUAGGGUUAUACAUGAUGAUUUCUUCCAAGUCCAAACUCGAUCUAUUUACCAUCCAGAUUCCAUCCGAGGCCCUCGGGACCUUAACAGAUUAUCCUAACUCGUCCCAAAAUACAUUACUAACUUAGUCGAGCCUUCAGAUCACAUCAAACAACAUUGAAAUUACGAAUCACAACCAAUUCAAUAUUAGUGAACUUUAGAACUUCAAACUUCAACAUUCGAUGUCGAAAUAUAUCAAAUCACGCCCGUUUGACGUCAAAUUUUGUACACGUCAUAUUAACAUUACCAACGUACUCCAACUUCCGGAAUCGAAAUCCAAUUCGAUAUAAAAAGUCCACUUCCGAUCAAACUUUUCAAAAAUCUUCAAAUUUCUAACUUUAGCUAAAUGACUACAAAAUAAACUACGUACCUUUGAAUCCACUUCGGAAUGCGCCCCCAAUACUAGAAUAACCAUACGGAGCUAUUCCCAAACAAACAUCGAUAACACUAAAAUGCACUUCAACCCAUACUUAUGAAAUUCUUCCAAAAUGCUAACUUCCACGAUUGUCAUGACCCGGAUUUACCACCCUUGGGAGUCAUGAUGAUACCUACUCAUGAAAGCUAGGCAAGCCAAGUGUUACAGAUUUUAUUACCGUUUUUCCUAAACCUUUUUGACAAUUAUAAUUAACAUAUGAUCAACAAUGGAAUAAUAAAAAUAAAAAGAAAUUAGGAAUACGAAAUCUAAUAUUUUAUCUUAAUACAUAUACGAUUAUAUAAAAAUAAUCCACCCAGAACUUGUGUCACAAUUUGAUAGACCAUCUAGGAAUACUACAAAUAGGGUCUAAACAAAGAAAAAUACAUGUAUGUCUUUGAAAUAAGUAAGAACAGAAGAAAAUAGGAUAGAAGGGGAUGCCAAGGCAUGCGGACGUCUGAAGGACUACCUCGGGUCUCCGCUGGAUUGAAGGCAACAACCUCAUUAUGGUCCGAAUGCUGCAAUACCGAAAUUUACACACAAUACAGAUUGUAGUAUCAGCAUAACCGACCCAUGUGCUGGUAAGUGUCGAGCCUAACCUUGGCGAAGUAGUGACAAGGCUAGGAUAUGACUACCAAAUAAAUCUGUGCAGUUAAAUCAAAUACGGCAAAUAAUGAUAACAGAAACUAGCAGUUAAAGAUGGGAAUGAAGAACAUGCUGGGGGGAAUAUCAAGUACUAACAAAAUUUCAGUAGAGAAGCAUAAAGAACACCACAAUUUCAUAUAGGCAAGAAUAAGGAAAAUAGUAACAAGUGCACGACAUCACCCUUCAUACUUUUACUCUCGUUCUCACCAUGAGAAUCAAUAUUCACUUUUAUUCUUUCUUGUUGUGGCGUGCAACCUGAUACCAAUCAUAUAAUAUUUUUGCGGCAUGCAACUCGAUCCCAAUCAUAUAAUGAUGUUGCUGCAUGAAACCCGACCCCACUGUCCACCUUUAUUACUCCUUGUUGCGGGCUGCAACCCUAUCUCAUACAGUAUUGUUGCGGCAUAUAACCUGAUACCAGUAUAGAAAUUAACACCAAUCACAAAAGAAUCUCGGCAAGGGAACAAUAGUAUAACAAUAACCCGGCAAGGGAAACAAUAUCAUAAGCAAUAACAUCCUGGCAAGAGAAUUAAUCAAUAAUAUAUCUCAUCUCGUUCCUACAAUCACUUCACAACAUAAGUCUCAACUUGAGCCAAUGCUCAACAAUGGUCAAUUACCAAGAAUACUUUCAUUAGCCUUGUUCAACACUUAUAAUCAUCAUAUUAAGCGUGAAAAAUACAUAAGGGAGUCACAACAAUCAUAGUAUAAGACUCACGGGCAUGCUUAACACUAACGUUUAGAUACUCGUCACCACACCUAUACAUUGUACUCAACACAUAACACCUAGCAAAUAAGAUCACAACUCUUAUUCCCUCAAGGUAAGGUUAGACCAAACACAUACGUAAAUUUUACGGACAAUUCAAGCCUCAACUACCACUUUACCUCUUGAUUCAACUUCCAAUUCGCUUGUAUCUAGUCAAAAUAUACUUAACGAUAUCAAUAAAUGCUAAAUAAACCAAUUCUAAUGCAUGAAAAUAGGUUCUCCAAUAAUUUCCCCAAAAAGUCAAAACCCGCCCGGGCCCACUUGGUCAAACCCCGAGGUUAGAAUCAAAACGCGAUCACCUGUUCACCCACAAACUCAAGUAUAUAUAUAUUUUAAAAAAUCGAACCUCAAAUUGAGGUCCAUAGUCCCAAAAUUUGAAAAUCCUAAGUUCUACGCAAAAUCACCCAAUUUCCCAUGAAAACCCCUUGAUUUUGAAAUGAAAUCACGUAAAAAAUGUUAUAGAUUGAAGGAAAUAAGUUGAAAUUACUUACUAAUGAUGUAGAGAAGAAUCUUUCUUUGGAAAGUCUCCCAAGAGAGUUUAGGGUUUGAAAGAGUUUGAAAAAUGGAUGACAUCUCGCUAAAAUCCCACUUAUCAGGUGAAGAUGUCGCAAUUGCGACUAGGGGUUUGCAAUUGCAAACCCUCUGAAAAUAGGCUGUCUUCGCAAAUGCGAAGAAACUACCGUAUUUGAGACCCCAUGAUAAUUCCCGCCAUCUUCGCAAUUGCAUAGUGAAAUGUCGCAUUUGCGACCUCUAGACCAUCUGACAGCCUUCGCAUUUGCGAAGAACAUCUCGCAUUUGCGAGGAAGGCUGGCCCAAGGUCUUUGUAGUUGCGAAGCAAAAGCUCACAUUUCCGGUCCCUGAGUACAUCGCAAUUGCGUGAUCAGGGGCUUGCAACACUGCUGCAACGCAUCAGAAAUAUCCCUAAGUCUAAAAUCACUCCGUAGCCUAUCCGAAACUCACCCGAGCCCUCGGGACUCCAAACCAAUCAUGCAUGCAAGUCUAAAAACAUCAUACCGACUUGCUCGUGCGAUCAAAUCAUCAAAAUAACAUAAAAACUAUGAAUUCAACCUCAAAUCAUAAAAUUACUCAAGAACACUAAAAUUUUGAUUUUCUCAACUAAAGGCCCGAUUUAUACCAAACGAACUCUGAUUCUUACCAAGCUUAACAGAUUUGGCUUAUUUAUUAUGUUAAACCUGUAACGGGAUCCGUAAUCAAAAUACGGGGCCGAUACCAUCAAGAAAAUGCAUCAUUUCACUUCUAAGAGUCUUUAUAUUUACCAGAAAACAAUUUUUUUAAAAGUCUUUUCUCAGGUUUGGGACCUCGAUAUUCAAUUUCGGGCAUACGCCCAAGUCCUAUAUUUUACUACAGACCCUAUGGGAUUGUCUGAUCAUGGGUUCAGAUUCGUUUACCAAUAAUGUUGACCAAAGUCAACUUUAUUCAAUUUUAAGGGCCAAUUUCCUUAUUUUACUUAGAUUUCACCCAAAUCGAGGUGAGACAAAACGAGGUUUUUAAGGCCUCGGAACACAAAAUUUACUUUCAAAAUGAGGAUGACCUUUCAGGUCAUCACAUUCUCCACCUCUAAAACAACCGUUCGUCCUUGAAUGAACAUUAAAGAAGUACUCGAGUCAGAGAAAAGAUGGCGAUAUCGACUCUGCAUAUCGGACUCCUAGGUCGCUACCUCAAGAGUCUGACCCCUCCACUAAACACGAACCUAAGGAAAACUCUUCGAUCUCAACUGGCGAACCUGCCGAUCUAUAAUAGCUGUCAGCUCCUUCUCAUUGGAUAAGUCCUUGUCCAAUUGGACAGUACUGAAGUCUAACAUGUGGGAUGGAUCGCCAUGAUACUUUCGAAGCAUGGACACAUAAAACACUAGAUGCAUGGAUGAUAAACUCAGCGGUAAAGCAAGUCUGUAAGCCACCUCUUCCACUCGAUCAAGAAUCUCAAAAGGACCAAUGAAUCUAGGGCUUAACUUUCCCUUCUUCCCAAAUCUCAUCAUGCCCUUCAUAGGCGACACCCGAAGCAACACCCAUUCUCCGACCAUGAAUGCCACAAACGAACCUUACGAUCGGGGUAAUUCUUUUGCCUAGACUGAGCUGUACGAAGCCUAUCCUGAAUGAUCUUAACCUUGUCCAAGUCAUCCUGUACUAGAUCCGUACCUAACAACCGAGCCUCUCUCGGCUCAAACUACCCAAUCGGUGACUGACACCCCCUACCAUAUAGUGCCUCAUAAUGAGCCAUCUGGAUGAUCACCUAAUAGGUGUUGUUGUAGGCAAUCUCUGCAAAAGGCAAUAACUGAUCCCACGAGCCUCCAAAGUCAAUAACACAAGCUCAGAGCAUAUCCUCCAAAAUCUAAAUAGUACACUCGAACUAUCCGUCCAUCUGAGGGUGAAAUGUUGUGCUCUACUCGACCUGUGUGCCCGACUCACAGUGAACUACCCUCUACAAAUGCGAGGUAAACUGUGUACCUUGGUCGAAAAUGAUAGACACGGGCACACAAUGAAGAUGAACAAUCUCCCGGAUAUAUUUCUCUACUAACCUGUCUAAAGAAUAAGAGACUGCCAUAUGAAUGAAAUACGCUGACUUGGUUAGCCUAUCAACAAUAACCCACACUGCAUCGAAACCUAUGAGUCCAUGGGAGUCUUACAAGGAAGUCCAUAUUGAUACGCUCCUACUUUUACUUAGUAAUCUCUAUUCUCUGAGACAAACCACCAGGUCUCUAAUGCUCAUCAUUACCUGCUGACAAUUCAAACUUUGAGCUACAUAUGGAACAAUAUCUUUCUUCAUUCUCAUCCACCAAUAAUGUUGCUCCAAGUCCUGAUACAUCUUAGUGGCACCCGGAUGAAUAGAGAACCAGGAACAAUAGGCCUCCUUUAGAAUCAACUCUCUAAGUCUAUCCAGAAUAAGCACACAAACUCGACUCUACAUCUUCAAAAUUCCAUCAUCUCUUACUGUAACCUGCUUGGAACCACUGUGCCACAUUGUGUCCCUAAGGACACACAAAUAAGGAUCAUCAUACUAUCGAUCUUUGAUAAGCUCAAAUAAUAAGGAACGAGCGACGUUACAAGCUAACACAUGGCUGUGCUCAGAAAUAUCCAACCGUACGAACUGAUUGGCUAAAUCCUGGACAUCCAAAGUAAGCGGUCUCUCACCAAUCGGAAUAUAGGCAAGACUGCCCAUGCUGACUGACUUUCUACUCAAAGCAUUGGCUACCACAUUGGCCUUCCCCGGAUGAUAUAAGAUGGUGAUAUCAUAGUCUUUCAAUAGCUCCAACCACCUUCUCUGCCUCAAAUUUAUUUCCUUCUACUUGAACAAAUAUUGCAGACUCUUGUGAUCUGUGAACACCUCGCAUGACACGCCAUAUAAAUAGUGCCUCUAAAUCUUCAGCGUGUGAACAAUAGCUUCUAGAUCCAAAUCAUGAACUGGAUAAUUUUUCUCGUGAAUCUUCAACUAUCGCAAAGCAUACACAAUGACUUUACCAUUCGACAUCAAUACUGUACCAAGUCCAAUACGAGAUGCGUCACAAUAUACUGUAUAUAUCCCUAAACCUGUAGGAAAUACCAACCCCAGUGCCGUAGUCAAAGUUGUCUUGAGCUUCUGAAAGCUCACCUCACACUCGUCCGACCACGUGAACUGGGCAUCCUUCCAGGUCAACUUGGUCAUCGGGGCUGCAAUAGAUGAAAACUCCUCCACAAACUGACGCUAAUAGCCCGCUAAACCUAAGAUACUCCGGAUCUCUGUAGUUGAUGCAGGUCUAGGCCAGUCCUUGUCUGCCUCUAUCUUCUUCGGAUCCACCUGAAUACCCUCUACUGAUACAAUGUGACUCAAGAAUGCAACUAAACUCAACCAGAACUCACAUUUUGAAAACUUAGCAUAUAACUAACUGUCCCUCAAAGUCUGGAGAAUGGCUCAAAGAUGCUGCUCAUGCUCUUCUCGGUAGCGGAAAUAGAUCAAAAUAUCAUAAAUGAAGACUAUCAUGAAGGAAUCCAUGUAAGGCUUGAACACUCGGUUCAUCAAAUCCAUGAAAGUUGCUAGGGCAUUUGUCAACCCUAAUGACAUCACUAAGAACUCAUAAUACUCGUACCGAGUGCGGAAAGCUGUCUUAGAUCGGAUGCCCAAAUCCUCAAUUGAUGGUAGCCAGAUCUCAAAUCGAUCUUAGGAAACAAUUGGGCACCCUGAAGUUGGUCAAACAAAUUAUCAAUCCUCGGCAAUAUUCUUGAUUGUGACCUUGUUCAACUGCCGAUAAUCUAUACACAUCCUCAUCGAUAUAUCCUUCUUCUUAAUAAAAAAACAUCGGCAUACCUCAAAGCGAGACACUAGGUCGAAUAAAGCCUUUAUCAAGAAUGUCUUACAACUGUUCUUUCAAUUCUUUCAACUCUGGCGGGGCCAUAUGAUAUGACGGAUAGAAUUGGGUUGGGUGCUCGAAGCUAAAUGAAUGCAAAAGUCAAUAUCCCUGUCGGGUGACAUCCCCGACAGGUCUGAAAGAAAUAUUUUUGGAAAACUUACGAACAAUAUGAACAAAAUCCAUAGAAGUAAUCUCAACACUAGAAUCACAAACAUGCGCCAAAUAAGCCAAACAUCCCUUCUCAACCAUAUGCCAAGCUUUCAUAUAUGAGAUAACCCUACAUGUGGAAUGAACAUGAGUCCUUCUCCACUCUAAACGAGGUAAACUGGGCAACGCUAAGGUUGCAGUCUUGGCAUGACAGUCCAAUAUAGCGUGUUAAGAUGAUAACUAGUACAUUCCCAAUAUGACAUCAAAAUCAACCAUCCAAAAGUAACAGAUCUACUCGGGUCUCAAGACCCCCAAUCACAACUAUACAUGAAUAAUGGACAUGAUCUACCACAAUAGAAUCACCCACCGGUGUAGACAUAUAUACAUGAGCGCUCAAGGAAUCACUAGGCAUGACCAAGUAUGGUGAAAAAUAAGAUGAAACAUAGGAGUAUGUGGACCCUAGAUCAAAUAGAACUGAAUCAUCUCUACUACAAACCAUAACAGUACAUGUGAUAGCUGCAUUAAAAGCCUCACCUCGGGCCUUGCAGAAAGAGCAUAACAUCGGGGCUGGGCCCCACCACUCUGAACUACAUAUCUGGAACGGCCUCCUGCUGGCUAGUCUCUACCUCUAGCGGACUGACUCAACCUUUAAUACCUCUACCUCCACCUAUGGCACCUCUAACUACACCUCUAGCUGGCUGAGUGGGCGGUGGAACACCCGAUGCCUGGAUCAUGGAACAGGAACCCGCAUGUUGUGACUGAACAUCCACUAAUCUCGGACAAGUGUCGAUGCCCCCUUUUUCUCGCGAAAUCGGGUUAAUGACACUUGGGAGGACAACUCGUUCCCUUUUUGGGAAUUGGGUUUUGCAAUUUUGAAAGAGUCGCCACCUAAUGAUUAAGUGCAUUAGGACACUAAAAAUGAAUUUGAUUUAGAAAAACAGAGAUUGGGUAAGGGCGAGAAAUUAUCUCGAGGGGAAGGUGCUAGGCACCCUUCAAGAUCUACUAGUAUGGUUCCCGGCCAUGCUACAAUUGUGACUUUAAGUACAAACAACAAGUAAACAAGCAAGAAUUGUAAAUACUAGGUAGCUUUGUCAUAAGGGUUGUAAACAACUGAAAUACAAGAAGUUAAAGAGGCUGAAAUUUGGAAGGAAUUCAUGUUAGAAUUCUAAAAAAACACAGAAGUAAAGGGGAAGGGGUUUGCACAUAAUUGAUGCAAGUUAAUUAAAAUAUAAGAGGUUAAAGAAGCUGAAAAUUGAAUAAUUUUAAAAUUCUGAGAAUAUAGACGAGUAAAGGGAAAUGGUCGUUUUCAGAAUUCUAAAAAAACACACAAAUAAAGGGGAAAUGGGUUUGCACAUAAUUGAUGCAAGUUAAUUAAAGUAGAAGAGGUUAAAGAAGCUGAAAAUUGAAUAAUUUUAAAAUUCUGAAAAUAUAUACAAGUAAGGGGAAAAGGGUAUCCUAGGUUUAUAAAUAAUAUGGAUCACCACAUACAACACAUGAUAACCAUUUAUACACGUGGUGUUAUUACGUGGUCAUCAUAUCCAUAUCUAUAUUUCCCUUGAGAAUAUAGACAAGUAAAUGGAAAGGGUGGUCGUAGGUUUAUAUAUAAUAUGGAUCACCCAUACAAUACCGAGUAACCAUUUAUACACGUGGCAUUAUCGUGUGGUCAUCAUAUCCAUAUCUACCAUUCCGACCCCGUUAAAGAAUUAAAUGCGAAAUAGUCUCGCUACUUAUUGCAUGCUAUUACCCGUCCCAAUCCUAUUAGUCUUGGAGGCAUUUGGAAAUACGAGUCUUAAAGGGGGAGGGAAAUGUGGAUUUGGUAUGGUUUAAAAAGGAUAAUAAUAAUUCUAGGGCAACAAACAAAACACGUAAGCAGUUAUGGGAAACACAGAAAACUUAAAAGGCUCAAGCAGGCCUCCUCACUUAAGAGCAAAUUGUUUAGCAUGACUUACAAGUACUAGUUAUGGUCUGAAAUAAAUUUAAAGCGUUAAGGCGGACUGGUUUAUCACAUAUUUCUCAGAGAAGAAGUCUGAGUUAGGCCUAUCCCUAGUUGUAAUUAUCAAAUACUGAUGCAAUUAAUUAAUUACCUAAUUGCUUGCCUAUGUGACACCUAUAGGUAUGAUAUCUAACAAUGCAGGAUUAUGCUGAUUUUAAAGAGGGCUUAUUGAUAAUAAAAAAAAGCAUAAGUUCUGCACAUAUUAAACGACCACUACUACUGGUUUUAGACCUGUAAGUGAGAUAGACGAUUCAAAUUUAGUUAGUUAUUCCUAUAGGCAUGCUUUCUAAGCAUGAUUUUAUAACGUUUAUAAAAGUGCAGGAAUCCUAUAGACAUGGUAUCUAGAGCGCCAUUUGUUAUUUGAACCUAUAAACUGUUUGCCUAGUGAUAGACGAUACACAGAAGUGCAGAAAAACCCUAUUUGUCAUGAUCUCUAUAUGAGAUGUAGAAAAACCCUAUAGUCAAACCUUCUAUAUGAGAUGCAAAAGUGCAAGGCAGGAUGUGAUUGCAGGAAGAAAUACCUAGGAACAUGAUGUCUACCCGAAUGCAUACAUGAGUGACCCUCCCCUUUUUACUAAAACCUCAUAAGUUAUUGUAAAUUAUUACAGACCAAAAGUAAAAUUACAUCAGAAAUUAGACUACAACAAAGGAGCCUAAUUCAGACUCAAGGUCUAAAAUAUGAGAUGAAACAACUCCGAAGAUCAAGAUUUCCAAAGCCUUUCUCAUUUUUUGGGUGUGUCAAAGUUCCCAAGAGCCUCAAGUGGACUCUGGGCAAUGCUUACACCCAAAUACAUUGCAGAAUUGAUUAUAAUGUGGUGUGGAAGAGCCAACCCUCAAAUUUCCAAGUUCAGAAGGAACUCAAGGUCCCAAAGCAAGGCUUAUAGGAGGGGGCAGAACUUAAAUCUAAGAGAGUGUGCAAGUGCAUAGAGGGGAUUUAGGGAAGGCCAUGGCAGGCUGGUGGUCAUACCCAACAAUUAGGAGUGAUGGCACACCCCUAACCAGCCUGUUAGCCAUAUUUGUGUGGGAGUUAGGAUCCAUUAAGGAUCACGUUCAGACAUGAGUAUCAAUUUGGAUACUGCCAAAAUUUCAAGAAAACAACCAGAAGAAACUCAGAUGAGAAUGUGAGAGUAAUUGAGAGUUUCUUAAAGAGCAUGGGACUGGAAGGUGUGUAAAAGUAUUAAAUUCAAAGUUUGUCAAAGUGUACCAGGGUCAUGCCCUUAUAGUGCAUAAAGCAAGUAAGAAAAGGUAAGAAAAUAUCAUUCAAAUCAAUCUCCCUUUAAUUAAGGGAUUCUAAUUUCAAACGGGUAAAAGGAAAUUAAGGAAAGAGUUGAUCAAAAAGUUUUUCAAAGCAGUACAAUAAGGGCAAAAUACACAAGGGUUUAUUUAAGGCAAAAUUUCAGUGGUACACCGUUUGUGACAAAUAAGGAAAGGGAAUAAAUCAAACAGCCAGUAAAAUCAAAAUUGCAGGCUUUAUCUGAAUGAACCAAGUCAGGAAAAGGUAAAGAAGGUUCAACCAAAGAAAAAAAUAGUAACAGUCGGUCACACCUUAUUAAACGGGACUCGAAAUCAAUCAAUAGUUGGCAAAACCUUUUUUGAAAGAAGAAUUUCUCAUAUAUAAAGCACACAAACAUCAAAUACGAAGGAGUUGUCAUGCUGAUUAGAAAAGACUUAUCAUAGAAAAAGUCUUAAAAAGGUUCCGAUCCACUUUAUAGACUUAGAAUGAGUCUGAGAGUUCAGGGUUUCAAAGUAGAACCCCAGUCCGAACAAAAAAUCAAUCUUGCUAAAGAAACCCCCAAAUCCUAGUGUUUUAACUCGAAUCAGAUAUAGAGAUGAGAAGGCAAGCCAUCGAAACAGACUCAAAGUUCUGUUUCAGAGCCUCAUAAGGAAACACACUAAUACGGUUGCAGGUUUGAAGCGAUAGAGUGAAAGGUUGAUUUAAAAGUAUAAAGAACAUGUUUUAGGAAAAACUCGGAACUUAAGCAAGUUCAGAAGAGAGAAAAUGGGUGAUAUAAAAUUAAAAAAAAUAAAGGAACCAUGCUUAUAACUCAAACAAAAGUCUAGUAAAGCAAACAAAAUUUAAGAAUUUAGCAGGAAACACGUACAAUAGAAGAAUACUUAAAAGUAUUGCAAAGAAUAUGUAGGAAAACAUAACAAAGAUUAACAUACGAGCCUAAUCUAGAGGCACAGUAGAGUACAAAGGUACAAAAAAGUCAUGUAUAGUAGGAAGAAAACAGAAGAACAACAUAUGUGUGGUAGAAAAGAAAACACAUGAGCAGAAUAUUGACGAACACACAUAAAGAAAAGAAAAGAAAGAAUCAGAAAGAUGUUUUGAAAACCUUUCAGAAACCCUAAAUCGAAGAGAAGAAAUUUUUGAAAGAAAGAUUGGGGAAAAUACUUUAAACAUCUAGUAGAACACAAAUAUAUCAUAGAUCUAAGCACACAAACAAAGAAAAACCUCGAAUAGCUUAGGAUUUCGGAGAAACCCUAGAAAUGAGAAAGGCUUUGAAGGUCACCGAUCUGAGUCAUUGAAGGUCAGAAACAUGCUCAAAUGACCAUGGUAUGCCAGAACAGAGACGGAGAGGACCUUGAGACCUUGAAUCGAUCGUGGUCUGGGUUCAACCUUUCGUAGUCAGGCCUUGAAUCUUCAGGUAUCAGGCACAUAACAUCACUGGGAGGUAGGUGUAAGACUCUUAUAGCUUUGAUAGCCAUAGAUUCCAGUGGAUUUUAGGGUAGAAGUGGCUAGGGUUAGAGAAGGUUUGAGAGUGUUUGAGAGAAGGGGAGGGUUUAAGAGGCGGCUGGUGGGUGAGAAAUGAGGAGAUUAGGCAGUCGUUUGGGUUUAAAAAGGUAAGAACGAAUAUGGGCCGUUGAUCUAUGAGAACAACGCUUAAGAUGAAAGGGGUCUAGUUUGGGUUGUAUCUAUUGGAUCAGGGGCGGGUAGUUUAGGAAUUGGGCUGGUCAAUUUUGAAAUUGAAAUAGGGGUUAAUUGGGGGGUUAAUUUGGGCUAAAACUGAAAUAAAAUAGGGCUAGUUUUAAAUAGCUAGUUUUUCCUUUUUAUUUUAUAAAACUAGUAAAAUGAUUUUUAAACAAAAUUAAAAUUACUGAGUCAGUUAAUAACGUGUAAAUAUUAUUUAAAAAUUAGUGGAACCAAUUUUAUAAUUAUAAAAUACUAUUAAUCUUAAAAUAAGCUAAAAUUGCAAUUAUAUGCAAUUUAGCUUUAAAAUUCCAAAUACAUUUAUAAAAAUAUACAAAAAUUACCUUGACUAUAUUUUGGUAUAAAUAUGGGAAUUAAAUAAAUUAUUCACCAAAUUGAUGAUUUUUUGGAAUAAUUAUAGAUUUUGUACUGCUAAAAAUGGACAAUAAAUUGAUUUGAAAAUCUCUUAAAAAUGAGAAAAAAUACUAAAAUACUUGGACAUACUUAUAUAUGCAGAUAUAUGCUAUUGGAAUGUAUUUUGUAUAUAAAAAAAUUACAUAAAAAAUUGGGCAUUAACAGUUGCCCCUCUUUACCCGGGAAGGUUGAAAGAGUUGUCAGGUAACGUUAUGAUGGCCAAUUUGACCGAUGAAUUGGUUUGAAGAAUUUGACCAUGCUCUGGUUCCUGAUUUGCCUAUAUAUCCCUGGUCUUACAGAAAUCAGGACAUAUGUAGCUCAGGAUCCGUCGGCAGUAUAUGCCGGGGGGAUUUUUCAAGAACGGAUGCGAUGUUCAUGUUGGGAUGGAUUGUCAAAGUCUAGUAGGCUGCGGGAACUGGAGUGGGAUUUUUCCUGUUGAGACGGCCAUUGCUCGUCGGUUUGCCUGCAAAUAAGCAAUCAGUUGAUCAAUGACCGAAUACUAUUUGGCUUGUAUAUUUCUCUAGAGGUAGUCGAGCCCACUCUCAUUGAUGGUUGGCCAUUCAGAGGUCUGCUUACUUGACUCAGCUAAAUGUUCAGGAGUAUAAACCCUGCCGGUUCUUGUCAUGCCCUGUGCCGCAACUGCUUCUCCGUAUUUGGCUUUCCCUUUCCUCCUUGCCUUGGCUGUGUAAUCCCAUGGUAUGGCUUUUGUGUGGAACAGUGUUAUGGCUGACAUUGCCACUGGAAUAGGUACCCGUUCUUUGGGAGGUAAUACAUCAACCUCAAACGGUAUAGAUGCCUUCGAGGACCCAAACUCGACCUCAAUUGGUGUUGGCGUCUUUGCGGAGGAUGGUGUUUCAAGAUCAAGUGGUAUGGACAUGUUCACUUCGGCAUAUUCAGAAGGCUGAAUCUGGAACACAAUCGGGUUAAGGGUGACUCUUGUUUUUUUUGGCUUGUCACCUUCUGCUAUCAACCCAAUCGAUCCCUUGGGGUCCCAAUCAUCUUCUAUCUCGAUCAUGUGAACGUCUCUACCCUUGUGGUCAGGCGGAGACUUGUUGCGGAUAUUCAGAGUAGACUAUUUAGCCACAAUAAUCUUGUUAUCAAUCAGUGCCAAGAUCUUAUCUUUCAAGGUGCGGACUCAUCAAUGGUAUGCCCCUUCACGCCGGUGACGUUUUUAGAAGGCUGAAUCUAGACCACAAUCGGGUUAAGGGUGACUAUUGGUUUCUUUGGCUCGUCACCUUCUACUAUCAACCCGAUCGAUCAUUUGGGGUCCCAAUCAUCUUCUAGCUCAAUCAUGUGAAUGCCUCCACCCUUGUGGUCUGCUAGAGGGUUGUUGUGGCAGGGAUAAGGGUCAUAUAACCAGCAGCUUUGAGUCUUUCAUACAGCUGGUCAAUUGGUUCAGGAAUGGCGGAAUACUGUUUGGGAAUUUUGCGGUCAAAAUUGGUCGAGGUUUAGGGAAGUUUUGAUGUAUUGUAGGCUUGGUAAACAUGUGUUCGUUGGGAAUAUUUGGGUGAAAUAGGUUGGUAUAUGGGAGGUGGGGGUGCUUGGUAAUUUGGAGUAGGUUGAUAUAUGAGUAGAGGCAUUGGGUAGGUUUGGUACUUGACUGGGGAUUUUGUUCUCUGUGCAACCAUCACGGUGCUUACAUCUCUUUUCUUGGAUGUGCCACCAAACUGUAGAUCCUUGUUGGUAGCAAAGCUUCAAAGUUAGUGACCAUACCACUUAUGAUACCUUCCUCGAUCCUCUUCCCUAGCUUGAUGAUGUCGGAAAAUUUCUGGCUUUCAUUCAACAUCAACCUUUCGUAGUACUAUCGGUCCUGAGUUCGAUUGAAAAUUCUGUUCAUUUUUUCCUCUUCUAAAGCUGGUCUGACCGUAGCAACUUCUGAUCUCUAACAAGUAGCAUACUCGCGGAAAGUUUCUAUGGGUUUCUUCUUUAGGUUCUAGAAGUAGAACACAUCUGGUGCAUUCACCAUGUUGAACCUGAACCUGUCUAUGAAAUCAGACGCCAUACUUACCCAAUUUGACAAAUUCUUUUGGUCUCGGCUAAUGUACCAAGACAAACCAUCUCGUUUUAGACUUUUCAUGAAGAGCUUCAUGUGAAUCUUUUCAUCUUUUCCUACUUCGACUAGCUUGUCGCAGUAUGUUCUCACAUGAACUCUGGGAUCCCCGGUGCCAUCAAACAUCUCGAACUUGGGAGGUUUGUAUCCCUCGGGCAGUUCAACAUCUGAUUGUAUGCAAAUUUCUUCAUAGUUCAAUCCCUCGAUCCCCUUGCUUCCUUCAACACCCUAAACUCGGCAAGUGAGCUUCUUGAGUUCUGCGACUAGAUUCCUGAUAAACGAAUCUUUAUCAUCAAACUCAGGUGUGUUUGAAAUGUGUUGAGUAGAAUGUGGUAUGGUUUCCACAUAGAUGGGGGUGUUAUGGUGAGUGUGGAGAUGAUCAUUUGUGGAGUUCAGUAGUUCAGGGAUGAGCAGUUGGGUGUUGUUGGAAGUGUGGCAACUGUUACAGUGGUGCUUUUGUUGUUUUGAAAUGUUUUGUGGUAGUGUGGGAUCUUAAGUAUUCGGGAAAUUGACAUUUGGGGUAGUGAGGGGAAAAUGAAAAGUUUUCCAAGUUCCGAACUUGGUUCAGUUCUUCUUGAAAUUUCAACAACUUCUGUUCGAGCUGGGAGGCACUUUCCUUUGAAUCCUGAAUACCCUAAGUAACCUUUACCCGUUCGAUUGAGUUUUCCUAUUUGAUGUUGCCCAAAUCCUCCAUUUUCCCUUGUUCUUGUUUCUGACGGGACUAAGAGGAGGAGUAGGUGGAGGGCCCUUGGAUCUUGUGGAGUAUGACGACGAUGCCAGAGUGCACAAAACUAAGCUUCUAGCUCCACUAAACCUCGCUCCAAGUAUCCAGUCGCUUGUUUGCGCUGAAAACCAUGUCUUUCCUCUCUUCAAUCAGCUUUUGGUGGGCUUCUUGUAUUUCACGGUGCUCACUUUCACAUUCCCGAAUCCUCUUGCGCAGCUGGUUGUACUUGACCUAUGCUUCAGCUUUUUGUCGAUGAUCCUGUGACCUCGAACAAACCCGGGUUAACCUAACCCAUUAUGAUCAUCUACCAACCAGCUUGGAUAGUAUGGAGUGUAACCAUCAUGGUACCUGUUUGGUUCAAUGGAAUCCUUUCUUAGGAUGAUUUUGUAGUGCCACAUAUGUCAAGCUUGGCACUUGUAAGGGCUAUCGUCAUCCUGAAAGUCGGCCCUGAAGUGACUCAUCCUAUCGACCCUUGGUAUAACCUAUUUUCUUCAUGCCUGCGUCAUAACUCGGCAAGGAACGUAAGGGUAAGUUCUCCUCAAACCGAUAAGUAUCAGGAAUGGUGCAUCCUUGGAUCAGGUAAUGAACUCUCUAGCAGGGAACCACUCGAACAUCAAUUGUACUUGGUUCUCUUUUAGAUUUUCGAACAACUCUACCCAUCCCUUAGCAUCUUCUGGCUCAGAAAAUAUAUUGGGCAUAUAGUUCAUUCGCCUUGGCUGAUGGAAGGCAAUAUGAUCAUCCCAGUCUCUAUGCAGAAUCUCUUGUCGAUACUUAUCCCUCUGGAGAUGUUCCAGGAGCCAGAGUUGGAGUAACAAGUUGCAACUCUCAAAGUGCUUGGCUCCCUGUUGGCAUUUCUACAAGGCUCGGUAUAUCUUUCCAAUAAUCAUGGGCACUAUUCUAAAUGGCUACUCGCCAAUUCCCCUCAUUAAAAUCUUGGUGAUCAUGGCUAGUCUGGUAUGGAUCUUAGCCUUCUUCAUAGGAAAUACUAUCAUCCCCAAAAAGGAGAACAUGUAGACAAAGACCCUUCGGUGAAUGUGCCUCAAUGAUGUGAGGGAGAAUUCAUCCGAAUAAGUAUGGUAGCACUUGCUAUGACCGUACCUCUUGUAUAGAUAGUCAAAAGGAAUGUAAGAAUCCUUCAAACAGGUCAAGUCUGGGUUCUUCUUUAGUCCCAUCAUUUUGAGAAAACCUCUACCCUUGCAAUUUUUCGGCAUAAGCAACCAGGAGUCUCCUCCAGGAUACCAACUAGUACUCUUAUUUUCUCUAGCAAAGGUGUCAUCUCAAUCUCCUCGAAGCAAAACACAAACCUAUCACAAUACCUGAAAAGGGUAGCAGCUUCAAAAAUUUUAUUGUUGGGUUGAAUUUCUAGGAGAGAAGGUACGUUUCCUGGAUAUUUCCUAACAAGAGCUUGAUCGCUGGAAUGAAGAUCUCUCAACCAGUUUAGCAACCUUGGGUGGAUGUUGGUGACCAUGCCGAAUCUGGGGACUUCGUGCCUCAUUUCCUGCAAGACAAAGGUUUUAGACCCUUAUCCCCGCCAUAAUCGACUAUUAAAUAUCAACAAUUAGUAUGGAAGCAUUUAGUUCUCCAAAUAAAUACACAGAACUUGGUGGUGUCCGUUUGGGUUUCAAGGAAACCUUGUAGAAUGUCGACAAGGCUAUUCCUUAUGAGUCGCAAUGCGGACGACAUAACUAACUUGGCUAGGUUUGACCAUGAUGCAUCCACUGUUGAAUAGAGUAAGGUUUCUAUUGGGUAUUAGACUGGUACCCUUGAGCAGAGAACUAAAGAGGGAAAGGCACUGAACUGUCGACUACACCGUUGAUCGACUGGUCUUACCGCAAAUAUGCCUUUGCCAAAUUUAGGGGGUAAUGAUAUCGGAAGGGCCAAGAGAGGGUAAUGAUUUAGAACCGGUAUAGGCUUGUAGCAUUAGUUCUUGAAAGAAAAAGGUUUAAGGCUCAAAAAUUUAACUAUGGAUCAUCUCAUUGGUAGGCAAUGGAAUUGUUCAACUUAACAAUUGGAUCAAGGAGAGCCUAUAAUCACUUCUCAAGUAAAAUUUCACCCAGGUGUCGCCUCAACUAACACUCAGGGAAAGUUCUAGACCAUUGGCUCGAGACUUGGACUCACAAUUCGAUUCCUCACCACACGCGCUAAGGGAUUGCUAAAUACAUUGAGUCUAGGGCCCACAACAACCUUAGUUACGAUUCAUGCACACAAUGGUCCAAAAAGACCACAUGAUGAUUGUUUGGUUAACAAAAAAGUCUCAAAUCCGCGAAUUUCACCAUCCUAAGCACAAAAUUAUGUCUUUGACCAUGGGAUCAAAGGCAAAUUUGCUAGGCCCAAUUGAAGCUUUGCUUGAGGUACCCUUAACUACAACUAUCAAAAACAAAAGAAUAUCAAAGAAACAGACUCAAACCCUUAAGAAGAUUGUCACACCAUCUAUCAUUGGGAAGAGCCACAUGGUUCACACAAUACUACACCCUUGGAAAGAACUGUAAUAUUAAGAAAACCAAGGGUUUAUUGGAAACUCCAAAAAACGAAAGGCUACGGGCCUAUCUAAAAAUCUUAAAACGAAACUUUUUUACGAAAAUAGAAAACAAAAUGAAUAUGUACAAUAGGGGGUAGAGAAUACAACGGGGAUAAAAAGUACGAGAAAAGUAGCUUAAUGUAAAGUUAUGUAUAGACCAAAAUAGAAAAUCACAUAAACAUAGACUAAGUCAAAUAUAUACAGUUAUCCAGAUAAACAAAAGUAGGGCACAUCCCCACGAAUAAGAGUUCGCAUUGUCCCCAAUGCCAACUAUAAAAAUAAGCACUAAAAAUGUCACAAGAAAGGAUAUAGAAGCUCCGUAAGAUUGGUCCGUCUGCAUGGGUUCAUUAGUGGUCCCCAAGUCCUCUAUAUGUACGAGAACCUCAGACUGCUUCCCGGACUCCUACUGCUCAGCUGCUAGGAUUGGGGUCUGCUCCUAGACCGGCUGAACGAUAGGUGCAACAUUGGAAGGGACCUCUUGUGGGUCAGCUAGCUUGAUAACUGCACCAACUGAACUGGGAAGCUUCUUCUUCCUCCUCGGAGGUCUGGGUGCCUGCUUCUGCUCUUGCUGUGGCUGUGGUUAUGGCUGUGGUACUCGUGCUGCUGCUGGGGCUGGAUCGCCGAAUAACAAGUCUACAGGCAUCUAGUCUGCCAAUCCUUAGCACUUUCACCCACUCCUUGGAAGCCCUUGACUUUCUCAUCUUCCUGUGCUCCUUGGCAAGCUCCUUCAAAGCCUUGCCAUGCGAAUCCACCGCCUUAAUCAAGGCAUCCUAAGUCCUCAUAAUCUUCUCCUGGUUGUCCAAGAGCUUCUUCAGUGUAUCCUGAAUGGAUUGAGGAAUCUGAGCUGUGGGAGGUGUUGAAUGGGCCUCAGCUGUGCGCAGUUGACAUCCAGUUGUUCAAACUAGCUAAAGUCUGGCUCAACUAAUGGGCCGUGAAAGGAUGAGCCCGGGAGGAAGGGACCCCCAUGCUAGCUGAAGCGCUGGGUCCAGCCGAGGAGGAUGAUCCUUGAGGUAAGUCAUCACUAACAGUGGUAUCAGUCACGGAUGGAAUCGGUGGAAGGCUCAACGGAAGACUCUACCACAACUGGCUCCUCAGACUGGCCAGUUGGGGCAGAAGUUGGGGGACUUGUAUUUCUUGUCCUUCAGGUUGUCAGACCCCUAUAUGCUAAACCAUGUGAAUGGAGCCAUUGGCUUACCUUCACAUCAUAGGACUUCAUUUUUACUUUCAAAUCUUGGAAGUACAUGGUGAGAGUAUUAGGAAACAAGUAGUUCCGAUCACUAUCAACCCCCAUCGAAGUAAUAGCCCUGUGCAUCACAUUUCCCACAUUGAUAGGGAAGCCUGUCAUGAUAGAAGAAAUCAAAACUGCACGGGGAAGUGGGAUAUUUUGAUCAUGGGCCGUAGGAUCAAGUCGGUUUCACACAAACGUCAACCACCCCCUGGCUUCAAAGUUCAAUGUUCUCCGAAAAAUCUUUACUCCCGCUUGUAUCCAAUCUGGAAUAGUACCCGAGUGAGCCAAGUACUUAGCUACCCAUUGGCGAACGUCUUUAUCCAUUAUCAACUUCUCAUUGUACUGGGUCUCAUCCUCGCCAUCAAACCCCACGUACUCAUCGAAAACUUUCCCAAAGAACACUACAUUUUAUUUUGCACUUUGGUCACAAUUGAGCCCUUUUUAACAUGGGCCACAUUGUAGUAGAACUCUUUCACCAUGUGCUCAUUGGCAUCUAUUAAUCAUCCCAAAAAUGCUCCCAUCCCACUCUGGUAUAAAAUUGUCUAUGAACAUUUGGAAGCAAGGGUAGUAGGUCAUCUGUGAUGAUACUCCUCUCAGGAAUCAAUUUCCGUACUGACCACCAUUCCCUAAACUUAUGAAAUGCCACUUGACUGACAAAUUGAUCUUCUCAAACCUCAGGUUUUCUAGUUCGUUCCACACCUCCAACCUGGGGCACACCACUGUUCGGUACCUUAUCAUCACUAUUGGUACCACCUUCUGCACUCUUCCCUGAUACUGAAGCUGUGGGAGAGUGGAGUAUUCUUUACUACCAGUUGUGGAAUCUUUAGAUGAAUCCGACACUAUAUUCACCGGCCUCUUGGUCGCAGCAGAUGCUGGAGGGGUAUCAACAAUUGGAAACUGGAGACGAAAUAAGUUGGGAUUGAAUCGGAGGAGAUGUCCUGAUAUGGCAUAUACUUACUCCCCGAGGAAUGGGACGCAACUCUAUCUGCAGCUUUUAUCAUUUUCCAGGUCUUUUUGAUGUUUUCCCAGACUUGGGGAGUGAGUUUCACCACUCUCUUGACUUUAACCCAUCGGGAAGAACAACCUCUCCUGAGUUGCUAUGAUCUUUUUCCGCGUCUUUAUUUCACCAAUAUCUCCAUACAAACAUAUCUAACAUUGUCAGUUGAAGCACAAGUAGUGAAUCAUGUGAAUGAAUUUAAGUUGCAGACAACAGAAGGAAAUGUUGCAGGCAUUGCUGCAGAACCAGGCACCGCAGACCACACCAUCAGGAAUGCGACCGUGUUGGAAGCACCGCGGACCGCACUGAGGCGACCGCGGGCCACACUGGAUAAGGCCCCAGACAAGUCUUCUUUGAAUCCCCCACGGCGGUCCGCACGAAAGAGGGUCGCGGCCGCGUUGAUCCAGCAUGGACCAUGUGAAAUGCAAUGCGGCCGCGCUGGAAGCAAGGUAUGUUUCAAUCAAGUUGGGCACCACGGUCCGUGCAAAAAGGGAAAGCGGACCGCGUCAGGGCCACGUGGACCACGCGAAGGUAACCGCGGGCCACGCUGAGCCAGAAUUAGGGAACUAGGUCAAGGUUUCAUGUUUUCUUCCAUUUGUGUUCACAUUCUUACACCUACUUGUCCCUACUCGGUUACCCAAUCCUCAAUCACAUUAAACUAACAUGAAAUCUACUCUAGACUAACAAUUCGAAGAAGUUACAAACUACUGGUGGACAAUUAAAAUGAAAAUAUGGAAUCAAUUAAUAAAGAAUCCAUGAAAAGUUACCAAGAUAUGAAGAAUGAAUGUAAUCUAUCCAAGCAAGCAAGAAUUGCGGUAUUAGAAGAGGGAUGAACAGUAAUAUUGGGGCUCUGAAUAUUCAAGGUUCGAAAAGGGUAAAAUGAGACCAUUGGUCACUAUUUAUAGAUACCCAGUGGGACCCAUACUCACCUACUAGCGCGGCGCACAAAAGCGACCGCAGACCGCACUGGGUUUGUUUGUGUGACCCUUCAGUAAGUAGCCCACGCGGACCGCACAAAAAUGCAACGUGGACGCGUAGGUCCACCGCGAACCGUGCUAAUAGGACUCUAGCCAUGAUGCAUACUCCAGAGAGUAUCUUGUUCAGCUCAUGCUAGUGCGGACCGCACAAAGUGCACCACGGCCGCAUUGGUAAACUUCAGAGACUAUGCACUUUUUCCACUUAGUUUUGCACUGCAUCAACACAACUCCUGCAAAAUCUCACAAACAAUUAGCUCAAAAAUCCUAAACUACAAAAACUUAAACAAGUUGGGGAGCGAAGAAAAUUCCUAUAGCUACCGAGCGUAGAGUUAGCUUUUGGCAGCUCAUGCAUCGACUGAAGGAGGGGUUGACUCUGCUACCAGGCUUAGAGGAAUGGGAGCAGCUUAGGAAUCAGCAUAAGUAGAAGUGGGUCACCCCAUAUAAGUAAUAUGGGCAAGUACGCGAGAUAUAACCAAUAGAUUUUGAUUUUUCAACAAAGUCCUUCUUUCAGCAAAAUCGAAACUCCUUAGUGCAAUCAAUUUCAGUAUGCCGGUUUAAUUUGAAGAGAAAGAGGGAAAAAUCCAUACAAUCUCAGAACCAAGGAGAGAAGAGGGCGAAGGAUCUGAAUUCACUUUUUUUAUUUUAUUCAUACCCGCGUAAAGGCUUUUCCUGAUUAAGGAAGAAGCCUAGAAGGCAGAACUCUUAACUAAGCCCAAAGGCUAGAUCCCACUUCAAACUUUAUGUUUCAAGCACGUUGGCAUUUUAUUUUAACCUAAAGAGGGAACCCCGGUAUAAAAAAGCGUGCUUCUUUCUUGAUGGUUGAACGGAAUCAAGCCCAAGGGCAAUAGCUGACAUUGUUGAAUUAGCUGACAGAAGAAGCGAAAGGUAUUCUGAUUUAAGUUCACCCAAUCCUCUAAGCCCUUAUUCUUGAAAAAUAGGCAUAUGGGUGAUAAGGAACUUGAAACAGGCAUGGACAGAAGUAUGCCCCUCCUUUUGAUGGUGAAUGUCGGAAAUCCUCUUCCCGGAUCACCUUUGAUGGACAUUCAAAAGGAUCUGCUAGGCUGUCUUACAUGUCCCAAAAAGCAAGCAAAGGGGCUCCUUUCCUUCCCCAUGUGGAAGAAGUGUACACACAGGGGGCCUACAACCUCGACCUCAGUAUGAAAAGCAUGACGGAAUCGACGGUGGUCAAUCUUCCUUCUUCUUUGGCAUCUCGACUGGGGAGCAUGAAAACAAGACUGGAAGAGGGCUCAGGUAUCAACGUCCUUAGCUUCUUCUAGGCUAUCUUACAUGUCCCAAAAAGCAAUCAAAGGGGCUCCUUUCCUUCCACAUGUGGAAGAGUGUACACACAAGGGGCCUACAACCUUGACCUCAGAAUGAAAAUCAUGACGGAAUCGACGGUGGUCAAUCUUCCUUCUUCUUUGGCAUCUCGGCUGGGGAGCAUGAAAACAAGACUCGAAGAGGGCUCAGAUAUCAACGUCCUUAGAGAGAAAGACAACAGACAUGGGUUGCCUCCCAAGAAGCGCCUGAUUUAACAUCGCGUCAUGACGUAGGUUACCAACACAUCACCUCAAAUGAACCAGCACGUGGCUAUCAUCAAAACUUCCCCAAAUAAUGCUUGACACGAUACCCAUUGACUCGGAAAACUUCACCAUUUUUGUUCUAGAGAUCAAGAGCACUAAAAAGGGUUACACAUACAACUUCGAAUGGCCCACUCCACUUUGACUUGAGCUUUCCCGAAAAUAACCUCAACGAGAUCAAGAGAACCAAAAGAAGUCACACAUACAACUUUGAAUGGCCCACUGCACUUUGACUUGAGCUUUCCUGGGAAUAACCUCAACCGAGAGUCGAAAAAAAGAACCAUAUCACCAACCUUGAAUUCUUUCCCCCGAGCAUAUUUGUCAUGAAGAUACUUCAUCUUGUCUUUAUAUAAGGACAAGUUCAACUUUCUCAAGGCCCACGUAGCUUUGUGUUCCAACUCCACCGGUAAGUGACAUGCUUUCCCAAAUACCAACCGAUACGGAGACAUACCAAUUGGGGUCUUGUACGCAGUCCGGUAGGCCCAUCGAGCAUCAUCUAACUUUUUGGACCAAUCGGUCCAAUUUGCAUUGACGAUUUUGGACAAGAUACUCUUUAUCUCUCGGUUAGAGACUUCCACUUGGCCGCAAGCUUGAGGAUGAUAGGGGGUAGUCACUUUGUGAUUUACUCCAUACUUGGCAAGUAAUGAAUCAAAAGCCUUGUUGCAAAAGUGGGCCCCCCAUCACUAAUGAUAGCACGAGGAAUGCCAAACCUUGUGAAGAUACUCUUUUUCAAAAAUGAAUCAAAAGCCUUGUUGCAAAAGUGAGACCCCUCAUCACUAAUAAUAGCACGAGGAGUGCCAAAUCUUGUGAAGAUACUCUUAUUCAAAAAUGCCACAACACUCCAGACUUCAUUGUUGGGUAAAACCAGGGCUUCUACCCACUUUGAGACGUACUCCACCGCCACGAGAAUGUAAGUGUUCCUACAAGAGCUCACGAAAGGACCCAUGAAAUUGACACCCCAAACAUAAAAAAUAUCUACCUCAAGAAUCGUAUUGAGGGGCAUCUCAUCCCUUUUUGAGAUUCCGCCAGCUCUUUGGCAUGCAUCACAUCUCUUUACCAAAUAACUAGCAUCUUUAAACAACAUCGGCCAAUAGAAACCGCAACUCAAGACCUUUAAAGCUGGUCUCACCCCUCCAUGAUGGCCACCAUAGGGGGAGGAGUGACAAGCCUCCAAAAUGCUCAAUUGUUCACCUUUCGGGACACAUCUUCUCUUUGUUGUCCCUACUCUCAAGACCUUUAAAGCUGGUCUCACCCCUCCAUGAUGGCCACCAUAGGGGGAGGAGUGACAAGCCUCCAAAAUGCUCAAUUGUUCACCUUCCGUGACAUAUCUUCUAAUCACAUCAUUCGUGCAAAUUUUAAACAAGUACGAAUCAUCCCAAUAAAAAUCCAAACUAUCCCGCUUGAGUUUCUUCCUUUGGUUGGAAGAGAGCUCAAAUGGGACAAUUCCGGUCACAAUGAAGUUGGCGAUGCCCGCGAACCAUGGCAUGUCACAUAUUGACAUGGAAAGAAGUUGCUCAUCGGGGAAUGUACCAUUUAUUUCAAGAUUGUCACAUGGUCUCCCUUCUUCCUCCAACUGAGACAAAUGAUAUGCAAAUUGGUUCUCACUUCCCUUCCGGUCCACUAUUUCUAAGACAACUUCUUAGAGAAGUAAUACACAUCUCGUCAAUCUUGCCUUGGAAUCCUUUUUGGUCAUCAAAUACCUCAGGGCGGCAUGGUCUGUGUGCACAAUCACCUUGGCCCCCAUAAGAUAUAGCCUAAAUUUCUCCAUGGCAAAUACAAUAGCCAACAAUUCCUUCUCCGUCACCGUGUAAUUACGUUGAGCUUCAUUCAUAGCCUUGAUUGCAUAGUAGGCAAAUACUACAGCCAACAAUUCCUUCUCCGUCACCGUGUAAUUACGUUGAGCUUUAUUUAUAGUCUUGCUUGCAUAGUACACGGGAUGAAACAUUUUGCUAAUUCGUUGACCCAACACCGCCCCCAUUGCAACGUCACUUACAUCACACGUUAGUUUAAAGGGAAAACUCUUAUUGGGCUCGGUGAUGAUAGGAGUUGCGGUCAACUUGUGCUUUAUGAGUUCAAAGGCCUCCAUGCAUUUUUCAACAGCGUCACCUGCAUCGCACAUUAGUUUAAGGGGAAAACUCUAAUUGGGUGCAGUGAUUAUAGGAGUUGUGGUCAACUUAUGCUUUAAAAGUUCAAAGGCCUCCAUGCUUUUUUCGUCAAAAACAAAAUUGGAAUCUUUCUCUAGCAACUUGCAUAAUGGAUUCAUGACCUUUGAGAAAUCUCUGAUAAACUGCCGGUAGAACCUGGAAUGCCCAAGAAAACUCCUCACCCCUUUUACAGAAGUAGGGGAGGAAGCCUCGAAAUCACCUUGAUUUUUGCCUUGUCUACCUCAAUCCCAUGCUUAGAAAUCUUGUGACCCAAUACUAUACCUUCUUCCACUAUAAAGUGGCACUUUUACCAAUUAAGAACAAGAUUAGUUUCUUCACAUCGGGCCAAGACUCUAUCCAAGUUUACCAAGCAAUCUUCAAAGGAGUCACCAACCACACUAAAGUAGUCCAUAAAGACCUCCAGUAUAUCUUCCACCAUGUCGGUGAAAAUGUCCAUAAUGCAACGUUGGAAGGUCCCCGGAGCAUUGCAUAGCCCAAAUGGCAUCGGGGAGAAGGCAAACGUACCAUAUGGGCAUGUGAAAGUGGUCUUCUCUUGGUCCUCCGGGGCAAUUAGGAUUUGAUUAUAGCCCGAAUAUCCAUCCAAAAAACACUAGAAAGCUCGUCCCGCAAGGUGAUCAAGCAUUUGAUCUAGGAAGGACAAUGGGAAAUGAUCCUUUCGAGUAACCUUGUUGAGUGUCUGAUAGUCCAUGCAAACUCUCUACCCAGUAAUGGUUUGAAAGGGAAUAAUCUCAUUGUUGGAAUUUGUCACCACCGUCAUCCCUCCUUUCUGUGGCACACAUUGGACCGAAGCGGUCCAUGAGCUAUCAAAAAUUUGAUAAACCACACGGCGUCUAGCCAUUUGAUAACCUCUUUAUUUACCACUUCUUUCAUUGCUUUAUUUAGUCUUAUUUGAUGUUCAAGUCAAGGCCUUUCAUCCUCCUCCAAGAUGAUUUUAUGCAUGCAAAAGGCGGGGGCCCCGAAUGUUAGUCAGAGUGCAUCCUAUAGCCCUUUUUCGCCUUUGAAGCACCUCUAAAGUGGCCUCAACCUGCAAGUUAGUAAGGCACGAAGAAAGAAUAACUGGAAGAGUUGAAUUAGAUCCCAAAAAUUCAUAUCUGAGAUGUGGAGGAAGUGGCUUCAACUCCAACACCGGUGGCUCCUCAAUCGAUGGCUUUGCUGGUAGAGAUUAGCAAUUUUCAAGAUCCAAAGACAACUUCCUAGGCUCAUAUGAAUAUGAACCCAUACCUUGCAAUGCAUUCAUGCACUCCACUCUACUAGCAUCAUCAUCGACAUCUAUGUUAAGAAGCACGACUUCAAGAGGAUCUUCAACAUUUACCAUGGAACUUGUGUCAUCCACUAUCACAAAUGUGACAAUAUCCACAAAUUAACACACAUCCGGGCUAUUUGGUUACCUCAUUGAUUUGCAAACAUGGAAUACCACUUUCUCAUCUCCUACUUGGAAUGUCAACUCACCCGCUUCAACAUCAACCAAGACCUUCCCUGUAGCUAGGAAAGGUCUCCCAAGAAUAAUCGGCACUUCAAAGUCUACCUGACAAUCCAAUAUGACAAAGUCGACCGGUAAUAUGAAUUUAUCAACACGGACAAGAAUAUCAUCAAUUAUGUCCAAGGGUCGCUUCAUUGAUCGGUCCGCCAUUUAAAGUCUCAUUGAGGUUGGCCCAGGUUGCCCAAUUCCUAAAGUCUUAAAGACCGAAUAAGGCAUCAAAUUUAUGCUAGCCCCCAAAUGACAAAGGGCCUUGGAAAAAUCAGCACUACCGAUAGUUCAAGGGAUAGUAAAAGAUCUGGGUCCUCAAGUUUCGGUGCGAUAGAAUGCACAAUAGAACUUACUUGAUGAGUCAUCUUAAUUUUUUCGCACUCCAUUGAACUCUUCUUCGUUAUCAAAUCUUUCAUAAAUUUUGCAUAACCUGGCAUUUGCUCAAGUGCCUCAACCAAAGGGACAUCUAUUGUGACGCCCUUCAUCAUGUGAAUGAACUUUUUGAAUUGAUUGGAAUUCUUUUGCUUUGUUAACCGUUGAGGAUGGGGUGGAGGUGGUAUAGGCAAAUAUUUCUUGGCUUUGGGAACCACUGGCUUGGAUAUAUCAAUCACGUGUUCCCUGGAUGGGUUCACGGCAUCUUGUGCUUCCACCUCAGCCUCAUCAUCAAUUUCAAUCUGCGCAUCAUUGUUCACAUUUUGUUCAACAACAUCUUCAUCAAUCAACAGAUCCACAUCUUCUUGGAUCCCAAUGUUAUCAUCUAAAAUUUGAUUUUCUAUCGAGGCAUACACAUCACCAUAUUUUCCGCUUCUAGUUGUAACCGCCAUUACAUGUUGUUGUUCCCACCCUUCGGGUUCACUACCAUAUUACAACCAUAUUACUUGGUAGGGCACCUUUGGGGCGGUUAUUCAAAGCUUGAGAAAUUUGACCCAGUUGCACUUCCAAGUUCCGGAUAGAUGUGUUAUGCAAAGCCAAUUGUACAUCUGAAUCUUAGAUCAUUUUCAUUAUUUUCUCGAACAUACUUUCAAUUCUCCCCAUAUCACUCUCGAAUGAACUCGUACCUUGAGAAGGAAAAUGGGUGGAUUGUUCAGUUGUUGGUACAUGGGGGCCUCUGAAAACCUUGCCCCCAGUUGCCUUGGUUUUUGCUAUUAUUCCACCCUCCUUGAUUGUUGUCGCUCCAAUUAUUGUUGUUCCCGUUCGAAUUGCCUUGACUGUUACCUUGAUUACCCCAAUUAUCGUCUUGGAUAUUGUUGUUAUAAUUACUACCGCCUUGUUGAUUUUCCCAAUUGUUGCUUUGAUUGUUGUUGUUCCAAUUGCCACCGCCUUAUUGUUGGUUGUUACUAUUCCAAUUUCCGCCACCUUGUUGAUUUCCCCAAUUUCCUUAGGGACGCUAUUGUUGAUUCCCUUGAUUUCCUCUAUUUCCUUGGUAGUUAUUGACAUAUUGACAUUCCUUGAUUUGAUCAUCAUAACCCUCAUUCGAAUAACCACCACCAUCAUCGUUGUUGUCAAAUUGCUCACAAUUACCUUGAGGUUGUUGUUGCCCUCUUUGCCUCCUUUUCAACAUCGAAACACCUUCCAUUGCAUUGACUUGGCACGAGUUUUAGACUUGUUGCAAUUGCACCUUCGCCAAUUGAUUCAUAGUUGUUGUAAUAUCGACAAUAGCUUGGCCAUGAUCGUGCAACAUUGUGCAAAUGGAUGACCGUGGGGUCACCUUGGGGCACAUUUGCUCGGCUUUGCCAUGCCGAAGAGGUGUCGGCUAUUUCAUCAAGUACAUCAUAUGCCUCUUGGUACGAAAGUUUCAUAAAUUCCCUCUGGCUAAUUGGUUCACAAUGCAAGAUUCGUGGUGUUGAUGCCCUGAUAAAAGGUUUGUUGGAUCAUUAUCUCAGUCAUAUCAUUAUUAGGGCACUCCUUCGCCAUUGUUUUAUAUCUCUCGCAGAUUUCGUGCAAAGGUUUCGUUUGUUCUUGCUUGAAGGCUAAAAUUUCAUCCCAAAGUGCCACCAUAUGACUUGGUGAGAAAAACUUGCCAAUGAAUAUAUCUUCCAACUCAUCCCAAAUUGUGAUGGAAUGAUUAUGGAGCCUUUCUAACCAAUCCAAUGGUUUACCCCAAAGAGGGAAUGAGAAAAGUCUCAAUCUCUAAUCAUCCUCAGACACAUUUGCUUGCUUGCUACCCCAGAAUGUAUCUACGAACCCCUUCAAGUGCUUGUAGGCAUUUUGAUCAGAGGCACCCGUAAAAUACCUUCUUUUCUCAAGCAAGGUCAACAUGACAUUUGUGAUUUAAAAGUUCCCCGCCCGGAUUCGGGGAGGAACAAUAGCACUUGCAUACCCUUGAUUUGGGAGAACUCUUGGGGCUACUUCUUGCGGUGGUGGAGGAGGGUCUGGGAUAGGAUUGUUGUCAUUUCCAUUGUCCUGACGGUCUCUACAUGGAGCUUGAGGUAAAUGAGGAACCUCUUCUUGAUCAAGAUCAUCUACCUCCUCCCUUGCCAUGACAUUGCCAAAAGGGUCAUUUGCAUUGAGCCAUGUGUACCUGAGUGAUUGACACAAAUGAAAUUAGUAACCAAGAAAGAAAGAGAAGAAAAACACAAAAACUAACUUUACAGAUAGUCAACACCGUAAGCUCCUCGGCAACGGCGCCAAAAAGUGAUCGCUGCUAACCCAACACUACACAAAGGUAAGAAGAAUGGGUCACAAUAGCUUUUACCCAAAUAGUGGUUGGGAUCGAAUUUCCACAUGGAGCUAGUAGUGGAGUUUUGUUUUCUGUCUAGCCUAAAGAUGUGUUUGUACUUCUAAUGUCACUUCAAACAUUCUUGGGUUUUUGUAUUUAUAAAUACUGUUAGAAAACUAAGGACUAAAGCUAGAUUAUGCUAAGAGAAUAUAGUUAUUUUAUAUCUAAUAAAGAGAAAGACACUAGGGUUGUGGCAUCUCCUGGGUGGUUAAUUAACGGGUAGAAACAACUAAGGAUAGAUUGACAUAUUUGGGGCUUAUGCUAUAACUGAUGCACAGUUGUACCCACUCUCACACCUCUCGGUAGAGAGAGUCAUUUUGCCAAAUUGACUCUCUCGAGACAAAUUGGGUAGGCCUAUUAGACCGAUCAAUUAGGGUUUAAGUAGGGUGAUUACUCUCUCGAGAUUUAACCUGUUAAUUGGGACUACCAUUUCCCAUGGGUCCAUCCCAAUUCCUUGUUGGGUCAAUUUUGGGGUCAUAGACUCUCUUUCUCAAGAAGAGUUAAACCCACUAAACUUGAAUCAAUAUUUGCAACCACCAAUUCUAAGAUAAAAAUAUAAAAUCCACCCAAAUAACAAACACCAAAUAUCAAUCUAACCCUAAAUGAUAACACCCAUUAAUUGCCCACACUAGGGUUGAGCCACAACCCUAGCUAAUGGGUUUAGAUACACAUAAUUAAAGAAAGAACUGAAGAAAUAGAUGAUGAACUAAACAUAUUAAUUAAUUACUAAGAAGAAACUACUAUAAUGUAUUGUUAAAGAAGACCAAAAAUGACAAAAACGGCUACAACAUCGUUUCUAGGUGCUCAGCUGCAUUUUUUAAUACAAAAUUUGACCUAAAAAAUGGAAAAGUGUUCUAUUUAUACUAGGCUAGAAAAACUGGACAAAAAUACCCAUGCAGGGUUAGUGCAGGCCGCGCAAAAGCAACUGCGGCCGCAGUGGCUCUUUGACUUGGUGAUUUUCACUCUUUAAACUGGAGGACGUGGACUGCACAAAUGAUUAGUGUGGCCGCGGAAGGAUCUGGCGUAGGCCGCACGGCGGAGACUGCGGGUCGCGUGGUUUGACUUGGCUCUUUGACAACCUCUCUGAAUCUCAUUCACGCGGACCGCACAUAUGAGUGAAACAGCCACGGAGCAUGAACGCGGACCGCGUGAAUCCAACCAUGAACGCGUUGCCCUUAGCCUGAAUAUGUCAUGCCUCUGAAUUUCCUAGUGCGGUCGUGGUUGCUUUCAUGCGGUCCGCAUCCUCUUUUCUUAACAUUACUUAAUCUUUGAUACUUGAGCAGGUUCCACUCCUUUUUGAGCCGAUAUUUGACAUUUUUCACUUUUUCAAUAAAACCUACAGUCAAGCACACUUUUUGAGCAUUUUCGGGCCUAUUUUGUAGCAAUUUAUACUCAAAGCAUAGGCAAGUAGGGGCAUAAACACGUUAAAAUCAUAAGUUAUCAGCUCCCACAGAUCUAGAGAGGAUAGAAGGUUCGUUGAUGGUCUAAACAUACAGCUUUAGAUUCUCAUGACUAGGGAGAUGGUUUUAGGUGCUACUUUUGAGGUGGUUGUUGACAUCACCUGCGAGAUAGAGUCAGUUCAUCGCCAUAUGCGAGAGAAAAGGGAGGCCAAGAGGCCUUGGAGAUCUGAUAGCUUGGGUGGUGCUCCUUCGAGGGGUCAGUUUCAGCACGGUAGAGGCCAUCUAUUCAGGUAUGCUCAGUUAGCUUGCACAAGUUAUCGUGGGGUAUCAUCGGGUCAUGGUUCUCAAAGUUCUAAUCAGGGACAUUCACCACUCAUUGCCUUUCCAGACCAGAGUUCGUCCCAUGCUCCAUUAUUUCAGGGCUCUUCUAUGCUAGGUAUAUCUGCUAGUCAUCUCAAAGCUACGGGUUCCCUUUAGUCCCCAUCUCCAGCACCAGGGAGUUGUUAUGAGUGUCGAAAGUUUGGACAUAUGAGGAAGUAGUGUACUCAUCUUCUCGAGGGUCCAUCUCAAAAGAGGGGUCAGCCCUCGACUUUAGCUCCAAUUACUUCACCACCUUCUCAGGAGGCUAGGGUGGGGGUCAGUCAUCUAGGGCUCACCAUAGAGUGAGAGGUCGAUUAGGUAGUGGUCAGGCUCGUUUCUAUGCACUCCCAGUUAGACCAGAUGUGGUUGCUUCAGCUGUUGUGAUUACAUGUAUUAUCUUAGUCUUCCACAUAGAUGCCUCUGUAUUAUUUGAUCCCAAUUCCACUUAUUCUUAUGUGUCAUCAUACUUUGAUCGUUAUUUCAAUAUGCCAUGCGAGUCUCUUAUUUAAUCUAUUUGUGUAUCUACUCUAGUUGGCGAUACUGUUAUUGUAGACCAUGUGUACCAGUCAUGUGUGGUGACUAUUAGGGGUCUGGAGACCCGAGUGGAUCUUUUGUUAUUAUGUAUGGUGGAUUUCGAUGUUAUAUUUGGCAUGGAUAGCUAUCUCCGUAUUGUGAUAUUUUGGAAUGUCAUGCUAAGACAGCGACUUUGUCUAUGCCGGGUGUGACACGAAAUGAGUGGCAAGGUUCAACUAAUUAUGUUACCAGUAGGGUAUUUCAUUCUUGAAGGACCAGCGUAUGGUUGGGAAGGGUUAUCUUUCCUACUUAGCCUUUGUAAGGGAUGCCGAUGCAGUGACUCCUAGUAUUGAUUUUAUUCCUAUUGUAAGGGAUUUUCCAAAUGUUUUUCCUACAGACCUGCCGAUUAUGCCACCAAAUAGGGAUAUUGAUUUUGGUAUUGAUCCAGUCCUGGGCACUCAGCGCAGUUCUAUUCCACCAUAUCGUAUGAUACCUGCAAAGUUGAAGGAGUUAAAUGAGCAACUUCAGGAACUCCUUGAUAAUGGGUUUAUUCGGCCUAGUGUGUUGCCUUGGGGUGCACAUGUCCUAUUCGUGAAGAAGAAGGAUGGAACAAUGGGGAUGUGCAUUGAUUACAGUUGAACAAGGUUUCAAUUAAGAAUAAGUAUCCCCUGCCUUGAAUUGAUGAUUUAUUUGACUAGCUUUAGGGAGCGAGAGUGUUCUCCGAGAUUGAUCUCUGUUCAAGUUAUCACCAGUUGAAGAUCAGGGACUCGGAUAUUCAUAAGACAGAUUUCAGGACCCAAUAUGGUCAUUAUAAGUUCCUCGUUAUGCCUUUUGGGUAGACCAAUGCCCCAACAACAUUCAUGCACUUGAUGAACAUCAAUUCCGGCCGUGUCUCGACUCGUUUGUCAUAGUCUUCACUGAUUAUAUCUGGUGUAUUCGUAUAGUCAGGGGGAGUACACAGAGCAUUUGAGAGUUGUGUUGCAAAGAUUGAGUGAGGAGAAACUUUAUGCAAAGUUCUCCAAGUGUGAGUUUUGGCUUAAUUUAGUGGCAUUCUUGGGGCACGUAGUGUCCCGUGAGGGUAUUCAGGUUGAUUUGAAGAAUAAAGAGGCGGUUCACAGUUGUCCCAGACCGUCCUCAGCCACAUAAAUUCACAACUUCCUUGGGUUGACGGGUUAUUACCACCGAUUUGUUCAGGGAUUUUCAUCUAUCGCAUCACCCUUGACCAAGUUAACUCAGAAGGGUAUUUUUUCAGGUGGUCGGAUGAGUGUGAUGACAUCCUUCAGAAGCUCAAGAUUUCUUCGACCACAACUCAAGUGUUAGUAUUAUCAUCAGCUUCAGGUUCUUAUACCGUGCAUUGUGAUGCUUCCAGAGUUGGUAUUGGGGGUGUGUUGAUGCAAAAGGGUAGAGUUAUUGCUUAUGCUUCUCGUCAGUUGAAGCCCCAUGAGAAGAAAUACCAUGUUCAUGACUUAGAGUUGGCUACCAUUGUUCACGCGUUGAAUAUUUGGAGGCAUUAUUUCUAUGGUAUGUCUUGUGAGGUAUUUACUGAUCAUCGUAGCCUUCAACACUUAUUCAAGUAGAAAGAUCUCAAUUUGAGGCGGCGGAGAUGGUUGGAGCUGCUAAAGGAUUAUAAUAUAACUAUCUUGUACCCUCCGGGGAAGGCCAAUAUGGUGGCAGAUGCUUUGAGUCGGAAGGCGGUGAGUAUGGGGAGUUUGGCAUAUAUUCCAAUUGGGGAGAGAUCUCUUGCAGUUUAUGUUCAGGCCUUGGAAAUUGGUUCUAGAGGUUGGAUAUUUCGGAACCUAGUUGGAUUUUGGCUUGUGUCAUUUCUCGGUGUUCCUUAUUUGAUCACAUUAGAGAGUGCCAGUGUGAUGAUCCUCAUUUUCUUGUCCAAAAGGACAGAGUUCAGCACGAUAAUGUCGGAUAUCUGACUAUUGAUGAUGAUGGAGUAUUGAGGAUGCAUGGCCGGAUAUGUGUGCCCAAUGUGGAUGUGCUUUGGGAGUUGAUUCUUGAUGAGGGCCAUAAUUUGCGAUAUUCUAUUCAUCCAGGUAUCACGAAGAUUAAUCAGGAUCUGAGAUGUUAUUAUUGGUAUAGGAGAAUGAGUAAAGACAUUGUGCUAUUUGUAGCUUGGUGUCUCAAGUGUCAGCAGGUGAAAUAUCAGCAUCAGAGAUCGGGUGGCUUGCUUCAGUGGAUGGAUAUUCUAGAGUGGAAGUGGGAGCAGAUCACCAUGGACUUUGUAGUUGGGCUCCCACAGACAUUUAAGAAGUUUGAUGCUAUUUGGAUUAUUGUGGAUCGACUCACCAACUCCGCGCACUUCAUUCCUGUGUGUACUACCUUUCUUCAGAGCAUAUGGAAGAAAUCUAUAUCCGGGAGAUUGUUCAUUUGCAAGGUGUCGCAGUUUCUAUCAUUUCAGAUAGAGGUGCUCAGUUUACUUCACAAUUUUGGAGGUUUGUACAACGAGAGUUGGGGUACUCAGGUUGAGUUGACCACAACUUUUCAUCCUCAGACGGAUGGGCAAUCCGAGCGCACUAUUCAGAUAUUAGAGGACAUGUUCUGUGCUUGUGUCAUUGAUUUUGGAGGUCCAUGGGAUAAGUUUCUACCGCUCGCAGAUUCGCUUCUAACAACAGUUAUCCGUCGAGUGUUCAAAUGGCUCAUAUGAGGCUUUGUAUGGGAGGCAAUUGUCGAUGCUCCCUUUUUCUGAAGGUGAAAUCGGGUUUAUGAUAUUUGGGAAGGAAACACAUUCCCUUUUGGGAAUUGGGUUUGCAUUUGAAGAGUCGCCACCUAAUAAUUAAGUGCAUUAGGACACAAAAAGGUUUGAGUUUGAAGAACCACAGUUAGGGUAAGGGCUCGAAAUUAUCUCGAGGGGAAGGUGUUAGGCACCUCUAAAGAUCCACUAGUGUGGUUCAUGGACGUGUUAUAACUGUGACUUCACAUAACCAAGUAAGCAAUUACGGGUUCAAAAUAGAGGGACUUGUAUAUGACAUUACAAAUAAGUAGGAAACGUUGAAGGUACGUAGAGAGGGUAGAAAUUAAAAAAAAAGACUUGAAUAAUUUUAGAAGAAGAGAUGAAAGCAAAUGGAGGGAGAGGGGUCCUAGGUUUAUAAUUAGUAUGGAUCAAUGCAAUAUCCAGAAAUCACUCCUCAUGAGAGAGGCUACAUGAGAUAUUAACGCAUCGGUCAUAAUCUCCAUAUUCUACCUUUCCCAUCCCGUAAAGGUUAUUUAAACGCGUGGAUUAGUCACGAAAGCUUAUUGCGUGCUAUUACGCAUCCUGUCCUUUACGUCCUAGAGGGAAUUUAGGACCACUAUUCCUACAAGGUAAGGAUUUGGCUGAACCCUUAGGUUUAAAGGAUAAAAUGUUAAGCGAUAUGCAUAAAAAGUAGGACUGCUCAUAAGGGAACAUACAAAGACAAAUAAAGACUCAAAGAUCCCUCCACAAAUGUACACAUAAUUAGCACAUCUCAAACACAUUUAAGGUCUUAAAGAUGGGAAUUAAAAAAUAAGAAUGUUGAAGUUAAAACAGUAGGGUUCAAAAGGGUAUAUUUUGGCAGAUUAGCAGUGAAAGCAGAAGGUUCAGUUAAGCCUGCGGUACUUGAAGAAUGAUUGAUUUUCAUAAAUAGAACAGUUUAAAAUCAACAGUAAGAUUUAGAAGUAUACAACAGUUUAGAGCUCAGUGAAAUAUAGAUAAAAUCGUUAAAGCAUGGGUUUUGAAAUAACAUAGUGAUUCAAAGCGAAGUGACUUGAAGAUACAGUAGCUUCAUGAGAUGCAGUACAACUGUACAAGUAUUCAAAUAUCACGAUUCUGGGCAGAGAAUAGUAACCCAGUUAGUUCAAAAACAUAAUAGAACAAGAGUCAGAAAAUCAGUGCACAAUUUCAAGAUUCUUUUAAUAUAGGGCGGGAGUUUUAAUAAAAGCGGAGUGAACUUCGGAGAGGCAAAACAAGAAUGGGAGCAACAGAGUUCAAAAUAUUAAAAUAGACUGAUUGGUCCUAAACCGGUAAAACAUGAUUAAUUGAUUUUAUGUGCAUUAGGCCUAAAGUUUGCCUAAGCAUCGUAUGUAUUGCCUAAUUAUCUUAGAGGGUGAACAUGUAUAUUUGAUUUCCAAUUUUAAAAUAUACAGUUAACCAAACCUAUAUCAUUAGACUAACAUACUAAUGAGGUGUUUCCGAUUACAACUUAGAAAAAAUAAAACCCUAGGCAACAGGAUGUCUAAUGCACAUAGAAGUUCCUAAAACAUGGUCUCUAAAUGCUAGUGAGAAUGCAGCAGUAGUUUGAUAACAGUUAUUGGCUUGUUAUUAACUGAUCAUGGUUGCGAAAUGAGCAUGAUAACAGGCUGAAAGUAAAGAACCUAAAACAGGAUCUCUAAUGUAUGAGAUGCAUGUCUUAUACAGGAUAUCUAUUGCGCAAAUAAGUAAAUACAAUCCUAUAAACAUGUUUCUAUCCAUUACUUAAACUAGGCAUGCAUAGCCCCCACCCAAUUUCAGUAUAACCCCAAUCAUCCGUUUACAAAUCAUUACAAACCAAGGAUAGCCUAGGAUCUCUAAUGUAUGAUAUGCAUGUCCUUACAUGAUAUCUAUUGCGGAAAAAAGUAAAUAAAAUCCUAUAAACAUGUUUUCUACCCAUUACUUAAACUAAACAUGCAUAACCCCCACCCAAUUUCAUUAUAACCCUAAUCAUUCAUUUACAAAUUAUUAAAAACCAAAGAUAGCCGAAUUAUAAUAAUAAAGAAUAAAAAUAAGAAGUUAUUCUAUAGGGAGCCUUCAAUCAGGAUCAAUCUUCCAACCUCACUCCUUUUAAGUUUCACACCAUUUGCCAUGGUCUGGGUGCGGCAAAGCUCUCUAAGGCCCCACUGGGUAUCAAAUAUGUUGAACAAGUGCAUUGUGGAAUUACCAUCCUUGUGCAUCAAAGUUCAGUGAGUACUCGAAGGUACCCAAAGCAAUGCUUACAUGAAGGGGGUAGAACCUAAUCUCUAAGAGUAGUGUGAAGUGCAGGAAGGAAAGGAAAGUUGGUAGUUCAAAGAGUUUACGAAAGAGUAAGUUGGAGAGUUGCACACAAGGGUAAUGGGUAAAGGGGACAAAUAUAUCACAUGCAAACUCACAAAACCAAAAGAUUUAAGAGACCUUGACAUAAUCGGAUUUGAACACAAAGUAAGUAGCAACAAAAUUCAGUCAUAAUAGUAAUCAUGAGCAUGCAAGUUCCGACAGGCAAACCAGAAGUCAAUCAGAGCAUGGAAUUCAAUCAGGACAUACUAGCAACAACGAAAGCACAGCAGAAUGCAAGAGCCAGGUAUAAGUAUGAUAUUAGCCUUAGCCUUUUAGCUGGCUAAUGACAGUCAGGAGCAGGGAGCAGCAACAACACAAGAGAGAAAAAGAGAGAAAGCAUAAGAGAGAGCAAUGUGCUUACUCUUUGUAUGUUUGUGAUAUGCAAUGUGUUCGUGUCUUAAAAUAGAGGUGGGGGUACUUACAGUACUGAAUACAAGUAAACAAACAAGGCAGUAGCCCCUAAUCAAGGAACUGGCAUCAAUCGGUAGAUGGACCCCCUUUUAAUUAAGGAAUCAAAGUCAAUGGUAAUGAGCAGCUAUUUAAAAGGAAAGAUAUCACAAGCAUGGUAUAAUCACAUAAAGGAACAGAAUAUCAUAGAGUAUGCAAUAAAGACUAGGUGCUUGAUACUCUAAUUAGGGAGAUAGGUCAGGCAAAUCAAUCAGCAUAUUGGUGCACACAUAUAGGGCAAAAUACCAUUUUAAUUUUGGAAAAUAGUUUUCAGAAAAAUGGGCGAGAUUGAAAACCUAGGAAUUUAGUAUUAAUCGAGGAAAGUAUCCCACAAAUUAAGGAAGCAAUUUGAAAUCAUUACCAAACCAUAAGGAAAGUAUGCAGAAUCACAAUAUAAGGCAAGUCUCACAGUCUUAAGGAGGGCUUGCAAGAAUCAGUAUAAAAACCACCAUGUAUAUAAUCAGAGAACUCUAAGCGAAGAAUACAAAAUGGAAAGAGAACGAAACGCUAGCAACAAAAUUAAAGCAAAGAGCAUGGAACUCAGUGAAGAACUCAGAAGAACACACAAUCGAACAAAUAAUACAGACACAAACAUAAAGCUAAGGUUUCAUCAGGCUUGAGCAAAAAAAAA